GAUAUUAUUCAUCUCUUCAAUCAUACUUGCUAAUGGAUUCUUCUUCUUUUUUCCUUACCUCUGUUCUUGCUGCAACUAUAGACUUGUUCACGAUUUUAAGAAAACUCAGACUCCAUCAAGAAGAGGACGAAGAAGCUUCAUCUCCUCCAUGUUCUUUGUCUCCGUCAUCUUCUUCAUCUUCUCUAAAUCGCAUCUGGACACACCAUGUCUUUCCAAGCUUCCGUGGGGUAGAUAUCCGUAGAGACUUUCUAAGUCACAUUCAAAUGGAGUUUCAAAGAAUGGGAAUCACACCAAUCAUUGAUAAUGAGAUUAAGAGAGGAGAAUCCAUCGGUCCUGAACUCAUUCGGGCUAUUAGAGGAUCCAAGAUCGCAAUUAUCUUACUCUCAAGAAACUACGCUUCUUCGAGUUGGUGUCUUGACGAAUUGGUGGAAAUUAUGAAGUGAAAGGAAGAAUUGGGUCAAAUAGUGAUGGUUGUUUUCUAUAAAGUGGAUCCCUCUGAUGUGAAAAAACUAACCGGAGAAUUUGGGAAAAUCUUCAGAAAAACUUGUGCCGGUAAAACAAAGCAGGACACUGGGAGAUGGAGACAAGCUUUGGCUAAAGUAACCACAAUCGCUGGUUACCAUUCAAGCAACUAGUUUGUUUUUUUCUAUUUUCAUUUAAAUCAGUUAAAUUAUCUACCAAACAUCUAAAUGUACAUAUUUAUAGCUAGUUUUCUUAAAGCAUAGAAAUUAAAUUCAUAGUAUUGUAGUGUAUGUUUUCUACAUAAUUGCUUAAUCGCUGUAGUGAUCUCUUUUAUUGUUAGGGAUAAUGAAGCGGCUAUGAUCAAACAAAUCUCUGCUGAUAUUUCCAAUGAGUUAAAUAAUUCAGCAUCAUCAAGUGAUUUUGACGGGUUGGUUGGUAUGAGAGCUCAUUUGCAGAAGAUGGAACCAUUGUUAUGCCUAGAUUCAAACGAAGUGAGGAUGAUCGGGAUUUGGGGUCCUCCUGGGAUCGGGAAGACCACCAUUGCUAGAGUUGCAUACAACAAAUUCUCCAACAAUUUCCAGCUACAUGUCUUUAUGGAAUCUAUAGAAGUAAAAUAUACAAGACCUUGUUCCGAUGACUACAGUGCAAAGUUGCACCUACAACAACAAUUUAUGUCUCAAAUAACCAACCAAUAUGAUAUGAAGAUUUAUCAUUUAGGAGUUGUUAAAGACAGGCUAAAAGACAAGAAAGUUCUUGUUGUUCUUGAUGGUGUGGACCAGUCAAUGCAACUAGAUGCCAUGGCAAAAGAACCUCGGUGGUUUGGUCCUGGGAGUCGGAUUAUCAUCACAACCCAAAAUCGGAAGCUUUUUAGGACACAUGGGAUCAACCAUAUUUACAAGGUGGAUUUUCCACCGGAUGACGAGGCUCUUCAAAUCUUUUGCACAUAUGCUUUUGGUCAAAAGUCCUCUAAAGAUGGUUUUAAAGAACUUGCUCGAGAAGUUACAAAACUUGCUGGUAAACUCCCUUUGGGUUUAAGGGUUAUGGGCUCUUAUUUUCGAGGUAUGUCUAAGCAGGAGUGGGCAAAGGAAUUACCAAGGUUAAGGACUAGCCUUGAUACCGAUAUUCAAAGCAUUCUGAAGUUCAGUUAUGAUGCCUUAGAUGACGAAGAAAAAUAUUUGUUUCUUCAUAUAGCUUGCUUUUUUAAUUAUCAAGUGAUUGAGAAAGUGGUUACUCAUCUUUAAUAUCUAUUAUUGGAUGCGAGACAAGGGCUUAACGUCUUAGCUGAAAAAUCUCUCAUAUCUAUAGAGUAUGGAAGUGUACGUAUGCAUAAUCUGCUAGUCCAACAAGGUAGAGAUAUAGUUCGUAUACAGUCUGUUCGUGAGCCUGGACAACGCCUAUAUUUAGUUGAUGGAAGAGAAAUUUGUGAAAUACUCACUGAUGAUGUAGGAGUAAGUUUUGACAUAUAUCCCAAUAAAUAGUGUUUAUUUGAUGAUGAAUCAUCUCUUAUUAUUUUUGUUUCUUUUUCAGGCUAAUAGAAGAUUCAUAGGCAUAAAUUUCGAUUUCAGCGUGAAACGUGUCAAGAAAAAAUUUAGUAUAAGUGAGAGAGCCUUUCAAGGAAUGACUAAUCUGCAAUUCUUAAAAUUGAAGGGAAUUCACAAUACAUUAGAUCUACCCCGUGGUCUAGUAUAUAUGUCUGGAAAUCUUCGAUUACUACUAUGGAUGGAGUUUCCAAUGACAUGUUUGCCUCCUAUUUUUAAGCUAGAGUUGCUAGUUGAAAUAGAGUUGAGUUAUAGCAAACUUGAGAAGUUGUGGGAAUGAAUUAAAGUAAGUACAAUAUUUAUUUAUAUUUCAGAAAUUUAAACUAAUUUCAAAUAAAUAUCUUUUCAUUGUUACAAUUUUAUUUUGAUUAAUUAUUAAAGCUUAUGUUCUUGUCAUUUUUCUGUAUAGCCGCUUCCAAAUCUCAAGUGGAUGGAUUUGAGAUCGUCUAAAUUGCUCCAGCCUAGUGAAGCUCCCAUCUAUUAUUGGGUCUACUAAAAAUCUUCAGCAAUUGUAUCUUGGUUGUUGCUCAAGUCUGAUAAGUCUCCCCUCUUUCAUUGGAACUUCCACUAAUCUGCAAAUAUUAGCUCUCGGUGGAUGCUCAAGUCUAGUGGAGCUUCCUUCCUUUGAUAAUAAUCUCAGCAAUCUAAAAGAAUUGGAUCUUAGCUGUUUAUCAAGUCUUGUGGAGCUUCCUUCCUUUGCUUGUACAUAUUCGAAGUGGAAAUGGAUGUUACUUCCAACGAACAUAUCGUUCAAGCAUGUUACGUUCAAGCAUGUACGUUCAAGCAUAUUCGAAGUGGAAAUGGAUGUUACUUCCAACGAGCUUGUCUUUGAGUUUAAGGCCGACCAUAACGACUGGAAGAUAGCACAAUGCGGGGUAAUCCAACUCUCAGAGGUCCCUUGAUGAAUCAUAACAAGGCGAUUACAGAGAAACACCCUUGAUGAACCUGAAGUCUUUGGCAAAGUAUUGGAGACUGUCACUACAUUUCUAGAGCAUAAUGAGAGAAGCAACAAGGUAACAUAAUCUACGCUUCUAGAUUUUGUACAAUUUUAAGGGAAUCUGAAAUCUUUGUGUAUCUGCAACUUUAAUUCUUCUUUUAAAGUUUUAAGAUAUCUGAAGAAAUCAUUUGAAUAUUAUAUAGUCUAUUGUGUUGAAUCAUCUCAUCAACAAAUAUGAGAAAUAUUUAAAGUUGUAUUUCCAACAUUGAUUAUGGUACGUGAUCAGCUUAUGCAUUUUUAUAGUUUGUUUUUUCAACCACAGGUUAGUAAUCCGUCAAUGCAAUUUAUGUUGUAUGAGACUAUGUCAACCAGCCGCUUUGGAGGUCAAGACAGGGGACUAAAGCAAAGAGUUGUUGUGUUGGACGCGUUUCUGAAAAUGAUUCGAUACGAAGGGCUUUACAGGUUUUACAAAGGGAUGAGCACAAAGAUAGUGCAAAGUGUUCUGUUCAUGAUCAAGGAUGAGCUUGCAAAGGGAGCUAAGUUGUUGCUCUCAAAUGGCAAACUCAAGUCCAAGCCUUCUUAAAUAAACGCUAUCCAACGACAACUUUUAGAUUAUAAGAUUGAAAUAAAAUAAAAUAGAUUAAUUUAUCAAACACUAUUGGGAGUGUCGUGCAUUUUCAUUCCUGUAGACUUUUUGUUUGAUCUGAUGACUAAAGUGAUUCUACAUAAGGUUUAUACGAAGUUCCAGUCCAGAGAUAUAAAAAAUUUAGAAUCACUUUCAUCACUAAAAUGAUUCUCCACUUUGGAAAUCACCAUGAAUUAGAUUUUAUUUUCUGAUAAUACUCAGUUAAUAUAAAAAAGUAUAUGUUCAACAUCUCAAAUCCGUUAAAAAGUUAAGAGAAUCAUUUAGAGCCAUAUUAUACAUAAGAUCAAAAUGAGUUGAAAUGCGAGUAAGCAAAAAGUUUUACUUAAUAAGCAUCCAAACUUUAAAGUUUGUAUAACAUUUAGUUCGUUUUUAAGUGAAUUGUUUGAUUUUACCGUAUAUAGUCAAUUUUAAAAUUUUAAUUUUAAUUUAAUAAAAAAUUUAAACUAACACAAACAAAUUUUUUUGAGGAUGGGUUGUGUAAAAUACAACGAGACUGGUUUGAAUGGAUAUUAAUUACUAAACAAUUAUCAUAUCAUUAGUCUAAUAUUUCAAUACCGGUUAAAUCUUUAUUUUCUAUUUUUAAUAACAUUAAUAUAAUGCAUAUAGAAUCAAACUGGGGGGAAAUAAUUACAAAUAUAUAACCUUUAAUGGAUUAGAAUAUGUUACAUUUUAAUUUUAUUGCAGUGCAGUCGAGUACAGUGAAUCAUAUAUAUGUAUAAUAAAUUUAAAUAAAAUAAUAAACGAAAAAGCAAGUAAAUAAUCAUAUAUUGAGUUUUCAUACAACUAAAAACACGGUGAAAAAAUAAUAACAAGAAAUAAUAUUUGUCGAUAAAUUAUUCAUUUUGACCUUUUUGUAGUAGAAGUAGGAAUAUACGUAAAAUUACAUAUUUACAAUAUAUUUUUUGAAGGACCAACCCGUAACAGAAUUCGUUUUGUAAAAAACUUUAUUCAUUAUUCGCUUUAUCAUUAUAAUUAUGAUUUUAAAAAACUACCCGUGAACUAUCUAAAAUUUACAUAGUUUGAUAUAUAAUAUAUUUUAUCAAUAAAAAUUAAGUCUCCAAAAUUACAUUUAUGUCUUCAAAAAUAAUAUAUUUCAAUAUUUUAAAUUCUAAAUUUUUUAUAUAUUUGAACCUUUUAAUCAUAAGAUUUUGAAACUUUUUGAAAUUUUAAAUAUGCUCAUGUAACAAUGGUUUUAAUAUUGGCAAUACUUAUAAUGAUUUUAAACCAUUGUCCAAAAUAUUUAACGGGAAAAAUGUUAUUUAAAUCUCGAACAUACCAAUUUUGGCCAUUUUAAUCCUCGACUUCUACUGUGGCCAUUACAAUCAUAGACUUCUCGUCGACAUUAUUUUUAAAUUACUAUCUUCUGUUGACUUAGCCAGAUUGAGCAUGUCAUCAAAUCAAGUUCUCUAACAGAGGAGUUAACAGCCGUUUAGGAUCGUUAAUCGAUCUCUGUUAAGUCAAAAAAUGAGAAUCACAAGGACAAGCAUCGUCGUGCUGCCUUAAACGAAAUGCCUAAAUCUCCAAACCGAGUGUAGCUGAGUAUUAUAUGUCCCUUUUGAAAAUUUUAAAUUGCAACGUAUGCAAAAAAAAGGUUAAAUUUAAUUAAAUAUUUAUAUUAUAUAGUAUAAUAUCAUAAAUAAAAAAGAGAAAUUCUUACUAAUAACCUUUUUAUAAUACCCUUUUGCAAAACUACUCUUUUUUUUUGCCAUUUUCAAUUUUGCCCUCUCUUAAAUUUUAAUGGUCAUUUUACCCUUACGUGAAAGAAUAUUCUCCCCAAAAAAUUUCUGCCUAAAUUUUCACGCCUAAAAAUUUUCGGAAAAAUAUUUUCCCGCUUUUUUAAAGGGUUUACAAGAAUUUUUAAAGGGUCUUUUAAAGGGUUUACAAGGGUUUUAAAGGGAUUUACAAGAGUUUUAAAAUGAUUUUUAAAAGAUUUGUAAUGGUUUUUAAAGGGUUUUAGAAGCUUACAAAGGUUUUUAAAUGGUUUUUAAAUGAUUUCCAAUGGUGUUUUAAAGUUUUUAUUAGUUUAUAACAGUUUUAAAAGGAUUUACAAGGAUUUUUAAAAGAUUUUAAAAAUUUACAAAGAUUUUUAAAAGUUUUUUAAAAGGAUUUACUGGUAUUUUUAAAAGGAUUUACAAGUGUUUUUAAAGUCAUACAAGGUAACAUAAAAUCAUCUACGUAGAAAGAAGGUAACAUAAUAUACGUUUAUAGAAUUUGUACAAUAUUAAGGGAAUUUGAAAUCUUAUUGUAUCUGCAACCUUAGCCAAAUAUUAAUUCUUCUUUAAUUUUUUUUUUAUCAUGAAUUAUUAUCUGAAGAAAGCAUUUGAAUUUUAUAGUCCAGUGUGUUAAAUCAUUUCACCAACAUAAAUAUCUCUUGACUUUUUGUUUGAUUUGAUGACUAAACAUAGAGUUUAGAAUCACUUUAACUACAUUUUAUAGUCUUCUUUAUAGAUUAUUUUUCUGAUAAAACCUUCUCAAUACAUGUGAUAAGUUAACUAAUAUGUUAUUACCAGAUCAAGAGAGCACUUUUAAAAAUUUUGUCAUUUCUCUCCAAACAUUGUAAAACCACAUGCUGCUUCUUUGAUGCCCAUGCUACAGCUCCACCUCCUAACAAAAAUGCCCACUUGUACUCUUUCUAUCAUCAAUGUCUCCUGCAUAGUCACUGUCUGUAUAUACAAAAAUGCCCAAUUAUAGCUUGAGACUAUAGUUUACAGCAUCGUUGCUUAUAACGAUAAAUAAAUAAUUUUAAGAGAGUCAACUAACUUUGACUUUGUUAUCUUCAUUGGUUUUGGUCUCUUCUUCCUGUGUGAUAUAUUUCCAAACUUCAUCAACAGUUCCCGUCGAUGUUGAGCCUUGUCUUUGCACUAGAUUUAUUCUUAACCAACUCAUCCAUUUUAGACAAGUUGAUAUUUAUUAAUUAUUACUUUUUUCAUUUUCUAUAAAUCUUUUUCAUAUAUUGUUUAUAGACAAAAACUUUAAUUUUAUUAAAUAAAUUAAAUUUAAGGAAAUGAUAAAUGAUUACAAUUAUAAAUAAAAACUUAUAAUUAAUGUAAUAUUGUUGUAAACCACAUGCAUUGUGUAGAAUUAAUUUGAAUAGAGGUUCUUAUGAAAUGAUGGUAUUCAUACAACUUAGGAAAUUUCUAUGCUAUAUUUCAUGGUAAUCAUUUAUCUACUGAAUUAAGAUUAACUUAAAUAUGUACAAUACUCUCUUCUUCUUUUUUUUUUUUUUUUUUAUAAAUCUACAAUAUUAAAAAAAUAUGGAAAAAAUCAUCCAAAAUAUGAUGAUUACAAAUAAAUAAAUAUCAGAAUUACAAAGGGCUGAUUUCUUUUUUUUUAAUUUGAGGUUUCCAGCUGUACUUCCAUGAAGUUUUUUUUUAAUUGAAUGUAAUAUUUUAUUCAAUCAAAAUCCAUGUGUACAAAUAAUGCUUCAGUUGGUUAAAAAAAUUAGACAAUAGUUGGAAAAUAAAACAGAAUUUAAAAAGCUAUAUGUGAAUUUUAGCGGGUGGAAUACCAGAGGCGGAGACCAUCGUUAUAAUGAGGAUCACCUAUGUCUCGGAUUGUGCUGAGACUGUUUCGAACAUUCUUGUCAAUGAACAUUCUUUUCUUUUUAUAAAUCUACAAUAUUUAAAAUUAUGGAAAUACUCAUCCAAAAUAUGAUGAUCACAAAUAGAUUAAAAUCAGAAAUUUCCAACUACUUCCAUGAAUUUCCUGUUGCCUAUUUAAUGUAAAUGUUAGAGAAGUUACUUUUGUGUAUACUUUUCUCAUAUUUAUUUUGUGUCAUGGAAAUAGCACAACCACUCCAGAACCCACAUGACUUUGUUCUCAUUUACUUUAAAGUUUUGUUUCUAAAAAAAUCUUUGAACGAAGCUUCCUCUCUUGCUAGUUGCUUGUCCUGUGUGAGAACUAAAGACUCUUUUAUAUUAUGAGUCAAUGAGUCAACGUUCUUGUAUACAUAGUCUCUUUUGCAACUUAUCUUCUUCCACAUAGCUCUCUUUAACGCUCUCUGAUAUUAUUCAUCUCUUCAAUCAUACUUGCUAAUGGAUUCUUCUUCUUUUUUCCUUACCACUGUUCUUGCUGCAACAAUAGGCUUGUUCACGAUUUUAAGAAAACUCAGACUCCAUCAAGAAGAUGACGAAGAAGCUUCAUCUCCUCCAUCUUCUUUGUCUCCUUCAUCUUCUCCAUCUUCUCUAAAUCGCAUCUGGACACACCAUGUCUUUCCAAGCUUCCGUGGGGAAGAUGUCCGUAGAGACUUUCUUAGUCACAUUCAGAUGGAGUUUCAAAGAAUGGGAAUCACACCAUUCAUUGAUAAUGAGAUCAAGAGAGGAGAAUCCAUCGGUCCUGAACUCAUUCGGGCGAUUAGAGGAUCCAAGAUCGCAAUUAUCUUACUCUCAAGAAACUACGCUUCUUCGAGUUGGUGUCUUGACGAAUUGGUGGAAAUUAUGAAGUGUAAGGAAGAAUUGGGUCAAAUGGUGAUGGCUGUUUUCUAUAAAGUGGAUCCGUCUGAUGUAAAAAAACUAACCGGAGAUUUUGGGAAAAUAUUUAGAAAAACUUGUGCUGGUAAAACAAAGCAGGUCAUUGGAAGAUGGAGACAAGCUUUGGCUAAAGUAGCCACAAUCGCUGGUUACCAUUCAAGCAACUGGUUUGUUGUUUUAUAUUUUCAUUUAAAUCAGUUAAAUUAUUUUACAAACAUCUUAAUUAUAUAAUUAUAGCUAGCUUUUCUAAAAGCAAAGAAAUUAAAUUGAUAGUAUUCUAGUGUGUGUUUUCUACAAAAAUUUUUAAUCGAUGUAGUGAUCUCUUCUAUUAUUAGGGAUAAUGAAGCGGCUAUGAUCAAACAAAUCUCUACUGAUAUUUCAAACAAGUUGAAUAUUUCAUCAUCAUCAAGUGAUUUUGACGGGUUGGUUGGUAUGAGAGCUCAUUUGCAGAAGAUGGAACCAUUGUUAUGCCUAGAUUCAAAUGAAGUGAGGAUGAUCGGGAUUUGGGGUCCUUCUGGGAUAGGGAAGACCACCAUUGCUAGGGUUGCAUACAACAAACUUUGCAACAGUUUUCAACUGAGUGUCUUUAUGAAAUCUAUCGAAGCAAAUUAUACAAGACCUUGUUCUGAUGACUAUAGUGCAAAGUUACAGUUACAACAACUAUUUAUGUCUCAAAUAACCAGCCAAAAUGAUAUGAAGAUUUCUCAUUUAGGAGUUGUUAAAGACAGGUUAAAAGACAAGAAAGUUCUUGUUGUUCUUGAUGGUGUGGACCAGUCAAUACAACUAGAAGCCAUGGCGAAAGAAACUUGUUGGUUUGGUCCUGGGAGUCGGAUUAUCAUCACAACGCAAAAUCGAAAGCUUUUUACGACAAAUGGGAUCGACCAUAUUUACAAGGUGGAUUUUCCACCAGAUGACGAGGCUCUUCAAAUCUUUUGCAUGUAUGCUUUUGGUCAAAGGUCCUCUAAAGAUGGUUUUAAAGAACAUGCUCGAGAAGUUACAAAACUUGCUGGUAAUCUCCCUUUGGGUUUAAGGGUUAUGGGUUCUUAUUUACGAGGAAUGUCUAAGCAGGAGUGGGAAAAGGUACUACCCAAGUUAAGGACUAGCCUUGACACCGAUAUUCAAAGCAUUCUGAAGUUCAGUUAUGAUGCCUUAGAUGAUGAAGAAAAAUAUUUGUUUCUUCAUAUAGCUUGCCUUUUUAAUCACCAAGUGAUUGAGAAAGUGGUUGCUCAUCUUGCAUAUCUAUUCUUGGAUGUGCGACAAGAGCUUAACGUCUUAGCUGAGAAAUCUCUCAUAUCUAUAGAGGAUGGACGUAUAACUAUGCAUAAUCUGCUAGUCCAUCUAGGUAGAGAUAUAGUUCGUAAACAAUCUGUUCGUGAGCCUGGACAACGCCUAUAUUUAGUUGAUGCAAGAGAAAUUUGUGAAAUACUCACUGAUGAUGUAGGAGUAAGUUUUGACAUAUAUCCCAACAAACCAUGUUUAUUUGCUUAUGAAUCAUCUCUUAUUAUACAUUUUCUGUUUUCAGGCUAGUAGAAGAUUCAUAGGCAUAAAUUUCGAUUUCGGCAUGAAAAGCGUCAAGGAUAAAAUUAAUAUAAGUGAGAAAGCCUUUCAAGGAAUGACUAAUCUCCAGUUCUUAAAAUUCCUGGGGAGUAACAAUAUUGUAGAUCUACCUUGUGGUCUAGAGUAUAUGUCUCGAAAUCUUCGAUUAUUACAAUGGUGGUAUUUUCCAAUGACAUGUUUGCCUCCUAUAUUCAACUCGGAAUUUCUAGUUGAAAUAGAGUUGAAGUAUAGCAAACUUGAGAAGCUGUGGGAAGGAAUUAAAGUAAGUAAAUAUUUUAUUUAAUUUUCAUAAAAUUUAAAUUAAUUUCAAAUAAAUAUCUUUUUGUUGUUAUAAUUUUAUUUUAAUUAAUUAUUAAAGCAUGUAAGAGUGUUUUUAAUGUCCUUUUAUACAGUUUUUUUUAAUUGAGUGUUGAUAAAAUGUUCUUAUUAUUUGUCUGUAUAGCCGCUUCCAAAUCUCAAGUGGAUGGAUUUGAGUUCGUCUCAAAACCUGAAGGAGCUUCCUGAUCUCUCAACAGCCACCAAUCUUUUCGAAUUGGAUCUCAGAGAUUGCUCCAGCCUGGUGAAGCUCCCAUCGACUAUUGGGUAUACUAAAAAUCUUCAGAAAUUGAAUCUUCGUGGUUGCUCCAGCCUAGUGAAGCUCCCAUCUACUAUUGGGUAUACCAAAAAUCUUCAGAUAUUGAAUCUUGGUGAAUGCUCAAGUUUGAUAAGUCUCCCCUCUUUCAUUGGAACUUCCACUAAUCUGCAAAUAUUAAAUCUCGGUGGAUGCUCAAGUCUAGUGGAUCUUCCUUCCUUUGUUGGUAAUUUCAUCAAUCUAAGAACAUUGAAUCUUAGCCGUUUAUCAAGUCUAGUGGAGCUUCCUUCCUUUGUUGGUAAUGCCAUGAAUCUUGAGAGUUUGGACCUUAGCGAUUGCUCAAGUCUGGUAAAGCUUCCCUUUUCUAUUGGAAACCUCCAGAAGCUGCAGUAUUUGUUCUUAACCGGGUGCUCGAAGCUAGAGUUUCUUCCGACAUAUAUCAACUUGGAAUCUCUCUAUGAACUUGAUCUCAGGAAUUGCUUGUUGUUGAAAUUGUUUCCUGAGAUCUCCACGAGCCUUGGAACUCUCAAAAUCGCAGGAACUGCAAUAGAAGAAGUCCCUUCAUCAAUCAAAUCUUGGUCUCGUCUCACAGAUUUGAGUAUGACAUACAGUGUAAAACUAAAGGAAUGUCCUCAUGCUUUUGACAUCAUCACAGAGCUGUACGUGGAUGAUGACGAAAUACAAGAGCUUCCGCCAUGGGUCGACAAAUUCUCUCGUCUGCAAGAACUUUGGCUCAUUGCAUGCAAAAAGCUGGUUUCAAUCCCACAGAUUCCAGAUUCCCUCUAUUACAUAGAUGCAGAAGAUUGUGAGUCCUUGGAGAGACUAGAUUUCUCCUUUCAAAAUCCAUAUUUUUCUGUUCUCAAUUUUGCUAAGUGCUUCAAAUUGAAUCAAGAAGCCAGAGACCUCAUCAUCGGAGCACGGCCUAGUGAAUUUACCGUCUUACCUGGCGGAGAAGUGCCUGCAUACUUCACUCACCGAACUGUUACCGGAGGUUCCUUGACAAUUAAUUUAAACGAGAAGCCUCUUCCUACAUCCAUGAGAUUUAAAGCUUGCAUUUUGCUGGUUAAUGAAAGUGACGAUGAGACUUGCUCUGACGUUUCUGUUACGUGUAAAAAUAGCGAGACAACACUAUAUGACAUUUUUACAGAGCAUUUGUACAUAUUCGAAGUGGAAAUGGACGUGACUUCCAGCGAGCUUGUCUUUGAGUUCAAGGUUCGCCCAAACGUUUGGGAGACAAGACAGUGCAAUUGGAAGAUAGGACAAUGCGGGGUAAUCCAAGUCUCUGAGGUCCCUUGAUGAAACUGAAGUCUACGGUAAAGUAUUGGAGACGGUCACUACAAUUCAAGAGAACACUGAGAGAAGCAAGAAGGUAAUUUAAUCUACGUUAUUAGAUUUUGGCUGCUCUGUUUCUCGCCAUCAUCGUUUCACCAAUUUGCGUUUUCUCAUCUGAAAUUCAGCAGAUCGGUUCUAAUCAUAAUUUAAUGAAUGAUCUGGACGCAGCUAAUCUCAGAACAUCUCGAUUGGGUAAUAAAUUUUAGCUCUUUUGGUUCGUGGUGGUUAUUGGGUUUAACAACAAAAUCAUCUCUUUUUCUGUGUGUGUUAAUUAUCCGGUUAACUUUGGUUAACUGAGCCGGUUAUGUUUACUGGUUUAAAUGUCGUUACUAAGCUACUGUAUAAAGCUUAAGUAUACGUUAAUUUUCUGUUUAAGCUUUGUAACAAACUCUUAUGAGUCUUAUCAAUAACAAAGUUUCUCGUGUUUCUCUCCUUCGUCGUUUCACCAUUUUCUCCGAUUAACCGGAGUUUAUUAUGGUAUCAGAGCCAAAUCGAGUGUUUUAGCUUCCGCAUCUUGUUCGACGGAGAUGAGUUUCCCGAUCUAUUCAUGUUCUUGUUUUCUUUACCAAUUUCUCCUCGCUGUUUGCGAUUACAUUCUCCGAAUCUUGUUCUUCGUUUUGAUUCUUUCUAUUCUCUUUUGAUUUGACCUUGGGUGCUGACGAUUUCUAUUUUGAUUACUCUUCUCGUCACUCUCCUUUUCUUCGAUUUCGAUUUCAAUCUCAAUUUCUAUACGAUGAGUUCUGUUCCGAUUACUCGACCACCGACUCCGAUACAGCAAGAUCCGCCACCGACUGCUUCACGUUAUCCAGCGGAUCAUUAUGAAAAUCCGUAUUACUUGAAUAGUGCAGAUCAUGCUGGGCUUGUUCUUGUUUCAGAUCGUCUCAGUACGGCUUCUGAUUUUCCAUCUUGGCGUCGUUCAAUGUUAAUGGCUUUGAAUGUCAGAAACAAGCUAGGCUUCAUCAAUGGUACGAUUACACAACCAUCUGAGAAUCAUAGAGAUUUUGGUCAAUGGUCUAGGUGUAAUGACAUUGUCUCGACUUGGUUGAUGAAUUCGGUUGAUAAGAAAAUAGGCCAGAGUUUGUUGUUUAUCUCUACUGCAGAAGGCAUUUGGAACAACAUUUUGUCUCGUUUUAAGCAGGACGAUGUACCAAGAAUAUUUGAUAUUGAACAAAAGUUGAGUAAGAUUGAACAAGGUUCAAUGGAUAUUUCUACUUACUAUACUGCUUUGAUGACUUUGUGGGAAGAAUAUAAGAAUUAUGUAGAUCUUCCAGUUUGUACGUGUGGUCGUUGUGAGUGUGAUGCAGCAGCCAAGUGGGAAAGUUUGCAACAGAAGAGUCGUGUCACCAAAUUCUUAAUGGGGCUUAAUGAAGGCUAUGAUCAAACUAGACGUCAUAUAUUGAUGUUGAAGCCUUUACCAACGAUUGAAGCAGCUUUUAAUAUGGUGACUCAAGAUGAAAGGCAGAAGGUUGUCAAGCCAUCUACUCGUGUUGAUAAUGUUGCAUUUCAGAGUGUUGCUCCAAUGAUGAAUGAUGCAGACACUGCUUAUAUAGCUGCAUAUAACACUGCAAGAUCAUCACAGAAACCAGUAUGUACCCAUUGUGGGAAGAUGGGUCACACGGUUCAAAAAUGUUACAAGUUACAUGGAUUUCCACCAGGUUAUAAAACCAAUACUCCUGCUACUGCUGGUUAUGGUUAUGGUGUUAGACCUCCUACUCAGUUUCAGCCUAGAAUGCCAAUGGUACAAGGUCAACCUCGGAUGCCACAGUCUCAGUCUCAGAUGCAACCUAAUCCGUAUACAAAUUCAAUGCAGCGUGCAAAUGCAGUUGCUCAGGUGUAUUCUGAGAAUGGCUAUUAUCCUACUGAUGAUGCAUCUUAUGGUUAUAUGUCUCCAUAUACACCUCAGUAUUCUCAGACUGGUGGAAACAGUGUCAAUCUUCAAGAAUUUACUCCACAGCAGAUUGAACAAAUGGUGUCACAAUAUAAAGCUCAAGCUCCAGUAAAUGAUUCAAAUGUUCCAGCUUCUGGUACAAGUAUUUCUACUGCUAUGGCUACUAUUUCUGAACAUGGUUUAAUGGCAUCCACUUCUUCUUCUGGUAUCAAUUUUCUCUUCCCUUCUACAAGCCUUAAAUAUCAGCAAAAUCAUCUUACUUUUCAGAAUCAUAUUCUUUCGUCCUUAGAAACAUUUCUUCCUAGUGAUGCUUGGAUUAUAGAUAGUGGAGCUUCUAGUCACGUUUGUUCAGAUCUAGCAUUGUUUAGAGAUUUAAAGCCUGUCUCGAAUGUUACUGUCACCUUACCAAAUGGUACUCGAGUCUCUAUUACACAUAUAGGCACCGUUUAUAUUUCUCCCAAAUUGAUUUUACAUAAUGUGUUGCAUGUUCCUGAUUUUAAAUUCAAUCUCAUUAGUGUAAGCAUUUUAGUUAAAACUUUAGGAUGCUCAGCUCAUUUCUAUGAUUCUUGUUGUUUGAUUCAGGAACUUUCUCAGGGCUUGAUGAUUGGGAGGGGUAAAAUCUAUCACAAUCUCUACAUCCUUGAGACUACAAAAACAUCCCUCUCUACAUCAACACCUGCAGCUUGUUCUUUUUCUGGUUCUGUGACUGAUGAUGGAUUACUUUGGCAUCAGCGUCUAGGACAUCCAUCACGCAUAGCUUUACACAAACUUGUUAGUCAUAUUCCUUCUUUAAAAUCUACUUCCUUAAAAUCUCAUUGUACUAUCUGUCCUUUAGCUAAGCAAAGAAGAUUAGCCUAUGUUUGUAAUGGGAAUUUAGCAGAUAAACCUUUUGAUCUAAUACAUCUAGAUAUUUGGGGUCCUUUUAGUAUAGAAUCUAUUGAAGGUUUUCGUUAUUUUCUUACUCUAGUGGAUGAUUGUACUAGAACAACAUGGGUGUAUAUGUUGAGAAAUAAAAAGGAUGUUCACAAUGUUUUCCCAGUUUUUCUAAAACAUGUUAAAACACAGUAUAAUGCAACUGUAAAAGCAAUAAGGUCUGAUAAUGCUCCAGAAUUGGCUUUUCCUGAUAUUAUUAAAGAACAAGGCAUGAUGCAUUACUUUUCAUGUGCAUACACACCUCAGCAGAAUUCUGUAGUUGAAAGAAAACAUCAGCAUUUACUUAAUGUGGCUCGUUCUUUGCUGUUUCAGUCAAAUGUGCCUUUACAAUAUUGGAGUGAUUGUGUUUUAACUGCUGUCUUCUUGAUUAAUCGAUUACCAUCACCACUGUUAGCAAAUAAAUCACCUUAUGAAUUGUUACUUCACAAAGUACCAGAUUAUUCAUUGUUAAAAACGUUUGGUUCUCUUUGUUAUAUGUCUACUAAUAAUCAUGAAAGGAAUAAAUUCUCUGCUAGGGCAAAACCAUGUGUAUUUUUAGGAUAUCCCAUGGGUUACAAAGGUUAUAAAGUGCUUGAUUUGGAAUCUCAUUCUGUCUCUGUUUCUAGGAAUGUAGUGUUUCAUGAGAGUCGAUUUCCUUUUAAAACUAGUGAGUUUUUAAAAACUGCAGUAGAUAUGUUUCCUAAUAGUAUUUUACCUUUACCAGCCCCUAUUCACUUUGUAGAAGAAACUCCAUUGAUUGAUGAUGAUUGUUUACUGCCUACUACUACACCUAAUAAUAUUACAUUAGAGCAGCAUAAUGCAUCUUCUUCUACUCGUAGUACCACUAUAACAUCUAGUACAGAGACGAUUGAUAUAGACUCUAACACUGUGAAUAAUACUAGGCCUAAACGAAAUUCUAGAGCUCCUAGUUAUCUAUCUGAGUAUCAUUGUUCUCUUUUACCUUUUGUUUCUUCUUUACCACCCACAGAAACUCUCUUUCAUCGAUCACCUAAACAGCCAACACCAAUUCCCCUUCCCUCAUCACCUAAAAAUACAACACCAUAUCCUAUUUCUUCUGUCAUCUCUUAUGACAAUUAUACACCUCUAUUUCAAUCUUACAUUUGUUCAUACAGUUUAGAAACAGAGCCAAAGAACUUUCAGCAGGCUAUGAAAUCAGAAAAGUGGACAAAAGCAGCAAAUGAAGAACUAUCUGCUAUGGAAACAAAUAAUACUUGGGUUGUGGAAUCUUUACCAGAUGGAAAGAAUGUUGUAGGUUGCAAAUGGGUGUUUACUAUCAAAUAUAACCCAGAUGGUACUGUGGAGAGAUACAAAGCAAGACUAGUUGCUCAGGGGUUCACUCAACAGGAAGGGAUUGAUUAUCUAGAAACUUUCUCCCCUGUUGCGAAAUUAGCAAGUGUGAAACUACUUCUUGGUCUUGCUUCAAUCAAAGGAUGGAGUCUCACUCAAAUGGACGUUUCCAAUGCAUUCUUACAUGGAGAUUUAGAUGAAGAAAUCUACAUGAGUCUUCCACAAGGUUAUACUCCACCAUCAAAUACAACAUUGCCUCAUAAUCCGGUAUGUCGAUUAUUGAAAUCACUUUAUGGCCUUAAGCAAGCCUCCAGACAAUGGUAUAAACGAUUCUCAUCAGUACUGCUAGGAGCAAACUAUGUUCAAUCUCCUGCGGAUAAUACCUUGUUUGUUAAAGUGACUUCUAACUCCUUUGUUGCUGUCCUAGUCUAUGUUGAUGACAUAAUGAUAGCAAGUGACAAUGAUGAAGCAGUAGAAGCUUUGAAGAAUCUGUUGAAAUCAGAAUUUAAGAUCAAGGAUCUAGGUCCAGCUAGGUUCUUUCUUGGCUUGGAAAUUGCUCGAUCAUCAAAAGGAAUCUCUGUUUGUCAAAGGAAAUAUGCACAGAAUCUGCUGGAAGAUGCUGGUUUACUUGGUUGCAAGCCGAGUUCUGUGCCAAUGGAUCCAAAUCUUCACUUGACCAGAGAUAUGGGAACAUUGCUUUCUAAUCCAACUUCAUACAGAGAAUUGAUAGGUCGAUUGCUUUAUUUGACCAUCACCAGGCCAGAUAUCACAUUUGCUGUUCAUCAGUUAAGUCAGUUUAUCUCUGCUCCAACUGAUAUACACUUACAGGCUGCACACAAGGUCUUGCGCUACAUUAAAGCUAACCCAGGAAUGGGUUUGAUGUAUUCUUCAGACUCAGAAUUAUGUUUGAAUGCUUUCUCAGAUGCAGACUGGGCUACUUGUAAAGAAACAAGAAGAUCGAUAACAGGUUUCUGUGUUUAUCUAGGAUCUUCUCUUAUUUCUUGGAAAUCAAAGAAACAGGCAGUUGCAAGCAGGAGCAGUACAGAGUCUGAAUAUCGAAGCAUGGCUCAGGCGACUUGUGAAAUCAUUUGGUUACAACAACUAUUGAAGGAUCUACACGUUACAGUCACUUGUCCUGCAAAGCUGUUUUGUGAUAACAAGUCAGCACUCCAUAUCUCAAUGAAUCCUAUGUUUCAUGAAAGAACUAAACAUAUCGAGAUUGAUUGCCACACGGUACGAGAUCAGAUCAAGGCAGGAAAUCUAAAGGCCUUACAUGUUCCUACAAGUGAGCAACAUGCAGACAUCUUGACUAAACCAUUACAACCAGGUCCAUUUCAUCACCUUCUCUCCAAAAUGUCAAUGUCAAGUCUGUAUCUUCCUCAUACUUCAGAGAUCAAGACUUGAGGGGGGGAUAUUAGAGUGAUAUCCGGUUAACUUUGGUUAACUGAGCCGGUUAUGUUUACUGGUUUAAAUGUCGUUACUAAGCUACUGUAUAAAGCUUAAGUAUACGUUAAUUUUCUGUUUAAGCUUUGUAACAAACUCUUAUGAGUCUUAUCAAUAACAAAGUUUCUCGUGUUUCUCUCCUUCGUCGUUUCACCAUUUUCUCCGAUUAACCGGAGUUUAUUAUUAAUUGUAUUGUUUUGGCUCUGAUCAUUUAGAGGCUGUUCUUGAGGCGACCAUAGAGAAGGUGGAUGCUAAGACCCUUUACUUGAAUGAGCGUGAGAAGCUGUACAAGAUGCUGAAAGUCAGAUCCAAAGUUUGCAGUUUGCUUCAUACAGUGACGAGGUUUGUAUUGGGAAGUCAACGGAUGCAAGUAUAGAAAAGAGUGGGAAGGCACUACAAGACGUUUUUACAGAGCAUUUGUACAUAUUCGAAGUGGAAAUGGACGUGACUUCCAGCGAGCUUGUCUUUGAGUUCAAGGUUCGCCAAGACAAUAGGGCGAUAGGACAGUGCAAUUGGAAGAUAGGACAAUGCGGGGUACUCCAACUCUUGGAAGUCCCUUGAUGAAACUGAAAUGUGCGGUAAAGUAUUGGAGACGGUCACUUACAAUUCAAGAGCACAAUGAGAGAAGCAAGAAGGUAAUUUAAUCUACGUUAUUAGAUUUUGGCUGCUCUGUUUCUCGCCAUCAUCGUUUCACCAAUUUGCGUUUUCUCAUCUGAAAUUCAGCAGAUCGGUUCUAAUCAUAAUUUACUGAAUGAUCUGGACGCAGCUAAACUCAUAACAUCUCAAUUGGGUAAUAAAUUUUAGCUCUUUUGGUUCGUGGUGGUUAUUGGGUUUAACAACUAAAUCAUCUCUUUUUCUGGGUGUGUUAAUUGUAUUGUUUUGGCUCUGAUCAUUUAGAGGCUGUUCUUGAGGCGACCAUAGAGAAGGUGGAUGCUAAGACCCUUUACUUGAAUGAGCGUGAGAAGAUGUUGAAAGUCAGAUCCAGAGUUUGCAGUUUGCUUCAUACAAGUAUAUAAAAUGUAAAAUGUUUGUUAUGGGAUAUGUAAUGGGAAUUCAACGGAUGCAAGUAUAGAAAUUAGCUAGAAGGGCAUUAGAUAGUUCCUCUAAUGAUGAGGGAAUGAAUGUGGUAGGACAAUUAUUAGAUCGUCUGUUCUGUAUCUGAGGCUAUGGAGCUUUAUCAUCAUAUCUGUAGUUGCAGCUGCCACUUCUGUCUAAUAACAACUUCCACACCUUUGAUAUCAGAUGGUUAAGAGUUGUUGAUAAGAAGACGUUUCAAAGCACCUUUCAUGUUUUGAUUUUGCUACUUUCUUCUUCUUCUUUUUUUGGCUACCGAUCUCGGUUUUUGGCGUCGAAAACUUGAGAGCAAGAUCUUUCCAUGGAUAUAAUAAUCAUCUUCUGAUUUCUUGUGGUUUGAUGGGAAAAUUGCUCUCAAAGUUCGAUGCUCGCAGGUCGUAUACUUGGGAAAUUGGCCGUAACUCUCAAACCGGAACUCCAAAUCGUGAUCCGUUUUUUCCUGUGGUUUCGUAUGACUGUUGUUGAUAUUCCCACCAAAUUUUGUAAGUUUCUGGGUUUUUUUGCUACUCCGUUUGUCCUCUGCAUCAAGACAGAUACAAAUACUGCAGUGAAAUCAGUAGUGAAGAAAGGUAAUGCAUUCAUUGGUCUGUAUUGUGUCUGUUUGUCCUUGAAUGCUUUCUCUUGAAUGAGUGAGUAAGUGAAAGAGUUGAGUCUGUUUAUGACAUGUUGGCAAGCUAAUUUGUUUUACAGUUUUAUUACUUUUGAGUUUUAUAGUUUUUGUUCUUAAAAGAGUUGCGUCUCUUGUAUAGUUUCUGUUCAUGAAUGAGUUUGUGUUUCGAUCAGUUUUUGUUCUUAAUGAGCUGCGGUUUUAGUUUUAGUUUAUGUUCUUGAACUAGAUUACCGCGGGUAAACAUUUUUUUAAUUCAUAUUUUUAAAAUUUUACAGAUUUUAUUGAAGUUUAUUUAAUAAUUACUAGAUUUGGACCCGCACGUACGUGCGGGAUUGAUUUCAAAAACAAAAUUUGUUAUAAAAUUUUCAAAUAUAUUAUGUACGUACGGGAUUAUGUUUGUAAACGUAAUUUUUAGGAAUUUUAUUAACAUUUAUAAUCUAAACCAGUAUCAAGUCAAUAUUUGAUAUUUUUUUUAAAUUAGGUUAAACAAAAAAAACGAUACGAUUUAGUUUUAUUAAAGACAGUUGUACUUGUACCUUAAAAAAUAGUAAAACAAUUGUAGUUUGUCAAUUUCGGGACAUAAAUCUUGUCUCGUGCGUCUUAAUAUGUCAUGUUUUUCCAUUCCAUAAGCAUUUUAAUUAUUUACCCAUUUGAGAUUGUAUAUUUUAGUCAAACAUACAAGAAAAUAGGUCAACGAUUUAGACUUACACAUAAAUGUAGGGUUCUAUUUGUAGACAUAUUUAUCCACUAUAGCAUUUAUAACAUAAACUAAUAUUGGUUUGCGUUCAUGAAGUUUGUGAAUGUCGGAUCGACAGGAUAGCAGAUCCAGACUGAGUGUGAACCGUGAGCUAUCAAAUACGUCCGCUAUGUAUGCUCCACACUAAAUACAUAUUAAAAUAUUUUGACCCACAAAAAAUACAUUUCCUGNNNNNNNNNNNNNNNNNNNNNNNNNNNNNNNNNNNNNNNNNNNNNNNNNNNNNNNNNNNNNNNNNNNNNNNNNNNNNNNNNNNNNNNNNNNNNNNNNNNNUGAUUUUUUUUAUGUUUCCAAUUUCCCGUACCUGUUAUUUCAUGUUCUGAUAUUUGAAAUAAAAUAGUUAAAACUAAAAUUAACAAUUUCAAAUUUUUUGUUCGUGUAUCAUACAUGUUAUUUGAUAUUUGAAAAUUGAAAUUGAAUUUAGUUUCUUGAUUUUAUGAUCUCCUCUCGUUACUUUUAUUUCUCAUCAUGCUUUUUAUGAAAAAUAGUUUGGAUAAUAUUUUAUUUUUUCAAAUCAAUAUUAUUUCCAUAAAUAUAGAUAGAUUUGUUUUUUUAAUUAUCCUUUUAAUUGUAUAUACUAUGAUCACUUUAUACAAAAUGCUUCCCUUUUAAUAGUAUACUAGAGGAUGGCCCGUGCUUUCGCACGGAUGAUGUUUUUUAAACUAAAGAUAUAAUUGGAUUUGUAUUAAUAUUUGGUAUUCAAUAGUAUAGGAUAAACAUAAUAGUCUUGUAUAUUUUAAUUUUAAUUCUAUAGAGUUAAAUCGCGUGUUGAUUUGUAUAUUUUAACUGUAUAGAAAGUAAAUAAUAUAUACAAUAGUAAUUAGGUCUGGUUUUAAUAUNNNNNNNNNNNNNNNNNNNNNNNNNNNNNNNNNNNNNNNNNNNNNNNNNNNNNNNNNNNNNNNNNNNNNNNNNNNNNNNNNNNNNNNNNNNNNNNNNNNNNNNNNNNNNNNNNNNNNNNNNNNNNNNNNNNNNNNNNNNNNNNNNNNNNNNNNNNNNNNNNNNNNNNNNNNNNNNNNNNNNNNNNNNNNNNNNNNNNNNNNNNNNNNNNNNNNNNNNNNNNNNNNNNNNNNNNNNNNNNNNNNNNNNNNNNNNNNNNNNNNNNNNNNNNNNNNNNNNNNNNNNNNNNNNNNNNNNNNNNNNNNNNNNNNNNNNNNNNNNNNNNNNNNNNNNNNNNNNNNNNNNNNNNNNNNNNNNNNNNNNNNNNNNNNNNNNNNNNNNNNNNNNNNNNNNNNNNNNNNNNNNNNNNNNNNNNNNNNNNNNNNNNNNNNNNNNNNNNNNNNNNNNNNNNNNNNNNNNNNNNNNNNNNNNNNNNNNNNNNNNNNNNNNNNNNNNNNNNNNNNNNNNNNNNNNNNNNNNNNNNNNNNNNNNNNNNNNNNNNNNNNNNNNNNNNNNNNNNNNNNNNNNNNNNNNNNNNNNNNNNNNNNNNNNNNNNNNNNNNNNNNNNNNNNNNNNNNNNNNNNNNNNNNNNNNNNNNNNNNNNNNNNNNNNNNNNNNNNNNNNNNNNNNNNNNNNNNNNNNNNNNNNNNNNNNNNNNNNNNNNNNNNNNNNNNNNNNNNNNNNNNNNNNNNNNNNNNNNNNNNNNNNNNNNNNNNNNNNNNNNNNNNNNNNNNNNNNNNNNNNNNNNNNNNNNNNNNNNNNNNNNNNNNNNNNNNNNNNNNNNNNNNNNNNNNNNNNNNNNNNNNNNNNNNNNNNNNNNNNNNNNNNNNNNNNNNNNNNNNNNNNNNNNNNNNNNNNNNNNNNNNNNNNNNNNNNNNNNNNNNNNNNNNNNNNNNNNNNNNNNNNNNNNNNNNNNNNNNNNNNNNNNNNNNNNNNNNNNNNNNNNNNNNNNNNNNNNNNNNNNNNNNNNNNNNNNNNNNNNNNNNNNNNNNNNNNNNNNNNNNNNNNNNNNNNNNNNNNNNNNNNNNNNNNNNNNNNNNNNNNNNNNNNNNNNNNNNNNNNNNNNNNNNNNNNNNNNNNNNNNNNNNNNNNNNNNNNNNNNNNNNNNNNNNNNNNNNNNNNNNNNNNNNNNNNNNNNNNNNNNNNNNNNNNNNNNNNNNNNNNNNNNNNNNNNNNNNNNNNNNNNNNNNNNNNNNNNNNNNNNNNNNNNNNNNNNNNNNNNNNNNNNNNNNNNNNNNNNNNNNNNNNNNNNNNNNNNNNNNNNNNNNNNNNNNNNNNNNNNNNNNNNNNNNNNNNNNNNNNNNNNNNNNNNNNNNNNNNNNNNNNNNNNNNNNNNNNNNNNNNNNNNNNNNNNNNNNNNNNNNNNNNNNNNNNNAAAAAACGUUUUAAAUAUAAAUGAUUUUAGUUAAUAAGUUAGGAAAUAUUUAAUUCACGUAUAGGAAUAGUAAUGAAGACAUAAUAUAUUGAGAUUCUUCACCUAAUAAAUUUCCUUAGAUAAAAAUUAUAAUAUCUAUAAAAUCUUUUAGAUAUUUGAAAAUUUAGAUUAACGAUCAAGAUUUAAUCUACAAAUAAACGAUUGCGAUAAAAUCUUAAAUGCAUAUAUAUAUAUAUAUAUAUACCAUGUAAUUUAGAGGAAAAUUUUUUAAAAGGAAUAUUAACCAUUUUAUUUAACUUGUUUACAUAUAUGAUGAUAAGAAGUAGGACUAAAUAACCUUCGAAUGCAUACCACGUUUUUUGGGUUUAUUGAGGAGGAUGUUGUUGAUCUUCGUAGUUUUCCCAAAGACCUCAAAAUCUCAAGCUACUACAUCAAAAAAGUAGAUUACAAUUAGUUGUUUUAAAAAAAUUAAACACAAAAAGUAAAAUAUUAUGAGUAAACAGUGAUUAAAAACGAUAUGAAAGCAUGUGGUGUGAAAAUUUGUAUUAGUUCAUGCUUUGUUCUGUGAGAUAUAUAUUUUGUCUCGCUUUUGAAAUGAAUGUAAAUUAAGAAAACAUGGAAUGGUUUAUAUAGGCUGUAAAAAUGGGGUAGUUAAUAUUUUAGAAUAUUUGGUUUGAGAUUUAGUUUUGAAAAGAAAUAACUUUAUUCAAUCUCAAUCACUAAAUUAUCGUGAUUUUAUUGUUAAAUAUUAAAUAUUAUAUCCGAAUAUUCCAUUUUUAGAAGACUUAGAAUAACAAAUCAUGUUUAUAUUUAAUAGGCGAAUUUAAUUACCAUAAAUUAGUAAAUUGUUAUAAAUUAAGAUAUAAUCCGUUGAUUUUGCCUACCAUAAAUUAAUGAUUUUGAUAUAAACAAUUUAGAUUUAAAUGAUUAAGGAAAUAUAUACAUAUUAUGGAUUUUAAAUGAUUAAGGAAAUAUAUAUUCAAAGAAAAUCGAAUAGGAUAAUGAUUACUUAAUAAAUAAUUCUUCAAUUUUUAAUAUAUAAUGAAAUGACAAAAGUUUAUUAAUAAAAAUCUUACAAAUAAAAAGUUAUAUUAUCAAAUGUAUUUAAAAAAUGUUAAUAUAGAUUGAUUUGGUUGGUCAAGUUAAAAAUUAAAAUAGUUUAAAAAGUCAACUACAUUGAAUAUUCCAUACUAAGAAAACAUGGAAUGGUUUCUAUUAAAACAAAUAUUAAAAUACUCAUUGUUUAAAAUUUCGAUCAAGAUCUUUAUAAAAUAUUUGAAAUUAAGAAAAUCUUGCCAAUUAAGCUAAAUUUUAGGCAUUGUAUCUUACAAAUAAAGUUAAAUAUCAAACGUAAUAAUUAUCUUUCCUUUAAUAUUGAAAACCAAUUUUUUUUUUUAUCAACUGAAAAAUGAGUGCCGUCUAAGUCUUUAAGAAUGAGAGACAAGUGUNNNNNNNNNNNNNNNNNNNNNNNNNNNNNNNNNNNNNNNNNNNNNNNNNNNNNNNNNNNNNNNNNNNNNNNNNNNNNNNNNNNNNNNNNNNNNNNNNNNNGCAGAUCCAGACUGAGUGUGAACCGUGAGCUAUCAAAUACGUCCGCUAUGCAUGCUCCACACUAAAUACAUAUUAAAAUAUUUUGACCCGCAAAAAAUACAUUUCCUGUAAUCCACUUUAGUAAAUAGCAUGUCUCCAUAUGUUCUUCUUAAAUUCACAUUACCCAAAAUUUUCAUCUCAUAUUCUAUCAUGAAUAGUUUAGAUGAUUUUUUUAUGUUUCAAAUUUCCCGUACCUGUUAUUUCAUGUNNNNNNNNNNNNNNNNNNNNNNNNNNNNNNNNNNNNNNNNNNNNNNNNNNNNNNNNNNNNNNNNNNNNNNNNNNNNNNNNNNNNNNNNNNNNNNNNNNNNNNNNNNNNNNNNNNNNNNNNNNNNNNNNNNNNNNNNNNNNNNNNNNNNNNNNNNNNNNNNNNNNNNNNNNNNNNNNNNNNNNNNNNNNNNNNNNNNNNNNNNNNNNNNNNNNNNNNNNNNNNNNNNNNNNUUUUUUAAUUAUCCUUUUAAUUGUAUAUACUAUGAUCACUUUAUACAAAAUGCUUCCCUUUUAAUAGUAUAGAUAGAUAUAUAGUUUUUGAAAAUAUUAAAAAAAAUAAUUUAGAUUAAAUAUGUUUAGUUUCGAAUUUAUAUUGAAAAUUUUUAUGGUAAUCAAAUCAAUAUUAUUUCCAUAAAUAUAGAUAGAUUUGUUUUUUUAAUUAUCCUUUUAAUUGUAUAUACUAUGAUCACUUUAUACAAAAUGCUUCCCUUUUAAUAGUAUAGAUAGAUUAAAAUUACAUAAUAUUAAUCUUUAUUAAAUUAUUUUAAUUAUCCUAUAUUGGUGUUUUUAAGAAAAUUGUAAAAUAAAGAUUUUGACUCGCAUUGAAGUAUGAGAUAAUGAUAUUUUAAUGAGAAUUUUUGAGAAAUACUUCUUUUAGUGUAUCUCUUUUUUAAAAUGUGAUAUACACAAUAAGACACUUUAUGUUUAUGAUAAACGACAUAACUCACAAUAUAAGCAGCACCAACUUUUGCCACUGUUUGUCCACAAAAAACACAUAUUUAAACAAAGUUUUGCGAGAAAAGAAAGAGAGAGAAAUGACAGUUUUUCAGUCUGGUUCGUUCGUAAAAUUAUUUGUUUGGUUUCGCUAUAUUUAAAUUUUUUAAAUGUAUAGGCUUUGAGUUUUGUUGGACUUUUAGGAUAGAGGUUCACUUUUAACAAUUAGAAAGUUUUAUUUGAGUUUUAAAAACAAAGUGAGAAGGUUUCAAAUUCUAAAUAGAGGUAAUUUUGAAUUUUAAACAGAGGUUUUGUGAAGCGAGAAGUUUUCAAAUUUCGACAACAAAUAUCGAUGGAUACAGAGGUAAUUCUUGUAUAGAAAAUUUAAACAUGCAUGUGUUCCUUAAUCGGCCUUUGAUGGAGAAACCCAGGUUUAGUUAAUUUGUUUCUUGAUAUGAACGAAUUAUACUUUGAUUCUAAAAGAAGUACUUUUGUUCAGGAAACAAUGGAUGAUUUUACAAUAGUCCAUUUGUAGUUGAACAUAUGUUUAAACGUCGUUCAUAUAGAUGUCCAUGAAGCGUUGACCAUGAUCAAACCUCCAUUACAAUAUCCAUGAAGCGUCGACCAUUAUCAAGUUUGGUGAAUAUAGAUGUCCAUGAAACAUCGGUAAUUACCAAACAUCCAUUACAAGAAGAGUUCAUUACGAAGAGUCCAUUACGUUGUGGAAAGUAUUAUAUGGACAUCCUCAUGGACUUGCUUAGAGACGGAUUGAACAUAAAAAGGAAAAAAUGCGAUGACUUGUUAUUUGUUGCGACUUUCACCAGUUAAUAUUAUAAAAUAUAUAUAUUUCUUUAUAUACAAUAUGCUAUGAUCAUACAAUAUAUAAUAUGGACAGAUCUACAUGGACAAAUAUACAAAUAUCCUAUAUUGUUCUCAUCAAACCAGGUACGUAAAAUCCAUUAAGUAGAGUCCAUUGAGCAUAUGUUCAUAUGCAGAUAUGCAGAACUAUGGACAGAUCUACAUGUGCAAAUCCACAAAUCAUCAAAUUAGACAUGUAGUAUCUAUUGAGGAGACAUGCAGUCCAUUAAGUAGAAUCUAUUAGGUAUAAUCCAUUAAAUAGAUGUCUAUUAGAUAAAACUUUAAACUCUAAACCCUAAACCCUAAACCCUAAAAUCUAAAUCCUAAGAGGGAGAUAAGAGUGAGGGGUUCGGAAACGGCGACAGAGGAAAAGAAAGUGUCCGGCUUUGGUAAAAUUCGGAUACAAACAUGCAUUAGGGUUUUACUGUGUAGAGGAGAAGAAGGUAGGUUAACAAGUAACACGAAAGGUUAUAUUGUAAUGUUGGAAAAGAUGUCCACUGUGCCCUGUCCAUUAAUUUUACCCACCAAAAGCCCAUAUAAAUGGUUUAGAUAUGGAUAUGUACCUCUAAACUUAUUACGGCACGUUCUGUUAUCUAUCAUCGACUGAGUGUACGCUAACAUAUGGACAUGUACUCCUCAUCCACGAUUUAAAAUCACAAACGAAUUCGAAAAUUCUUUAUUCGUUUGUAUAUAGAUUUUUAAAAAGUUUGACAAAUUCAUAUUCUGAAUAAUUGGUUGGUAUUUGGUAAAAUAGUAUAACUAGAUAAAUCAGAAAAAUAAUUUUCGUAUAUGGUUUGUACUCUGAAAAGGAGCUUAUGAAUAUAAUCAACAUUACAAAUAAUAAAGGAACAAAUAAAUACAAAAUGACGUGAGGAAAGUAAGCAGAGAAAAAUGGUGUAGCAGUGUAGCUUUGUAGCAGCUUCCACAAAAUAAAAAAAUAAAAGAAUAAUAAUGAAUUAUCUAACUAUUUAGUUGGAAAUAAAGGAGUGGCAGAAUUGUUAUUAUGGAGAUAAAUCAAGGUCAUGGGUGACCUAUAUUUUCACUAUAGUUGUGAAGAUUUUGGAAAAGAUGGGAAGUAUCUUUUUCUGUUAUAACUUUUGAAAAAGUGCCUUAUUGUUGUAAUAACUAAGGUUCUAAACGGUAUUUAUAAGGCUUUUACAAGGUUUUUAUAUAGUUUUUAAAUGAUUUUAAAGGAAUUUAUAUGUUAUUUAUAAUAUAUAUAUAUAUAUAUAUAUAAAUUUACACACAUAUAAGGAUAAUAUUAUUGGAAUACAAACCAAUAUCCCACAUCGGAAGAUUAGAAACAAAAGUUUCUAAUAUAUAAGUCAAGUCCAACACCAAUUAGUAUGAGGCCUUUUGGGAAGGAGCCCAACAAAUCCGUGCGGGCUUGAGUGAUAGGCCCAAAGCGGACAAUAUCAUACUAACGGGAAGUUUGUUUGGUUUAGAAAACCCAGCAAAUAUGUGUCUAUAUAUAUAUAUAUAAAUUUACACACAUAUAAUGAUAAUAUGUGUCUAUAUAUAUAAGCUUACACAUAUUUGUUUUGAUAAAUUUCAAAAUUUUAGUCACUUUUUGAUAAAAUUUUAAAAAAUGUAAUUUUAUAAAGUGGUAUUGGGAAAAAGUAUUUUUGAAAUUCUCAAUAUUUUAUUUUUUAUUAAUAUAAAUUUAUAUUUCUAUUAUACACAUGUAUUUGAGUUCCAGGUCGACCGUAACGACUGGAAGAUAUGACAAUGCGGGGUAAUCAAACUCUUAGAGGUCCCUUGAUGAAUCAUAACAAUGCGAUUACAGAGAGACAACCUUGAUUACAGUCUAUGGCAAAGUAAUGAAGAGCAGAAUGAGAGAAGCGAGAAGGUAACAUAAUCUACAUUUAUAGAUUUUGUACAAUAUUAAGGGAAUUUGAAAUCUUUGUGUAUCUGCAAUCUUAAUUUUUCUUUUAACUUUUUAAUCUUGAACCAUUAUCUGAAGAAAGCAUUUGAAUAUUAUAGUAUAUUGUGUUAAAUCAUCUGAUGACUAAAGUUUAUAAGAUCCAGUCCAGAGAUAUAAAAAGAAUCGUUUCUGAUAAAACCUUCUCAAUGCCGACAGCUUUUGAAUUCAGUUAAUUAGUUAAAAAUCAGAUCACUAACGGUGAUUAGUUAACUACUAGUAAUAUGUUAUAGUUGAACCUUUUACAUUGAAUCAUAAACUAAUUAUGAUCCCAUGAAUAAGCCAAACCUUAAUAAUCCAUGAUUUUAUUAUAUAAAGUAUUUUUUUUUCUUUUGUCACACCACAUAAAUUUAUUCAAGAUUUUUUUUAUCAUAAUCCCAUCAUAUUUACAAGAACUCAAGCUUACGUUUAAUUUUACAGAUUUAAAUAAAAACCACAUUUGUUUGAGAACUUUAAUAAAGUAUAAGAAUUAACAAAAAAAAAUUACUAUUCAAUUUUAUAACUAUUCAAUAAUAUCUAUUUAUACACAAUUCAAUCAAAAAGAAAACAAUCUCCAUAAUAUAUUGAAAUUUGAAAACAUAGUCAAACUUAAAACAAUUAAAAAAUCAGUAAAUUAUCAAAUAUAAAAAUGGAGGGAAUAGUAUAUAACUAGGUUAGGCCAGUCUAGAUAUGCAGGUUAAAAAGAAAAUUUGCCAAAAAUAUUUGAAAUUUAAAUGAUAAGUUAUUUUAAAAAAUUCAGAUUAAUACAUAUAUAGUGAAAAUUUAUAUCUUUAUCUUAAUAACUUGGAUCCUAAACAUAUAUAGGUUUAAUAAAUUAAAAUUUAAAUAAGCAAUUCAAUAAUAAAUAGGAGAAAAAUAGAUAAAUAAUUUACUAAUAACCGUGUGUCUAAAUUGGAGAAUAACAUAAUUCCAAUUUUUAGUCAAAUUAUGAGCAAUAGAGGUAGGUUUCUGCUAAUUCAAAGGUUAAAAAUUUUAAAAUUAAUUUACACUGUUAACUAACCUCUUUGGUUUAAGCAACCAACACAAUAAUUGAGUAUAAGAUUAGAAAUAAUUUAUAGGAUUAGUAAUACAUAAUUGGAAGAAUAAGAGACUUACCGAGUAAAGGAAACUUUAUCUUGUACUUGAUUCUCAGAAUUGGCGACCUAAAACAUAUAAAUGCAUCUGCAGUCCAAGUUUGAGCCUUGCGUCUGCAGUCCCUCUUGUGUUUCCCUAAGCUUGUCUGAAGUAGUAUAUUGAUGAUCCUUGUCGGCUCUAAGGAUUAGUAACAGGUAAAUCAUUCACCAAGUUUUCACCUGACACAAAUCAGAGCUUUUGCCAACACAGUUAGAGUUGAAAUGUAGGAGCUGUUGUUGUCAAAUUCAUACAAAACAGAACCAAAAGAGUAACUUUAAAACAGAGGAAGAGAGAUAUCAUCAAGAUCAAAUAUAUAUCUUUCUUUCUCAAAAGUUUCAGUAAAUCAAAAGGGUAAUAUGCAUUUAUAGGAAAUCUAAGUAAAUAUAAUAUCACUAAAAAUAAAUCAAAAUAUAUAUGCUAAGUAAGCACAUAAAUUGAAUAAAUGAACUGACAAAAGAAUAUAAUUUAUAAAUAAAAAGGUCUGUAAAAGGAGAAAAUAUUAUUUAAACUCUUUUUCACACUAUAUAUCUUGUAGUUAAAGUUAACUUAUUAAAUAUAAUAAAUUUUUAGAUAAGUUAAUAAUUAUUAAUUUUUAUUUUUACUAUCUAUAAAUAUUUUGGAAUAUAUAUUGAGAAUUUUUUAGAAAUACCCCUUUUGGUGUACCCCUUUUAAAAAUAUCCCUUUUGGUGUACCAUUUUUAAAAAAUACCCUUCUUUUAUAUCCAUUUUCAAAAAUACUCCUUUUUAAAUAUGAAAAAUAUAAACUUUUAUAUGGUUGAUAAGAUACAUCAAGAUCAUCAUUACUACUGGGAGACUAAAUCCAAAUAUUUAUAAGGUUCUAAACAACAUUUAUAAGGUUUUUAUAAAUUUUUAAAAAGUUAACAAAGUUUCUAUAAAGUUUUUAAAUGAUUUUUAAAAGGUAUUUAUACGGUAGUUAUGAAAUAUAUAUAUAAGUUUACACACAUAUAUAGAUAAAUUGUGUCUAUACAUAUUAGCUUACACAUAUGUUUUUGAUAAAUUUCAAAUUUUACAAUGACUUUUUGAUAAAAUUAGAAAGAGAGAUAUUUUUGAAACUCCCCCAUAUAUUUUUAUAGAAAAAACUAUAACUUAAUUAAAUAUAUUAAAUUUGGUGAAAUGAUAAUUGAUUAAAAAAUUUUAAAUAAAAACUUAUAAAUGAUGUAAUAUUGUUGUAAACCACAUGCAUUGUAUUAUUUGAAUAGAAUUAAUUUGAAUAGAGGUUAUUAUGCAAUGAUAAUAGUCAUACAACUUCGUAAAUUACUAUGCUAUAUAUCAUGGUAAGCAUUAAUCUACUGAGUCAAUAUGAACAUAAAUAUAAAUCUAAAAUAGUCUUUUUUGGACAGAAAAAAAUAUAAAUCUACAAUACUUAAAAAUAUGAAAAACUCAUACAAAAUAUGAUAGUCACAAAUAAAUAAAAAAUCGAAAUUAUGAAAUUAAAAAAGGGCUGAUGUCUUCUUUUCUUGUUUGUUUGUCUGAGGUUUCCAGCUACUUCCAUGAAUUUCCCGUUGCCUAUCUGCUUCAUUGAUUCGAACGUAAAUGUUAGAGAAGUUACUUGAUGCUUGUGUAGACUUUUCUCAUAUUUGUGCCAUGGAAAUAGCAAAACCACUACAGAACCCAAAUGACUUUGAUUCUAAAGAAAAAUCAAUGAACGAAGCUUCCUCUCUUGCUAGUUGCUAAAGACUCUGUUCUCAGUCAAUGGAGUCAACAUCAGUUAAGAAUCUUAUCCUCUCUUAUACCAAAAAAUAAUAAUAACUUGUGAUCAACGUUCAUUUGUAUAGUCUCUUCUACAUAGCUCUCUUUAACGCUCUCUCCAAUCAUCUUUCCAAUCAUACUUGCUAAUGGAUUCUUCUUCUUUUUUCCUUACCACUAUUGUUGCUGCAACAAUAGGCUUGUUCACGAUUUUAAGAAAACUCAGACUCCAUCAAGAAGAUGACGAAGAAGCUUCAUCUCCUCCAUCUUCUUUGUCUCCGUCAUCUUCUCCAUCUUCUCUAAAUCGCAUAUGGACACACCAUGUCUUUCCAAGCUUCCGUGGGGAAGAUGUCCGUAGAGACUUUCUUAGUCACAUUCAGAUGGAGUUUCAAAGAAUGGGAAUCACACCAUUCAUUGAUAAUGAGAUCAAGAGAGGAGAAUCCAUCGGUCCUGAACUCAUUCGGGCCAUUAGAGGAUCCAAGAUCGCAAUUAUCUUACUCUCGAGAAACUACGCUUCUUCGAGUUGGUGUCUUGACGAAUUGGUGGAAAUUAUGAAGUGCAAGGAAGAAUUGGGUCAAAUAGUGAUGGUUGUUUUCUAUAAAGUGGAUCCCUCUGAUGUGAAAAAACUAACCGGAGAAUUUGGGAAAAUCUUCAGAAAAACUUGUGCCGGUAAAACAAAGCAGGACACUGGGAGAUGGAGACAAGCUUUGGCUAAAGUAGCCACAAUCGCUGGUUACCAUUCAAGAAACUGGUUUGUUUUUUUCUAUUUUCAUUUAAAUCUGUUAAAUUAUCUAACAAACAUCUAAAUGUACAUAUUUAUAGCUAGUUUUUCUUAAAGCAUAAAAAUUAAAUUCAUAGUAUUGUAGUGUAUGUUCUCUACAUAAUUGCUUAAUCGAUGUAGUGAUCUCUUCUAUUGUUAGGGAUAAUGAAGCGGCUAUGAUCAAACAAAUCUCUACUGAUAUUUCCAACGAGUUGAAUAAUUCAGCAUUAUCAAGUGAUUUUGACGGGUUGGUUGGUAUGAGAGCUCAUUUGAAGAAGAUGGAACCAUUGUUAUGCCUAGAUUCAGAUGAAGUGAGGAUGAUCGGGAUUUGGGGUCCUUCUGGGAUCGGGAAAACCACCAUUGCUAGAGUUGCAUACAACAAAUUCUCCAAUAAUUUUCAGCUAAGUGUCUUUAUGGAAUCUAUAGAAGUAAAGUAUACAAGACCUUGUUCUGAUGACUAUAGUGCAAAGUUGCACUUACAACAAUUAUUUAUGUCUCAAAUAACUAACCAAAAUGAUAUGAAGAUUUCUCAUUUAGGAGUUGUUAAAGACAGACUAAAAGACAAGAAAGUUCUUGUUAUUCUUGAUGGUGUGGACCAGUCAAUACAACUAGAAGCCAUGGCGAAAGAAACUCGGUGGUUUGGUCCUGGGAGUCGGAUUAUCAUCACAACGCAAAAUCGAAAGAUUUUUAGGACACAUGGGAUCAACCAUAUUUACAAGGUGGACUUUCCACCAGAUGACGAGGCUUUUCAAAUCUUUUGCACGUAUGCUUUUGGUCAAAAUUCCCCUGAAUAUGGGUUUAAAGAACUAUCUCAAGAAGUUACAAAACUUGCUGGUAAUCUCCCUUUGGGUUUAAGGGUUAUGGGCUCUUAUUUUCGAGGAAUGUCUAAGAAAGAGUGGGAAAAGGAAUUACCAAGGCUAAGGAAUAGCCUUGACUCUGAUAUUCAUAGCAUUUUGAAGUUCAGUUAUGAGGUCUUAGAUGACGAAGAAAAAUACUUGUUUCUUCAUAUAGCUUGCUUUUUUAAUCAUCAAGUGAUUGAGAAAGUGGUUGCUCAUCUUGCAUAUCUAUUCUACGAUGUGAGACAAGGGCUUAACGUCUUAGCUGAGAAAUCUCUCAUAACUAUAGAGCAUGGAAGAAUAAAUAUGCAUAAUCUGCUAGUCAAACUUGGUAGAGAUUUAGUUCGCAAACAGUAUGUUCGUGAGCCUGGACAACGUCUAUAUUUAGUUGAUGCAAGAGAAAUUUGUGAAAUACUCACUGAUGAUGUAGGAGUAAGUUCUGACAUAUAUCCCAACAAAUCGUGUUAUUUGAUAAUGAAUCAUCUCUCAUUAUUUUUGUUCUUUUUCAGGCUAAUAGAAGAUUAAUAGGCAUAAAUUUCGAUUCCGGCACCAACGUCAAGAAAAAUAUUAAUAUAAGUGAGAAAGCCUUUCAAGGAAUGACUAAUCUCCGGUUCUUAAAAUUCCAGGGGGGUAACAAUACUGUAGAUCUACCCUAUGGUCUAGAGUAUAUGUCUCAAAAUCUUCGAUUAUUACAAUGGCCCUAUUUUCCAAUGACAUGUUUGCCUCUGAUAUUCAACUCGGAAUUCCUAGUUGAAAUAGAGUUGAGGUAUAGCAAACUUGAGAAGCUGUGGGAAGGAAUUAAAGUAAGUAAAUAUUUUAUUUAAUUUUCAUAAAAUUUAAAUUAAUUUCAAAUAAAUAUCUUUUUGUUGUUAUAAUUUUAUUUUAAUUAAUUAUUAAAGCAUGUAAGAGUGUUUUUAAUGUCCUUUUGUACAGUUUUUUUUUAAUUGAGUGUUGAUAAAAUGUUCUUAUUAUUUGUCUGUAUAGCCGCUUCCAAAUCUCAAGUGGAUGGAUUUGAGUUGGUCUAAAAACCUAAAGGAGCUUCCUGAUCUCUCAACAGCCACCAAUCUUUUGGAAUUGGAUCUCAGAGAUUGCUCCAGCCUGGUGAAGCUCCCAUCGACUAUUGGGUAUACUAAAAAUCUUCAGAAAUUGAAUCUUUGUGGUUGCUCAAGUUUGAUAAGUCUCCCCUCUUUCAUUGGAACUUCCACUAAUCUGCAAAUAUUAAAUCUCGGUGGAUGCUCAAGUCUAGUGGAUCUUCCUUCCUUUGUUGGUAAUUUCAUCAAUCUAAGAGAUUUGGAUCUUAGCAAUUUAGCAAGUUUGGUGGAGCUUCCUUCUUUUGAUGGUAAUUUCAUCAAUCUAAGAACAUUGAAUCUUAGCCGUUUAUCAAGUCUAGUGGAGCUUCCUUCCUUUGUUGGUAAUGCCAUGAAUCUUGAGAGUUUGGACCUUAGCGAUUGCUCAAGUCUGGUAAAGCUUCCCUUUUCUAUUGGAAACCUCCAGAAGCUGCAGUAUUUGUUCUUAACCGGGUGCUCGAGUCUAGUGGAGCUUCCUUCCUUUGUUGGUAAUGCCAUGAAUCUUGAGAGUUUGGACCUUAGCGAUUGCUCAAGUCUGGUAAAGCUUCCCUUUUCUAUUGGAAACCUUCAAAAGCUGGAGGCUUUGAGACUACAAGGAUGCUCGAAGCUAGAGUUUCUUCCGACCGACAUCAAUUUGAAAUAUCUCUAUGAACUUGAUCUCACGAAUUGCUUACUGUUGAAAUUGUUUCCUGAGAUCUCCACGAGCCUUAGAACUCUCAAAAUCAUAGGAACUGCAAUAGAAGAAGUGCCUUCAUCAAUCAAAUCUUGGUCUCGUCUCACAUUUUUGAGUAUGACAUAUAGUGUAAAACUCAAGGAAUGUCCUCAUGCUUUUGACGUCAUCACAGAUCUGUACGUGAACGAUGAAGAAAUACAAGAGCUUCCUCCAUGGGUCAACGAAUUCUCUCGUCUGCAUCAACUCGUGCUCAAGGGAUGCAAAAAGCUGGUGUCAAUCCCACAGAUUCCAGAUUCCCUCACUUACAUAACUGCAAUUGAUUGUGAGUCCUUGGAAGAGUUUCCUCCGUGGAUCAACAAAUCCUCUCGUCUGCAUCAACUCGUGCUCAAGGGAUGCAAAAAGCUGGUAUCACUCCCACAGAUUCCAGAUUCCCUCACUUACAUAAUUGCAGAAGAUUGUGAGUCCCUAGAGAGACUAGAUUGCUCCUUUCCAAAUCCAUAUAUUUCUCGUCUCAAUUUUGCUAAGUGCUUCAAAUUGAAUCAAGAAGCCAGAGACCUCAUCAUCGGAGCACGGCCUAGUGAAUUUACCGUCUUACCUGGCGGAGAAGUGCCUGCAUACUUCACUCACCGAACUGUUACCGGAGGUUCCUUGACAAUUAAUUUAAACGAGAAGCCUCUUCCUAUAUCCAUGAGAUUUAAAGCUUGCAUUUUGCUGGUUAAUGAAAGUGACGAUGAGACUUGCUCUCACGUUUCUGUUACGUGUAAAAAUAGCGAGAGAACAAUAUAUGACAUUUUUACAGAGCAUUUGUACAUAUUCGAAGUGGAAAUGGACGUGACUUCCAGCGAGCUUGUCUUUGAGUUCAAGGUUCGCCGAAACGUUUGGGAGACAAGACAGUGCAAUUGGAAGAUAGGACAAUGCGGGGUAAUCCAAGUCUCUGAGAUCCCUUGAUGAAACUGUAGUCUACGGUAAAGUAUUGGAGACGGUCACUACAAUUCAAGAGAACACUGAGAGAAGCAAGAAGGUAAUUUAAUCUACGUUAUUAGAUUUUGGCUGCUCUGUUUCUCGCCAUCAUCGUUUCACCAAUUUGCGUUUUCUCAUCUGAAAUUCAGCAGAUCGGUUCUAAUCAUAAUUUAAUGAAUGAUCUGGACGCAGCUAAGCUCAGAACAUCUCAAUUGGGUAAUAAAGUUUAGCUCUUUUGGUUCGUGGUGGUUAUUGGGUUUAACAACAAAAUCAUCUCUUUUUCUGUGUGUGCUAAUUGUAUUGUUUUGGCUCUGAUCAUUUAGAGGCUGUUCUUGAGGCGACCAUAGAGAAGGUGGAUGCUAAGACCCUUUACUUGAAGGAGCGUGAGAAGAUGUUGAAAGUCAGAUCCAGAGUUUGCAGUUUGCUUCAUACAGUGAUGAGGUUUGUAUUGGGAAGUCAACGGAUGCAAGUAUAGAAAUUAGCUAAUGAUGAGGGAAUGAAUGUGGUAGGACAAUAAUUAGAUCGUCUGUUCUGUAUCUGAGGCUAUGGAGCUUUAUCAUCAUAUCUGUAGUUGCAGCUGCCACUUCUGUCUAGUAACAACUUCCACACUAAUCAGAUGGUUAAGUGUUGUUGAUAAGAAAACGUUCCAAAGCACCUUUCAUGUUUUGAUUCUUCUUCUUUUUUUGUUUGGCUAACGAUCUCGGUUUUUGGCUCUAAAAGGUGUUCUGAAAAUUUGGGAGCAAGAUCUUUCCAAGGAUAUAAUAAUCAUCUUCUGAUUUCUUGUGGUUUGAUGGGAAAUUUGCUCUCAAAGUUGGAUGUUCGCAGGUCGUAUCAGUCAAGAUCUGUCUUGGGAAAUUGGCCGUAACUCUCAAACCGGAACUCCAAAUCGUGAUCCGUUUUUUCCUGUGGUUUCGUAUGACUGUUAUUGAUAUUCCACCAAAUUUUGUAAGUUUCUGGGUUUUUUUGCUACUCCGUUUGUCCUCUGCAUCAAGACAGAUACAAAUACUGCAGUGAAAUCAGUAGUGAAGAAAGGUAAUGCAUUCAUUGGUCUGUAUUGUGUCUGUUUGUCCUUGAAUGCUUUCUCUUGAAUGAGUGAGUAAGUGAAAGAGUUGAGUCUGUUUAUGACAUGUUGGCAAGCUAAUUUGUUUUACAGUUUUAUUACUUUUGAGUUUUAUAGUUUUUGUUCUUAAAAGAGUUGCGUCUCUUGUAUGGUUUCUGUUCAUGAAUGAGUUUGUGUUUCGAUCAGUUUUUGUUCUUAAUGAGCUGCGGUUUUAGUUUUAGGUUAUGUUCUUGAACUAGAUUACCGCGGGUAAACAUUUUUUUAAUUCAUAUUUUUAAAAAUUUACAGAUUUUAUUGAAGUUUAUUUAAUAAUUAUUAAAAUUACAUAAUAUUAAUCUUUACUAAAUUAUUUUAAUUAUGCAUGUCCUAUAUUGGUGUUUUUAAGAAAAUUGUAAAAUAAAGAUUUUGACUCGCAUUGAAGUAUGAGAUAAUGAUAUUUUAAUGAGAAUUUUUGAUAAAUACCUCUUUUGGUGUAUCUCUUUUUAAAAAGGGGGAAUUUCAAAAAUAGCCUUUUUCAUAUACCUCUUUUUAAAAAUACCCCCUUUUCAAACUUUAUCAAAAAACCCACUAAAAAUGUUGAAAUUUAUCCAAAUAUGUGUGUAAGCUUAUAAAUAAAUACGCAAAUUACCUUUAUAUGUGUAUAAAACUUUAUAUACCUUUCAUAAAUAGCGUAAAAAUAAAUUAUCAAAACCUUAUAAAAACCGUAUAAACCCUUUUAAAAACCUUUUAAAAACCUUAUAAAACUUAUAAAAACGAUUUAAAACUAUUCAAAACAUUUUAAAAUAUUUGUAUCGAAUCUCCCAGUAGUAGUUAUUAUAUAGAAAUACCUUAUAAACUAUAUAAAACUUUAUAAUUUUUUAUAUUUAAAAAGGGGUAUUUUUGAAAAUGGAUAGAUAAAGGGGGUAUUUUUAAAAAGGGGUACACCAAAAGGGGUAUUUCUCAAAAAAAUCUCUUUUAAAAAUGUGAUAUACACAAUAAAACACUUUAUGUUUAUGAUAAACGACAUAAGUCACAAUAUAAGCAGCACCAACUUUUGCCACUGUUUGUCCACAAAAAAGACAUAUUUGAACGAAGUUUUGCUGGAAAAGAAAGAGAGAGAAAUGACAGUUUUUCAGUCUGAUUCGUUCGUAAAAUUAUUUGUUUGGUUUCGCUAAAUUUAAAUUUUUUAAAUGUAUAGGCUUUGAGUUUUGUUGGACUUUUAGGGUAGAGGUUCACUUUUAACAAUUAUAAAGUUUUAUUUGAGUUUUAAAAACAAAGCGAGAAGGUUUCAAUUUCUAAAUAGAGGUAAUUUUGAAUUUUAAACAGAGGUUUUGUGAAGUGAGAAGUUUUCAAAUUUCGACAACAAAUAUCGAUGGAUACAGAGGUAAUUCUUGUAUAGAAAAUUUAAACAUGCAUGUGUUCCUUAAUCGGCCUUUGAUAGAGAAACCCAUGUUUGGUUAAUUUGUUUCUUGAUAUGAACGAAUUAUACUUUGAUUCUAAAAGAAGUACUUUUGUUCAGGAAACAAUGGAUGAUUUUACAAUAGUCCAUUUGUAGUUGAACAUAUGUUUAAACGUCGUUCAUAUAGAUGUCCAUGAAGCGCUGACCAUGAUCAAGCCUCCAUUACAAUCCAUGAAGCGUCGACCAUUAUCAAGUUUGGUGAAUAUAGAUGUCCAUGAAACAUCGGUAAUUACCAAACAUCCAUUACAAAAAGAGUUCAGUACGAAGAAUCCAUUACGUUGUGGAAAGUAUUAUAUGGACUUGCUUAGAGACGGAUUGAAUAUAAAAAGGAAAAAAUGCGAUGACUUGUUAUUUGUUGCGACUUUCACCAGUUAAUAUUAUAAAAUAUAUAUAUUUCUUUAUAUACAAUAUGCUAUGAUCAUACAAUAUAUAAUAUAGACAGAUCUACAUGGACAAAUAUACAAAUCUAUAUAUAUAAUAGGAGAGUUCUCUCUCCCAUUAGGGUGUCUACAUCAGCAUUUUCUCCAAAAUUUGUAAAAGUUGUACUAUUGGGCUUAUAUUAUUUUGGGUCAAGAAUGUUUACUUUACAAUGUGUUAACAAAGUUUUGAACCUAAAAUAUUUUACAAUGUGUUAACAAAGUUUCGGGUUUAAAAUUCCAAACAAAGGCCUUCUAAACUUCCGUGAACUCUAUUUCUUUAAUAGGUUUUUCUUCUCUGUCGCUUUCGUUUCUCCUUCUACACAUCAAGACUAUAAAAGGGAUAUAUGAUAACCAGGGAAUAGAAAUUAUAGAUAUGGUCAAGAAAAACAUAAAACUAUGGAUAUUCGUAGACCAAGGGGAUUAACUAAAGCACCAACUUUAAGUCAUUGAUGAACAACGAAAAUUUCUCAACUUUCACAUGUAAUUCAAGUGUACUUUAAACGUUUAUGAUAACACAUAGUGAGAAUUCAUACGUAUCAAAACACAAAUGGAAACCUUAAGUUACUGAUCCUAAAAAAAAGCUUCUUCCUUAGAAAUUAGGUUUACAAAACUUAUAUAGUAUUUGUAGUUUAUUAUAAAAAAAUUUCUUUUUUAUAGGUGUCAAAAUCUAAUCGAUAAACAUGAUACAUGUCGAGAUCAUGCGAGUCACUAACUUCGAAAAUCAAAUUUUACAUAUAAGAUAUAUACAUUUAUAUACAUGUAAAUAUUAAUGAGAUUUUUUUAGAAAUACCACUUUUGGUGUACCUCUUUUCAAAAAUACUCUUUUUAUCAAUCCAUUUUCAAAAAUACCCCUGUUUAAAUAUGAAAAAUUAUAAAGUUUUAUAUGGUUUAUAAGGUACUUAUAUGUAAUAACUAUUAUUGAGAGAUUCAAUACAAAUAUUUAAUAAUGUUUUAAAAAGGUUUAUAAGGUUAAUAAUCUCCAAUAUUGCUCCAGCCUAGUGAAGCUCCCAUCUAUUGGGUCUACUAAAAAUCUUCAGCAAUUGUAUCUUGGUGGUUGCUCAAGUCUGAUAAGUCUCCCCUCUUGCAUUGGAACUUCCACUAAUCUGCAAAUAUUAGCUCUCGGUGGAUGCUCAAGGAAUGUCCUCAUGCUUUUGACAUCAUCAAAGAGCUGCACGUGAAUGAUAAAGAAAUACAAGAGCUUCCUCCAUGGGUCAACAAAUUCUCUCGUCUGGAAUCACUUUGGCUCAAUAGAUGCAAAAAGCUGGUGUCAAUCCCACAGAUGUCAGAUUUUGUUUAUUUCAUAGAUGCAACAUAUUGUGAGUCCUUGGAAGAGAUUCCCCCAUGGAUCAACAAAUUCAUAGAUUGUGAGUCCUUGGAAGAGUUUCCCCCAUGUUAUCAACUCCAACUCAAGAGAUGCAGAAAGCUGGUAUCACUCCCACAGAUUCCAGAUUCCCUCUCGUACAUAGAUGCAGAAGAUUGUGAGUCCUUGGAGAAACUAGAUUUCUCCUUUCAAAAUCCAUAUAUCCGUUUUCUCAAUUUUUCUAAGUGCUUCAAAUUGAAUCAAGAAGCCAGAGACCUCAUCAUCCGAACACGGACUAGUGACUAUGCAGUCUUACCCGGCGGAGAAGUGCCUUCAUACUUCCCUCACCGAGCCACUACUGGAGGUUCCUUGACAAUUGAGUUGAAUGAGAAGCAUCUUCCUACAUCCAUGAGAUUUAAAGCUUGCAUUUUGCUGGUUAAUGAAGGUGAAGUAACCUUGCCGCACCACAAACGGAGCUUCUAAGUGUGAUUAGCAGUACGUUCAAUUUUUAUUCAAGUCGUCGCAUCCUCCACGCUUUUAAAACACGUCACGGUGGAAUUGGAUUUCCAUUCGCCGGUGAUCGCGUGAUUAGGGUCACCACACCGGAGCCGUACUGCACUCCCAUUCAGACCCUAAGUGUCAAAAGAGCCAGUGUUUCUUACCCCCAGUUUUAUCAGAGCAUAUGUACAUAUUCGAAGUCGAAGCAGAUGUGACUUCCAGCCAGCUUGUCUUUGAGUUCAAGGUCGACGUUAGGAAUUGGAAAUCUUGUUAAAUGUAAUAAAUAUUAAUUUCUAAUUUUGCAAAUUUAUUAUGAUUUAAUUACAAAAUGUAUCUUAAACUUUUUCUAUUUAAUCAAAUGACAAGGGUUUAAUUAUGCAAAUAUUACAAAAUAAAAGGGUAGAACACAAAAGGUACUUCGAAAAUGUUAAUAUAGAUCCAUAAUAUAUUGAAAUUUGAAAACAUAGUCUAACUUAAAAUAAUUAAAAAAUCAGUAAAUUAUCAAAUAUAAAAAUGGAGGGAGUAGUAUAUAACUAGGUUAGGCCAGUCUAGAUACGCGGGUUAAAAAUAAAUUUGUCAAAAAUAUUUGAAAUUUAAAUGAUAAGUUAUUUUAGAAAAUUCAUAUUAAUAUAUAUAUAUAGUGAAAAUUUAUAUCUUUAUCUUAAUAACUUGGAUCCUAAACAUAUAUAGGUUUAAUAAAUUAAAAUUUAAAUAAGCAAUUCAAUAAUAAAUAGGAGAAAAAUAGAUAAAUAAUUUACUAAUAACCGUGUGUCUAAAUUGGAGAAUAACAUAAUUCCAAUUUUUAGUCAAAUUAUGAGCAAUAGAGGUAGGUUUCUGCUAAUUCAAAGGUUAAAAAUUUUAAAAUUAAUUUACACUGUUAACUAACCUCUUUGGUUUAAGCAACCAACACAAUAAUUGAGUAUAAGAUUAGAAAUAAUUUAUAGGAUUAGUAAUACAUAAUUGGAAGAAUAAGAGACUUACCGACUAAAGGAAACUUUAUCUUGUACUUGAUUCUCAGAAUUGACGACCUAAAACAUAUAAAUAAUUAUCUCAAUAAUGUAAUUUACUCGUAAUUAAACAAGCAUAUAUACCUUUAAGCAAGGCCAUUAAUAUAGAUACUAAUAUCGUUCGUAUAACGAUGACUAAUAUUUUAAGUAACUGAAAGUAAGGUAACUUCACAAUCAUCCAAAUGUCUCAAUGAUGACAUUGGUUUUGGUAGUAUUUCCAAACUUCAUCAACAGUUGUUUGGCCAAGUUUGAGCCUUGCGUCUGCAGUCCCUCUUGUGUUUCCCUAAGCUUGUCUGAAACUGAUCUACUGUCCAUGAGUAUAUUGAUGAUCCUUGUCGGCUCUAAGGAGUAGUAACCGGCAAAUCAUUCACCAAGUUUUUCAUUUGACACAAAUCAGAGCUUUUGCCAACACAGUUAGAGUUGAAAUGUAAGAGCUGUUGUUGUCAAAUUCAUACAAAACAGAACCAAAAGAGUAACUUUAAAACAGAGGAAGAGAGAUAUUAUCAAGAUAAAAUAUAUAUCUUUCUUUCUCAAAAGUUUCGUAAAUCAAAAGGGUAAUAUGCAUUUAUAGGAAAUCUAAGUAAAUAAAAUAUCACUAAAAAUAAAUCAAAAUAUAUAUGCUAAGUAAGCACAUAAAUUGAAUAAAUGAUCUGACAAAAGAAUAUAAUUUAUAAAUAAAAAGGUCUGUAAAAGGAGAAAAUAUUAUUUAAACUCUUUUUCACUCUAUAUAUCUUGUAGUUAAAGUUAACUUAUUAAAUAUAAUAAAUUUUUAGAUAAGUUAAUAAUUAUUAAUUUUUAUUUUUAUUAUCUAUAAAUAUUUUGUAAUAUAUUUUGAGAAUUUUUGAGAAAUACCCCUUUUGAUUUACCCCUUUUUAAAAAUAUCCCUUUUGGUGUACCAUUGUUAAAAAAAUACCCUUCUUUUAUAUCCAUUUUCAAAAAUACUCCUUUUUUUUUUUUUUGACAUCAAAUAGACUUGUAUUAGCUCAAUCGAGCCAAUUCAAGGUGCAGUUGGUUACAUACUUGACUGGGUGCGGACUAACACGAACUCGUCGUGCCAGUGAAUCCGCAUGUACAUUCAAGUUUCUCGGAAUAAGUGAUAAAGAAAAAGAGUCAAAUUCUUCCCUAUCUGUGUUGAUAUCAUCCAUGUAUGCAGAGAACGCCGGCCACUCGGACGGAGAAGACACCAUCUUCACCAAGUCUGAACAAUCGGUUAGGAAAGUAACGUCGCGGUAGUUGUGACCAAUCAUGCAUCGCAUCGCCCAAACUAGAGCUUCAACUUCAGAGUGAAGUGGGGAGAGACUUCGACGGAGAUUGGAGGCUCCUAUUAAUGGCAAAGAAUCCCGAGGAUGCUGACAUACCCAACCCAAACCUGCAUACUUAUCUGUAGGCUUCCAAGAUGCAUCAAUAAAACACUGAUACCCUCUAACCAAAGGGGUUAAUGAUAUCGUAGACCUUUGCAACCCCGAAAGUAAUGGGGUUGUCGGUGGUGAAUCCAAUUCUUCAAUCUGUGCAUCAUGCCAGAUUCGUGCUUCCUCAUUAGCCACUCGAACUAUAUCCAGCGGUGACUUAUCCAAAUUUUCAAAAAAAUUUUCAUUUCUCGCUUUCCAAAUAUACCAUAAUAUCCAAGGACAGCAUCUAUAGUCCACAGUUCUUGUCAAGCGCAUAAUAUAAUCCAUAUUAGCAUAAACUGAAGUGGUGGGAAAAGAAAUAGGCCCCACUGGUAUAUUAGCCAAAGCCCAUACUUGGCGAGCAGGUGAGCAUUCAAAAAUGACAUGAUUUACUGUCUCAACGGGAUCACCACACCUGUCGCACCUGGUGUCACAGUUAAUACCCCGUUUGUGUAAAUUUGCCAAUACCGAUAUACAACCAGUCAAUAGCUGCCACAUAAAAUGUUGUAUUUUAGGUGGGCAUUGCGCCUUCCAUACAGCGGCUAGAAGAGGCACUAUAUCUGGGCCAUGAACACUGACCCUUUGUAAUUUUGGAUCCGGCGUUCGAGCAAUAUGAUAUCCCGAUUUCACCGUAUACUUGCCAUGUUUUGUAAAAUGCCACCCGUAAGAAUCUGCUACCGGCCUAUUGCCAAUUGGGAUAGCAUUAAUAAUAGAUACAUCCUCCAAAGUAAAAUGCUCCUGAAGGACCUCUACUCGCCAUGAAUUUGCUUGACGGUCAAUUAGAUUUCUUAUCUGUAGUGAUGGAUCCAUAAUAGACCCAUUACUUAAAGCUGGUCUCGGGAAAUGAGAUGGUAUCCAGGGAUCUGUCCAAACAGAAAUAGAGUCCCCUGUUCCAACUCUUUUAAUAAGCCCUUUGUUUACCAGAGAUCUAGCUGAGAUCAUGCUCCUCCAGCCAUAAGAUGGAGAAUAUGAUUUGAUUGGUUCCAUUGGGGUCGCAUUCCUGUAAUAUCUACCUUUGAAAACCUUAGCAAAAAGUGAAUCUGGAUCAUCCAUUAGCCUCCAUAAUUGUUUUGCUAGGAGUGCCGUAUUAAAAUCAUUAACGUCUCUGAAUCCCAAGCCCCCCAUUCCUUUACUUGAGCAUAGCUUAUCCCAGGUUUUCCAAUGCAUGCCACCAGACUGUCCAUUAGAACUCCACCAAAAUUUGGCUAUCGCACUUGUGAGUUUUGCCGUUAAAGAUUUCGGCAGUCGAAAACAAGACAUGACAUAAGUCGGUAACGCCGAUGCGACUGACUUUAUCAUCACCUCCUUCCCACCUUUAGAUAAUAAUUUGGCCGACCAGCCAUUAAUGUGAACAUUUAAUCUAUCCCGUACAAAGGAGAAAACCUUCGUUUUUGCUCCACCUAAACUCUCCGGUAAUCCAAGAUAUGAGCCCAUGCCGCCUUCCUUUGUAAUUCCUAAGAUAUUCCGAAUUUCCAGUUUGGUAGAUUCUUCCACCUUAUGUCCAAAUUGUAGCGAUGAUUUUUCAAAAUUAAUUCGUUGUCCUGACAUAUGUUCAUAGUUCCUCAGCAGCUCUAAAAUAACCAUACACUGUUCCUUAUUCGCUCGGCAGAAGAACAAGCUAUCGUCCGCAAACAAUAAAUGUGUUAUUGGCGGACACUUAUUUGCCACCUUUAUACCAGUUAAGAGUUUAUCCUGUUCAGCUUUCCGAAUAUUUGCUAUUAGAACUUCCGUGCAAAGGAUAAACAAAUAAGGGGAUAAUGGAUCUCCUUGUCGUAACCCUCGUUCUGGAAUAAUUGUCCCCUCAGGUUGUCCAUUAAUAAGAACUCUGUAUUCGACUGAGGUGAUACAAUACAUUGUCCAUGUGAUCCACGUUUCUGAAAAACCAAAUUUCCGGAGUAACCGUUCAAUAAAUACCCAUUCAAUCCUAUCAUAAGCCUUACUCAUAUCUGUCUUAAUUGCCACAAACUUGCUUUUGCAAGAGGGGUUAGUCCGAAGACCAUGAAACAUCUCUUGUGCAAUCAAUAUAUUAUCCGAAAUCAGACGCCCCGCAACAAAUGCAGACUGCGUCUCUGAAAUUAACCCUGGGAGGACCUUUUUCAGCCGUUGGCAAAGAACUUUAGAAAUAAUUUUAUAGCUCACAUUACACAAACUGAUUGGUCGUAAUUCUGUCAUCCUGGUGGGCCUAUCCACCUUUGGUAUCAAACAAAUAUUAGUCUGGUUUAGCCUUUUAUCAAACACUCCUGUCGUCAGAAAAGCAUUGACCAUAUAAACCAAAUCCGCCUUGAUCGUUCGCCAAGCCUUCUGAAAAAACAAAGCCGUCAUCCCGUCUGGUCCCGGAGCUUUAUCCGGAGACAUCAUGAAAAGAGCAUCAUGAAUCUCCUUUUCUGUAGCUUCUGCCGUCAAUACCUGGUUUAUAUCGUCCGUAAUAAUGGCAUUGAUCUCUUGUAAACCUUCCUCUAAAAUCUGUGGAGAGGUGGUUUGAAAGAGAUCCGCAAAAUAAGUUACAGCUACCCGACAGAUGGCCGGAGAUUCUGUCACCCAAGUGUUAUUAGUAUCAUAUAAGCCAAUAAUCCGAUUUCUUUCCCGGCGUUGUUUUGUUUGUGCGUGGAAAAAUUUGGAGUUCUUAUCACCAACACGCAUCCAGCUGUUCCUGCUUUUUUGUUGCCAAUAUACCUCUUCGUCCUCAUAUGCCUCGCGUAACCGUUUUGAUAGUUCAUAAAUUUCCGAUGGCAAGCUUGCAUCAUCCCUUUGAGCAGCCUCUAAUUUAGUUUUUAAAUCUUCAAUAGUUUCCCUUCCAAACGGCUUCUGUUCCCAACGCCAUUGUGAAAUAGCCCGUCUACAGCUGAUGACUUUAUUCAUAAACAUCCCUGAUCCCUGGUUCGAUACCUCGUUCCAGCCUUCACCGAUUGCUUCCAUGAUACCCUCUUUACCUAUCCAUCUUUUAUCAAAUAUAAACCCGUGCCUCCCUCUUGCCAGUUUCUCCUCAAUAGAAGCUAAAACCGGUUUAUGAUCCGACCCAAUCAUCGGUAAAUAUUCCACUAAAGUCUUCGGGAACACUUCGUGCCAAUCCUCAUUACCGAGUGCCCUAUCUAACCGACAUCUAAUUGGCUUCUUAUCCCGCCACCCCCGCCAUGAAAGCCAAUCCCCAAUAAAAGGAAACUCUAAGAAACCACAAUUUCGAAUUAAAGCAUUGAAGUCUAAGAAGGUAGAGGCAUGUCUCAACUUCCCCCCUCUCUUCUCAUGAUUGCCCGUGAGUUCAUUAAAAUCGCCAACCACAAACCAAGGAGUUGACCGAUUUAGACCAAUCCGNNNNNNNNNNNNNNNNNNNNNNNNNNNNNNNNNNNNNNNNNNNNNNNNNNNNNNNNNNNNNNNNNNNNNNNNNNNNNNNNNNNNNNNNNNNNNNNNNNNNNNNNNNNNNNNNNNNNNNNNNNNNNNGGCAACUUUAUUAAUAUUAUUAUUAAAAAAUAGGGCCAAACCCCCACUACAACCAAUAGGAUCAACCGUAACCAAAUCAUCAUAACCAAAAUGAGCUUGAAAUUUUUCUAAAAAAGGGGACAAUUGUUUUGUCUCCGAGAGAAAUAAAAAGUCGGGUCUAUGGCUAUUCCACAAAUCCCUAAGAUACCCAAUAGUUGCCUUAUUCCCCAAUCCUUGGCAAUUCCAACUCAGAAUCUUCAUUUAUUUCCGUUGGGCUUAGGCGGUUUAGGCCCACCUUGACCUCCCUUAUCCGCAUCUCGUGGUCUCGGGUUAUUGCCAUCACCGGGCGGCACCGUGCUCUUUGGUGCAGAACGUUUGCGGGGAGAAGUAAUGAGCUGCGCAAGGCGCUUUUUAGAACUCGCUCCCGCUACCGUGCCUGGUCGGCCACGCCGGCCCCUCUCCAGUCCAGCCACAUCCCGGGUGGUGAAGUUUCCGUCACCGAGGCCCUCUUCACCCCCAACAGGCCCAUCUAAGGGAGGCCCAACAGGAAUGCCCCUCUCAGCAGUUAUCUCCAGCAGCAGAGGCCCAUCUUGGCCAGACCCACUUGAAUCUCCUACCGUGAUGAUGCCAGGCCCAUCUGGCGAAGGCCCAUCAAAAGUUAAAAACCCAAUUGCCUCUUCAGCACCAACGACUAGUUCUUCGUCUUCCACUUCGAGACCCACCUCAUCACCAUCUGGAAGCAUGUCCUCCACCCCAUGAGUCGGCUCAUCAACAUGCUCCGCUAGUGACACCAUUUCCACAUCCGUGUGCAGAGAAGAUUCGUCAGAUAACAGGAAUGACUGAAUCCUCUCGAGCUCCUCUGUCAUCNNNNNNNNNNNNNNNNNNNNNNNNNNNNNNNNNNNNNNNNNNNNNNNNNNNNNNNNNNNNNNNNNNNNNNNNNNNNNNNNNNNNNNNNNNNNNNNNNNNNAAAACCAGUUUCCACAGUACUCGCAGUUGGCUCCAUGUGUGAUAGCGACCCAACCAAACCAGAUUCCUCAGCAACAACCUCUUGAAAGAGAGAUUUUUGGGCGCGUUUCGGCUUUGUUGCGUCCUUAGUAUGCUCCUUAGCUUCUGUACCAGAGCCACCCGAAGUAUCAGCCAUGUGAUCACCUUUCUUCUGCUCCAAAGCCUUCCCACUACCAUGAGAACGCCGUGACCGAUAAGACGAUUCACCAUGAUAAUACCCAGAUCUGGACCGAUGGUGACCACCCGUUUGAGUAUUCCUUACACCCUUUGAAUCAUCACCACCCCCAUUGUCUUUUUGCGGUCCCUUCUGCGUAGCAGUAUGGUCAGAGCCCCGUCUGCGGUCACUUGCUAGUGCACCUCUGUAGCUAUGAUUGCGUCGCUCACCAUCUUCCUCAGCAGAUGCCCGAGAACUCUCUGAACCCACAGAACCACAAUGCUNNNNNNNNNNNNNNNNNNNNNNNNNNNNNNNNNNNNNNNNNNNNNNNNNNNNNNNNNNNNNNNNNNNNNNNNNNNNNNNNNNNNNNNNNNNNNNNNNNNNACAAUACCCAUGAAGUUUCUCAUACCGCAGUGUCACCAAAAUUUCCUCACCAGUCCCAAACACAAGUUCCGUUUCAAAGCAUAGAGGUUUAAAACCAUCCACAGUCACCUUCACCCUGCCCCCAUCAAUAUCCACUUCAUGUACGAAACCAAGAUCAUCACCAAUGCCCCUGAAUGUGGGAUCAGCCCAAUAUUGGAGUGGNNNNNNNNNNNNNNNNNNNNNNNNNNNNNNNNNNNNNNNNNNNNNNNNNNNNNNNNNNNNNNNNNNNNNNNNNNNNNNNNNNNNNNNNNNNNNNNNNNNNCUGAUCCAAAAAGUAAUCGCUGCUGGAUACGCCGGAUCAACGGAUGGCUCCCACUUAACCAACGCCACCAUCCACUGAUCAAAAUGAAAAGGCUCCAUUUUGAUCACUUCCUCAAUGUCCCCAGCAUCUUCAAAGUCAAACUGAAAUCGCCCAAGACCAAGAUCAGCGCCCACCACCUUGCCUUCCAAUUGCCAGAUACGCGGAAACAUGAAGAGCAGGGUCUUCAUGUCUUGCAUUCUCGGGUUCAUGCACCUCCCAAUGACGGUUUUGGAAUACCCUUUGAUUAACUCGGAGUUGUCGAACAUCGGGAUUUUUAUUUUCCGUUUCAUCACCAUCUCCACCGGCUUCUUGCCAGAACCACCACCCUUCACCAAAGUACUCUGCGACAUAGCCUCAGAAAGCAACGAAAAACAAGCACCGAGAAAAGAGAAGGAUAAGCAAUCUCGAUAAGAACCAAUAAUGUAAUGUGAUGAACAAGGAAACCAGUAAUGGACCUCUUUAUACCUUCGGAGAAGCCGAUUACUCCCCCACUGUAAAUCAUUCCUUAAUUUGUUCGCAAUCAACCCCAAAUCACCAUAAAUCGCUGAUAUUGAGUCGCCAAAAUCGUUGACCAUGAUAAAAUCCACAAUCAGUUGAAAUCGCCUUUGCCUUCCACCUCCAACAUACCAUAAUAAACGGAUGUGCCUUAAACAUAUAUUCUUCAUCAUCGAUCCCCCUUUAUGGCCAAAGAUUGGAUUAGAAUUCCCAAAUCUCGGAUCUUUUUCUCCCGUAACACCCGGAACCAUCUCCUGAGAUCCCAAAAUUAAAUCAAGUAUCCCUCGAUCCUUCCAACCUUCUCCAUAAAACCAAAGAUCCGUAGAUCUACCCGUAGUAAUAACCAGCAAGUAACCCCAAAACUUCACCAAAGGAGACCAUCUCAUUGUUGGGAUGAACCCUAGAGCCUUUCCGCCGCCAUCGUUCCAGAGAGAAAAACUUUUGAAUUAAUAAUUCAAAAAUACUCCUUUUUAAAUAUGAAAAAUAUAAACUUUUAUAUGGUUGAUAAGAUACAUCAAGAUCAUCAUUACUACUGGGAGACUAAAUCCAAAUAUUUAUAAAGUUCUAAACAACAUUUUUAAGGUUUUUAUAAAUUUUUAAAAAGUUUACAAAGUUUCUAUAAAGUUUUUAAAUGAUUUUUAAAAGGUUUUUAUACGGUAGUUAUGAAAUAUAUAUAUAAGUUUAGACACAUAUAUAGAUAAAUUGUGUCUAUACAUAUUAGCUUACACAUAUGUUUUUGAUAAAUUUCAAAAUUUACAAUGACUUUUUGAUAAGAUUAGAAAGAGAGAUAUUUUUGAAACUCCCCCAUAUAUUUUUAUAGAAAAAACUAUAACUUAAUUAAAUAUAUUAAAUUGAGUGAAAUGAUAAAUGAUUAAAAUUUUAAAUAAAAACUUAUAAAUGAUGUAAUAUUGUUGUAAACCACAUGCAUUGUAUUAUUUGAAUAGAGGUUAUUAUGCAAUGAUAAUAGUCAUACAACUUCGUAAAUUACUAUGCUAUAUAUCAUGGUAAGCAUUAAUCUACUGAGUCAAUAUGAACAUAAAUAUAAAUCUAAAAUACUCUUUUUUGGACAGAAAAAAAUAUAAAUCUACAAUACUUAAAAAUAUGAAAAACUCAUACAAAAUAUGAUAGUCACAAAUAAAUAAAAAAUCGAAAUUAUGAAAUUAAAAAAGGGCUGAUGUCUUCUUUUCUUGUUUGUUUGUCUGAGGUUUCCAGCUACUUCCAUGAAUUUCCCGUUGCCUAUCUGCUUCAUUGAUUCGAAUGUAAAUGUUAGAGAAGUUACUUGAUGCUUGUGUAGACUUUUCUCAUAUUUGUGCCAUGGAAAUAGCAAAACCACUACAGAACCCAAAUGACUUUGAUUCUAAAGAAAAAUCAAUGAACGAAGCUUCCUCUCUUGCUAGUUACUAAAGACUCUGUUCUCAGUCAAUGGAGUCAACAUCAGUUAAGAAUCUUAUCCUCUCUUAUACCAAAAAAUAAUAAUAACUUGUGAUCAACGUUCAUUUGUAUAGUCUCUUCUACAUAGCUCUCUUUAACGCUCUCUCCAAUCAUCUCUCCAAUCAUACUUGCUAAUGGAUUCUUCUUCUUUUUUCCUUACCACUGUUGUUGCUGCAACAAUAGGCUUCUUUACCAUUUUAUUCACUAUUUUUAAAAAACUCAGACUCCAUCGAGAAGAGGACAAAAAAACUUCAUCUCCUCCACCUUCCUUGUCUCCUUCAUCUCCUCCAUCUCCUUCAUCUCCUCCAUCUUCUUUGAAUCGCAUCUGGACACACCAUGCUUUCCAAGUUUCCGAGGGGAAGAUGUUCGUAGAGACUUUCUAAGUCACAUCCAAAUGGAGUUUCAAAGAAUGGGAAUCACAUUAUUCAUUGAUAAUGAGAUCAAGAGAGGAGAAUCCAUCGGUCCUGAACUCAUUCGGGCCAUUAGAGGAUCCAAGAUCGCAAUUAUCUUACUCUCGAGAAACUACGCUUCUUCGAGUUGGUGUCUUGACGAAUUGGUAGAAAUUAUGAAGUGCAAAGAAGAAUUGGGUCAAAUGGUGAUGGCUGUUUUCUAUAAAGUGGAUCCGUCUAAUGUGAAAAAACUAACCGGAGAUUUUGGGAAAAUCUUCAGAAAAACUUGUGCUGGUAAAACAAAGCAGGUCACUGGGAGAUGGAGACAAGCUUUGGCUAAAGUAGCAACUAUCGCUGGUUACCAUUCAAGCAACUGGUUUGUUGUUUUCUAUCUCCAUUUAAAUAUGUUAAUUUUUCUAUUUCUAACAAAAAUCUAAUUGUAUAGAAAAGCAUUAAAAAACUAGAUUGACCCAAAUAAAGAGAUUAAUUACUAGACUAACUUAUAAAAUAUUUGGGUUAGAUGAGUAUUUUUCAUUACAAAAAUACCCUUUUCUGCUUUGUUAGGAAAGAAAAAAAAGUCAACAUUACCCUUUACAAAAUAAUCAGCAAUUUUCGUAAAAGUCUGUCGUUAAUGUUGUUAAUGUAGUGACAGUUUUAUUUUUGUACGACAGAUUUAUUAUAGAAUGACAGAUUUUCUAUGACAGAUUUAUUUUUAAUGACAGAUUUGUUUGGAAAUAGUUACGACAGAUUUAAUAUUAGUGACAAAUUAAUUUUUUUAUGACAGACUUUUAAAUGUAACGAUGACAGACUUUUGUUAUAUAGGACAUAUUUUUGUAAUGUAUGACAGAUUUGUGAAAAUAUUUGACAGAUUUAUUUUGUUAGUUAUUUCAGAUUUUUUUUCCCAAAAAAAAAUUGUCGUGUAUUGACAGACUUGUUAACAGAAAAUUAAUUACUAGUUUGACUAAUAGUGAUGACAGAUUUGUGUGAGGUUAUGACAGAUUGUAAAAAUUUACUAAAAAACUGUCACUUGAUAACAGAUUUGUUAAACUUUGUUAAAAAUUGCUAGAAUGACCUAUGUAUGUAAUGGCAGAUUAAUUUAUCUUGUGACAGUUUUUUUUUUUCUGUAAUAUUUGUUUAUGUAGCAACCUAAUUGUAACAUGUAAUGACAGAUAUUUUGAUGGGUUAUGACAGAUUCUAUAACAAAUUUUAAUGAAGGUUCUAUGACAGUUGUUUUUUCCGAGUAGUGACAUAGUGAUUUUUUUUUACUUAUUACGACAAAUUUUUUUAAAGAUUAUGACAGAUUUAUUACUAUGUUAUGCGACAGAUUUGUAUAAGGUGUAGCGACAUACAUUUUUAAAAGUAAGUGUUAAGUUUGCCAUAUAAAACCGUAAAAAAAAAUUAGGGUUUUUGGAAGUUACGUCUUGUUUUGUUUUGCCUCGCUUCCUCCUCCUCUCCAUCGACUUUUGAUAAUGUUUAUUAUAUUUUUGAACUUAACUUGUUAAAUAAUAUUUAUUUAUGUAUUAUGAUAAAUAAAAUUUCCAUUUAGUUUAUAUAUAUAUUUUUAAUAUUUUCGUUCAUAAAUUUAGUAGAAAACAUAAGAUAAAAAUAAACUUUAUGUUUUGAUUAUUUCUAUAUUAUGUAUUUUUGAAUGUUUUAUGUAAGUUUAAUUUUUGAAAAAAAAUUAUAAUAUAGAAAAAUAUUAUAAAUUUUUUCAUUUUAUUAUGACAGACUUAAUAUAUGUGUGACAGACUUUUCUAUUAAUUGCCAUUUUUUAGGUUUAGGUUUUUUGGACUUUUUACAUAAAUAUUGUGUCAUUCUAGUAAUGACAAAAAACAGAGGGUUAAUCCAGUUAUUUUUAGCCAAAUUUGUGUCAAACUAGUUAAAUUUCACAUUUUUUAAUGUGUGAUUUCUCCAUAAUUGUUUCAUCGAUGUAGUGAUCUCUUUUAUUGUUAGGGAUAAUGAGGCGGCUAUGAUCAAAGAAAUCUCUACUGAUAUUUCCAACAAGUUGAAUAAUUCAGCAUCAUCAAGUGAUUUCGACGGGUUGAUUGGUAUGAAAGCUCAUUUGAAGAAGAUGGAACAAUUGUUAUGCCUAGAUUCAGACGAAGUGAGGAUGAUAGGGAUUUGGGGUCCUUCUGGGAUAGGGAAGACCACCAUUGCUAGAGUUGCAUACAACAAAUUCUCCAACAAAUUUCAGCUAAGUGUCUUUAUGGAAUCUAUAGAAGUAAAGUAUACAAGACCUUGUUCUGAUGACUAUGGUGCAAAGUUGCACUUACAACAACUAUUUAUGUCUCAAAUAACCAACCAAAAUGAUAUGAAGAUUUCUCAUUUAGGAGUGUUUAAAGACAGGCUAAAAGACAAGAAAGUUCUUGUUGUUCUUGAUGGUGUGGACCAGUCAAUGCAACUAGAUGCCAUGGCGAAAGAACCUCGGUGGUUUGGUCCUGGGAGUCGGAUUAUCAUCACAACCCAAAAUCGAAAGCUUUUUAGGAUACAUGGGAUCAACCAUAUUUACAAGGUGGAUUUUCCACCGGAUGACGAGGCUCUUCAAAUCUUUUGCACGUAUGCUUUUGGUCAAAAGUCCUCUAAAGUUGGUUUUAAAGAACUUGCUCGAGAAGUUACAAAACUUGCUGGUAAACUCCCUUUGGGUUUAAGGGUUAUGGGCUCUCAUUUUCGAGGAAUGUCUAAGCAAGAGUGGAAAAAGGAAUUACCAAGGCUAAGGACUAGCCUUGAUACCGAUAUUCAAAGCAUUUUGAAGUUCAGUUAUGAUGCCUUAGAUGACGAAGAAAAAUAUUUGUUUCUUCAUAUAGCUUGCUUUUUUAAUUAUCAAGUGAUUGAGAAAGUGGUUACUCAUCUUUCAUAUCUAUUAUUGGAUGCGAGAAAAGGGCUUAACGUCUUAGCUGAAAAAUCUCUCAUAUCUAUAGAGUAUGGAAGUGUACGUAUGCAUAAUCUGCUAGUCCAACUAGGUAGAGAUAUAGUUCGUAAACAGUCUAUUCAUGAGCCUGGAAACCGCCUAUAUUUAAUUGAUGCAAGAGAAAUUUAUGAAAUACUCAUUGACGAUGUACGAGUAAGUCUUAAAUAUCUCUCAAAAAAUCUAGUUUAUUUGAUAUUGAACAAAAUCUUAUUAUUUUUGUUCCUUUUUCAGGCUAGUAGAAGAUUGAUAGGCAUAAAUUUCAAUUUCGGCACGAAAAGCGUCAAGAAAAGUUUUAAUAUAAGUGAGAGAGCCUUUCAACGAAUGACUAAUCUCCGGUUCUUAAGAUUUGAGGGGGAUCACAAUACAUUAGAUCUACCAUGUGGUCUAGAUUAUAUGUCUCGAAAUCUUCGAUUAUUACGAUGGACGUAUUUUCCGAUGACAUGUUUGCCUCCUAUUUUCAACCCGGAGUUCAUAGUUGAAAUAAAUUUGAGGAAUAGCAAACUUGAGAAGCUGUGGGAAGAAUUUAAAGUAAGUAAUUUUUUUUGUUUUUCAUAAAAUUUAUAUUAAAUUCAAAUAAAUAUAAUUUCCUUAAUAUAAUUUUAUGUCAGUUAAUUAUUAAAAGCAAGUAAAAGUGUUUUUAUGUUCUUUUGUACAGUUUGUUUUUUGGAUUAAGUUUAGAUAAAAUGUUCUUACUCUUUGUCUGUACAGCCGCUUCCAAAUCUCAAGUGGAUGGAUUUGUAUUCGUCUAAGAACCUAAAGGAGCUUCCUGAUCUCUCAACAGCCACCAAUCUUCUAGAAUUGAAUCUCGGAGGUUGCUCCAGCCUAGUGAAGCUCCCAUCUACUAUUGGGUAUACUAAAAGUCUUCAGAAAUUGAAUCUUGGUUAUUGCUCAAGUCUGAUGCGUCUCCCCUCUUUCAUUGGAAGUUCCACUAAUCUCCAAAUAUUAUAUCUUCGUGGAUGCUCAAGUUUGGUGGAGCUUCCUUCUUUUUAUGGUAAUUUCAUCAAUCUAAAAGAUUUGGAUCUUAGCAAUUUAGCAUGUCUGGUGGAGCUCCCUUCCUUUGUUGGUAAUGCUACUAAUCUAGAGAUUUUGGACCUUAGCGAUUGCUCAAGUCUGGUAAAGCUUCCCUUUUCUAUUGGAAACCUUCAGAAGCUGCAGAGAUUGAAUUUACACGGAUGCUCGAAGCUAGAGUAUCUUCCGACCGACAUCAACUUGGAAUCUCUGGAUAUACUUGAACUCACUGAUUGCUUGCUGUUGAAAUUGUUUCCUGAGAUCUGCACGAGCCUUAGAAUUCUCGAUCUCAGAGGAACUGCAAUAGAAGAAGUGCCUUCAUCAAUCAAAUCUUGGUCUCAUCUCACAAGUUUGAGUAUGACAUACAGUGUAAAACUCAAGGAAUGUCCUCAUGCUUUUGACACCAUCACAACUCUGUACGUGGAUGAUGACGAAAUACAAGAGCUUCCUCCAUGGGUCAACGAAUUCUCUCGUCUGGAAUUACUUCUACUCAAUGGAUGCAAAAAGCUGGUGUCAAUCCCACAGAUUCCAGAUUCCCUCAUUGCCAUAACUGCAAUUGAUUGUGAGUCCUUGGAAGAGUUUCCUCCGUGGAUCAACAAAUCCUCUCGUCCGUAUCCACAUCAACUCUUGCUCAAGGGAUGCAAAAAGCUGGUAUCACUCCCACAGAUUCCAGAUUCCCUCACUUACAUAAUUGCAGAAGAUUGUGAGUCCCUAGAGAGACUAGAUUGCUCCUUUCAAAGUAAAGAUACUGAUCUUCUCAGUUUUGCUAAGUGCUUCAAAUUGAAUCAAGAAGCCAGAGACUUCAUCAUCCGAACACGGACUAGAGGUUAUGCGGUCUUACCUGGUGGAGAAGUACCUUCAUACUUCACUCACCGAGCUGCCGGAGGUUCCUUGACAAUUAAUUUAAAUGAGAAGCCUCUUCCUACAUCCAUGAGAUUUAAAGCUUGCAUUUUGCUGGUUAAUGAAAAUGAAAAUGACACUCGCUCUAGCGUUACUGUUACGUGUAAAAAUAGCAGGAUGCGACUAUAUGACAUUUUUACAGAGCAUCUGUACAUAUUCGAAGUGGGAAUGGACGUGACUUCCAACGAGCUUGUCUUUGAGUUCAAGGUCGACCGUAACAACUGGAAGAUAGCACAAUGCGGGGUGAUCCAACUCUCAGAGGUCGCUUGAUGUAAACAUGACAAGGCGAUUACAGAGACACACCCCUUGGUGAAACUGAAGUCUAUGGCAAAGUACUGGAGACUGUCACUACAAUUGAAGAGCAUAAUGAGAGAAGCAACAAGGUAACAUAAUCUACGUUUAUAGAUUUUGUACAAUAUUAAGGGAAUUUGAAAUCUUUGUGUAUAUGCAACCUUAAUUCUUCUUUUAAAGUUUUAAUCAUGAACCAUUAUCUGAAGAAAGCAUUUGAAUAUUAUGUAGCCUAUUGUGUUAAAUCAUCUCAUUAACAAAUGUGAGAAAUAUUUAAAGUUGUAUUUCCAACAUUGAUUAUGGUACGUGAUCAGCUUAUGCAUUUUUAUAGUUUGUUUUUUCAACCACAGGUUAGUAAUCCGUCAAUGCAAUUUAUGUUGUAUGAGACAAUGUCAACCAACCGCUUUGGAGGUCAAGACAGGGGACUAAAGCAAAGAGUUGUUGUGUUGGUUUUUAAAUCGCAGGAACGUUGGACGCGUUUCUGAAAAUGAUUCGAUACGAAGGGCUUUACGGGUUUUACAAAGGGAUGAGCACAAAGAUAGUGCAAAGUGUGUUAGCCGCUGCAGUUCUGUUCAUGAUCAAGGAAGAGCUUACGAAGGGAGCUAAGUGCAAGCCUUCUUAAAUAAACGCUAUCCAACUAGCAUUGUUAGAUUGGUAACGGUUAUGCCCUAGUCUUGGAUUGCAAUCAAAUUCUGAGUUUUUGACCAAAAUUAAUUUACAUGCGUUCUUGUAUGGAGAUGAGGCAAUAUGAUAUAAGUACGUCGGCAGUAUCUUAAGAUUGUAACAUAUUCUUGCAGGUAAAAAUGUCAAAAAAAGAUCUUAAACUUUCAAAUUUAGGACGAUUAAAACAUAACUUUCGGAAUGUCGUUUAAAUCACAAAGUUAGCCGCUGCGGUUUUGUUCAUGAUCAAGGAAGAGCUUACGAAGGGAGCUAAGUUGUUGCUCUCAAAUGCCAACUCUAGCAAACUCAAGUCCAAGCCUUCUUAAAUAAACGCUAUCCAACGACAACACACGCUAUACUUAUGGUACGUUACGUGUGAGCUUAUGAUUUUGAAGCUUCUCUUAUGUUGUUUGUCUAGGUGCAUUUUUAUUGUUUAUUUUUCAACCACAUGUCAGUAAAGUCACGACUUCAAACCAAACAGGUCAUGACAGGGGACAAAAGACAACAAUGCAAAGGUUAUAUCCCUCUUGCAAUAAUAAGAUCAUCAAAAACUCAUUUCUCAAUUAAAGCAAAGAGUUGUUGUGUUGGUUUUGAAAUCGCAGGACCGUUAGAGGAGAUACUGAAAAUGAUUCGAUAUUAAGGGCUUUACGGGUUUUACAAAGAGAUGAGCACAAAGAUAAGUGCAAAGUGUUUUAGCGGCUGAGGUUCUGUUCAUGAUCAAGGAAGAGCUUGCGAAUGGAGCUAAGUUGUUUCUCUCAAACUCAAGUCCAAGCCUUCUUAAAUAAAGAUUAUAAGAUUGAAAUAAAAUAAAACAGAUUAAAUUUCCAAUAAUAAAAUAAAUGUAUUUAAAUGACAUUUCGGAAGUUGGGGAUUUAAACGUCCAUAAUUUGAAAGUGUAUGAUUUUUUUUGACAUUUUUCCUUUUAAUUUAUCACACACUAUUGUCGUGCAUUUCAAUAAGGGUUAAUUGCAUGUGGACACACUUUCAAAACUUUAAUUGCAUUAUGACACACUUAUAAACUCAUGGUGCACUUUGGAAAAGUUUGUUUACUCUCUCACCCUCACUUUGACAACAUAUUAACUCAUUUGCCAUCCCAACUAAAAUUCCACGCAACUAAACACUUACGUUCUCUUCCUCUUCCUUUUCUUCUUACUCUUUUUCAAUUCUUUCCCUUUUUUCUCUUUCUCUUUCUCAUUUUUUUUCUUUCUUUUUUUAUAAUCACUUUAUCUUGUUAUUAUAACAAUAUUUUAUAUUUAUUUUUGUACAAUACUCAAUAUUUCCAUUUUUCCUAUAUUUGAAGAUGCAUUUUACUAUAUUUCUGGAUAAAUUAUAUUAUAUAUAUUAUCCAUUUGUAGUUGACCAUUUAUUCGCUGAUAAUUGUAUAGUCAAUUGUAAUAUCAUUUCUGGAUAUACAUAUUUGUGUUUGGACAUUUUAGCAACAUGUGGUUACUUUUUACAUGUUUUAGUAUAUAAUAAGUGCAUAUAUACAUGGGAACAUUUCAAUAAAAAUGAGUGUAAAUUAGUGUCUCUGUACAUGUGAACAUAUGGACAAUAAUCGUCUAUCCAACGUCGAAGAUGAGAGUAUUAAGAAUGAUUGGAAGCAUUUUUGGACAGAAUAGGUUAUCGAUAUCCAAAAAACCUCAUCCACAUGAUCACAAAGAGCAUCGUCACUACCGAUUUAAAUCUGUAAAAACGAAAAACCAAAAAAAAUAAAAAUACUCAGAAGCACUUACCUAGAUCUGUCAUGCAAAAUGAUUGAGAAAUUAGUAUAUACAAGUUUAACAUAAACGAGAAAACUGAGAAGCACUUACUCUAUUCAAGUUUAACAUAAACGAGAAGACAUAUCGUCGAUAUGUUGGAGAAAACGAAACAGCUAUGUACCACUUUAUGGAUAUUGUCCAAUAUAUGCAGUUUUGUGGAUGUUGUCUAAUGGACGUUGGACUUGUUGCUUUUGUUCAAGACUUGAAUUUUCCCUAACAUGUCAUUUGUUUGAAUAAUGUAACGAUGGGAAAGAGUUCAUGGAUAACCAUGAUAAUGUCGAAAUUUGGUUUGGGGAUUUAGUAAAACUUUUAAACAUGAAGAAAUCUUCUCAUGUCGAGUAUAUCGGAUGGACAAGAUUCAUGGACAACAAUAAUAAGAGAGAGAUAGUGUGUUUGGAUAUUUUCAACUAUCCACCAUCUUAUAAACAUUUUGAUCACAUAUGUCCAUUUUCAAAUAUCCACUUUCAAUAAUCUAUUUUCUCAAAAAUUCACAUUAGUUUCACAAAUUUUAUGGUGUCAAUGUUGUACUCUCCAUAUGGACAAUAUAAUUUGCACUUUAAAUAUAGCAAAAUGGAUCUCAUUAUAUAGAAAAAAUACAAUUAGCAUGUAUUGUACAAAAAUAAAUAAAAAAAUAUUUUCUUGAUAAUACAUAAAAUUGACAAUAAAAAAAAAACUAAGGAAAAUGAGAAAGAGAAAAAGAAUUUGUAUAUCAACACAUUUGAACUAUACCUACGUCGUCGUUAUUCUUCAACCAGUUUUUGAAAUAACUAUUUGUCACUAACAUGUUUUAUUAUAAUAUUAAAUUGUAAAAGUGUUGGGUAACUAUAGUUUUUAAAUCAAACGGACGACGACGACAAUUGGAAACAGACGAGACACAAUUUUACUUUAUUAGGACAGUUUGUGUCUUUUUUUGGCGCAAACAGUGGCCAAAGUACACCAACAAUUGGAAAGUGUGUUUUUUGUAAGUUCUCCCCUUAAAGUGUGUUUAUAUGUAAAUCACCCUUUCAAUAAUGAUUGCAAUUGUUUAUUGUUUUUUUACAAGAUUACUAGAGACUUUUUGUUUGAUCUGAUGACUUAAAUGAUUCUACAUAAGGUUUAUACGAAGAUCCAGUCCAGAGAUUAUUUAACUUAUUUUCGUAAAAUGUAAUUGUAAUUUUUUUUUCCUUUGGUUUUGUGAAAUGUAAACGUUUAUCAUGAAUUUUUUUUUUAGUUUCAAAAAGUCUAUUGUAUUCUUCUACGAAAACUAUGACUGAUGCCAACAUACUUUCAAUUUGUUACAUCUGCAUCCAUGUCAGCUAUUACCAAAAAAUAAUAUAAAUCUUCUUUUAUAGCGUUUUCUUCCUCUUUAAUAAAUUCUUCAGUUGUAAAUGUGUAAAACAAUUUUCACUCUCUCUUCUGGUUUUGAUUAUUUAUUUCAGCCUCAACAUGACUUGUAACACGUUAGAUCAUGGGUUAGUCUUUGUUGUUCGAUAAUUGUUUUGUAUAAUCUAUAUAAUGAUGGACGUACUAAUCAUUUCUUAUAAUGUACAGAUUCUCAACUUAGCUUAAAACAAAUUUAAUGGAAUAUAUAACGACAAAUAUUAUUAUAAACAUAGUUAAUAAUUAAAAAAAAAACUUAUUAUUGAUCCAUUGUUUUUGAGAAAUAUAAGGCCAUAUAAUCAAAAUUAUCAAUGGGUUUUAGAGAGUAUGUUAGGGUAUUAAGGUUAUAAAAAUAAAUCAAAAUUGAUUAAUUUUACUAAGAUACUUGAGUUGGGUAUGUUGGAGAAGGAUUUUUUUUGUGGGUUAAGAGACGCCACGUGGCGCAAUCGGAUUGGGUAAGUUUUUUUUUUUAAUUUUUUAAUUUUUUAAUUUUUUUUGGAGAAUGAUUCUUUUGGUGGGUUAUGACAUUAUAUUUUUUUUUUUAAAAUUUUUUUAUUUUUUUUUGUAAACCAUUUAUUAUGACAUUACUAUAAUUUCUAUGAAUUGGGUAAGUUGAUAAUUAUAUUAUGACAUAACAAUUUUCAAAUUUAACUAUCAAUUUGAUGAAUCGAUGUUAAGAAAAACCCAAUAAAAUUAGCCAUACAUGAAAAACACAAGUCAAUUUUCUUAUAUUACAAAUUAUAAAAAAAAUCUAAAAUACCCAACUUAAGAUCCUACCAAUAAACACAUCUCAAAACUAAAAACAAAAUAAAAGCUCUUAAACUCUACUUUUUCAAAUUUAAUACUAAAUUAAUACUAACAUACCCUAACUAACAUUCUUCCUAUAAUGUUAGCUUUCAGUUGCUAGAGGAGCUCUUGUCUCCUUAAAAUCCUCUGUUCUUGGAGUGUAAUCGUUUACUCUACCUUAGUCAAUCAAACUGUUUGCCAAAAAAAAAAAAAACUUUCAGCUCCUUGGGCGCCAAAAUUGAUUAUUCUGUGCAAAAUACACAUAUAACACAUUAAUUGUAUUGUUUCAUGAUCCAUGGAGAAAAUUAUCAUAGUAUUGGAUUUUUAUUGCCUAAAGAAGGUGAGAAACCAAAAUUCUCACAAAUUGCAAAGGUUUAUCUUCACAUGUGUUAUAAGUCAAGAAGACUUUGUUUGUGAACAAACCAUCGGCAAAUGUUAUGCACUAACUUAAGUAUUGAUUAUAGCUUCUCUUCUUAGUUCUUACCCUGGAGACUUCACAAUAUUGAUCAUGAUUUCUUUGCUACUUCCAUGAAUUUUCCGUUGCCUAUCUAAUGUAAAUGUUAGAGAAGUUACUUGUGUAUACUUUCUCAUAUUUAAUUUGUGUCAUGAGAAAUAACGAAGCUUCCUUCUUUGUUACUUGACAAUGCUUUUGUAUACUUUUCUCAUAUUUGUGUCAUGCAUGGAAGUAGCACAACCACUAUAAACCCAACAUGACUUGUUCUUUGUUCUCAUAUACUUUAAACUUUUUGUUACUAAAAAAAUAUUUGAACGAAGCUUCCUCUCUUGCUAGUUGCUAGCCUAGUCAAUGAUCAUUAAAAAUAAAUAUGAUCAAUGUCAGUGGAGAAACUUAUCAAAAUUAAAAAUAAAUAACAUUUGCUAAGUCAAUGUGUCAACGCUCUUUUGUAAUGUAUACAUAGUCUCUUUGCAACUUGUGAUCCUUCUCCACAUAAGCUCUCUUUAACGUUCUUUGAUAUUAUUCAUAUCUCCAUUCAUACUUGCUAAUGGAUUCUUCUUCUUUUUUCCUUACCACUGUUCUUGCUGCAACAAUAGGCUUGUUCACGAUUUUAUUCACGAUUUUUAAAAAACUCAGACUCCAUCAAGAAGAGGACGAAGAAACUUCAUCUCCUCCAUCUUCCUUGUCUCCUUCAUCACCUCCAUCUUCCUUGUCUCCAUCAUCUCCUUCAUCUUCUUUGAAUCGCAUCUGGACACACCAUGUCUUUCCAAGUUUCCGUGGGGAAGAUGUCCGUAGAGACUUUCUUAGUCACAUUCAGAUGGAGUUCCAACGAAUGGGAAUCACAACAUUCAUUGAUAAUGAGAUCAAGAGAGGAGAAUCCAUCGGUCCUGAACUCAUUCGGGCGAUUAGAGAAUCCAAGAUCGCAAUUAUCUUACUCUCGAGAAACUACGCUUCUUCGAGUUGGUGUCUUGACGAAUUGGUGGAAAUUAUGAAGUGUAAGGAAGAAUUGGGUCAAAUGGUGAUGGCUGUUUUCUAUAAAGUAGAUCCGUCUGAUGUGAAAAAACUAACCGGAGAUUUUGGGAAAAUCUUUAGAAAAACUUGUGCCGGUAAAACAAAGCAGGACACUGGGAGAUGGAGACAAGCUUUGGCUAAAAUAGCAACUAUCGCUGGUUACCAUUCAAGCAACUGGUUUGUUGUUUUCAAUUUUCAUUUAAAUCUGUUAAAUUAUCUAACACACAUCUAAAUGUACAUAUUUAUAGCUUGGUUUUCUUAAAGCAUAGAAAUUAAAUUCAUAGUAUUCUAGUGUGUGUUUUGUACAUAAUUGUUUAAUCGAUGUAGUGAUCUCUUCUAUUGUUAGGGAUAAUGAAGCGGCUAUGAUCAAACAAAUCUCUACUGAUAUUUCCAACGAGUUGAAUAAUUCAGCAUUAUCAAGUGAUUUUGACGGGUUGGUUGGUAUGAGAGCUCAUUUGAAGAAGAUGGAACCAUUGUUAUGCCUAGAUUCAGAUGAAGUGAGGAUGAUCGGGAUUUGGGGUCCUUCUGGGAUCGGGAAAACCACCAUUGCUAGAGUUGCAUACAGCAAAUUCUCCAACAAUUUUCAGCUAAGUGUCUUUAUGGAAUCUUUAGAAGUAAACUAUACAAGACCCUUUUCCGAUGACUAUAGUGCAAAGUUGCACUUACAACAACAAUUUAUGUCUCAAAUAACCAACCAAAAUGAUAUGAAGAUUUCUCAUUUAGGAGUUGUUAAAGACAGGCUAAAAGACAAGAAAGUUCUUGUUGUUCUGGAUGGUGUGGACCAGUCAAUGCAACUAGAUGCCAUGGCGAAAGAAACUUGGUGNNNNNNNNNNNNNNNNNNNNNNNNNNNNNNNNNNNNNNNNNNNNNNNNNNNNNNNNNNNNNNNNNNNNNNNNNNNNNNNNNNNNNNNNNNNNNNNNNNNNCCUGGGAGUCGGAUUAUCAUCACAACGCAAAAUCGAAAGAUUUUUAGGACACAUGGGAUCAACCAUAUUUACAAGGUGGACUUUCCACCUGCUGAUGAGGCUUUUCAAAUCUUUUGCACGUAUGCUUUUGGUCAAAAGUCCCCUAAAUAUGGGUUUAAAGAACUUUCUCAAGAAGUUACAAACCUUGCUGGUAAUCUCCCUUUGGGUUUAAGGGUUAUGGGCUCUUAUUUUCGAGGAAUGUCUAAGCAGGAGUGGAAAAAGGAAUUACCAAGGCUAAGGACUAGCCUUGACGCUGAUAUUCAAAGCAUUUUGAAGUUCAGUUAUGAUGCCUUAGAUGACGAAGAAAAAUAUUUGUUUCUUCAUAUAGCUUGCUUUUUUAAUCAUCAAGUGAUUGAGAAAGUGGUUGCUCAUCUUUCAUAUCUAUUAUUGGAUGCGAGACAAGGGCUUAAUGUCUUAGCUGAGAAAUCUCUCAUAUCUAUAGAGCGUGGAAGAAUAAAUAUGCAUAAUCUGCUAGUCCAACUAGGUAGAGAUACAGUUCGUAAACAAUUUGUUCGUGAGCUUGGACAACGCCUAUAUUUAGUUGAUUCAAGAGAACUAUGUGAAAUACUCAUUGGUGAUGUAGCGGUAAUUUUUGACGUAUAUCCCAACAAAUCGUGUUUAUUUGAUGAUGAAUCAUCUCUUAUAAUUUUUGUUCCUUUUUCAGGCUAGUAGAAGAUUCAUAGGCAUAAAUUUCGAUUUUAGCACGGAAAGCGUCAAGAAAAUUUUUAAUAUAAAUGAGAGAGUCUUUCAAGGAAUGACUAAUCUCCAGUUCUUAAAAUUCCAGGGGUGUCACAAAACAUUAGAUCUACCAUGUGGUCUAGAGUAUAUGUCUCAAAAUCUUCGAUUAUUACAAUGGGAGUCUUUUUCGGUGACAUGUUUGCCUCCUAUUUUCAACUCGGAGUUCCUUGUUGAACUAGAGUUGUGUUUUAGCAAACUUGAGAAGCUGUGGGAAGAAAUUAAAGUAAGUACAAUUUUUAUUUUUUUUUCAUAAAAUUUAAAUUAAUUUCAAAUAAAUAUCUUCUCCUUGUUAUAAUUUUAUUUUAAUUAAUUAUUAAAGCAUGUAAGAGUGGUUUAUGUUCUUUUAUACAGUCUUUGUUUUAAUAAUUGUAGAGAAAUGUUCUUAUUAUUUGUUUGUACAGCCGCUUCCAAAUCUUAAGUGGAUGGAUUUGAGUUGGUCUCAAAACCUAAAGGAGCUUCCUGAUCUCUCAACAGCCACCAAUCUUCUGGAAUUGAAUCUUCGUGGUUGCUCCAGCCUAGUGAAGCUCCCAUCUAUUAUUGGGUCUGCUAAAAAUCUUCAGAAAUUGAAUCUCCAAUAUUGCUCCAGCCUAGUGAAGCUCCCAUCUACUAUUGGGUCUACUAAUAAUCUUCAGAAAUUGAAUCUUGGUGGUUGCUCAAGUCUGAUAAGUCUCCCCUCUUUCAUUGGAAGUUCUACUAAUCUGCAAGUAUUAUAUCUCAGUGGAUGCUCAAGUCUGGUGGAGCUCCCUUCCUUUGAUGGUAAUGCCAUGAAUCUUGCAAGUUUGAACCUUAGCUUCCCAAUUCUAUUGGAAACCUUCAAAAGCUGGAGUCUUUGAGCUUACAAGAAUGCUCUAAGCUAGAGUUUCUUCCGACAGACAUCAAUUUGGAAUCUCUCCAUGAACUUGAUCUCACGAAUUGCUUGUCGUUGAAAUUUCUCUAUCUCACAGGAACUGCAAUAGAAGAAGUCCCUUCAUCAAUCAAAUAUUGGUCUCGUCUCACAGAUUUGAGUAUGACAUACAGUGUAAAACUCAAGGAAUGUCCUCAUGCUUUUGACGUCAUCAAAAAGCUGCACGUGGAUGAUAAAGAAAUACAAGUGCUUCCUUCAUGGGUCAACGAAUUCUCUCGUCUGCAAUCACUUCGACUCUAUGGAUGCAAAAAGCUGGUGUCAAUCCCACAGAUGUCAGAUUCCGUUUAUUUCAUAGAUGCAACAUUUUGUGAGUCCUUGGAAGAGAUUCCCCCAUGGAUCAACAAAUUCAUAGAUUGUGAGUCCUUAGAAGAGUUUCCCAAAUAUUAUCAACUCGAGCUCAAGAGAUGCAGAAAGCUGGUAUCACUCCCACAUAUUCCAGAUUCCCUCAUUUACAUAGAUGCAGAAGAUUGUGAGUCCUUGGAGAGACUAGAUUUCUCCUUUCAAAAUCCAUAUAUUCGUUUUCUCAAUUUUUCCAAGUGCUUCAAAUUGAAUCAAGAAGCCAGAGACUUCAUCAUCCGAACACGGACUAGAGGUUAUGCGGUCUUACCUGGCGGAGAAGUGCCUUCAUACUUCCCUCACCGAGCCACUACUGGAGGUUCCUUGACUGUUAAGUUGAAUGAGAAGCCUCUUCCUACUUCCAUGAGAUUUAAAGCUUGCAUUUUGCUGGUUAAUGAAAAUGAAAAUGACACUCGCUCUAGCGUUACUGUUACGUGUAAAAAUAGCAGGAUGCGACUAUAUGACAAUUUUACAGAUCAUCUGUACAUAUUCGAAGUGGGAAUGGACGUGACUUCCAACGAGCUUGUCUUUGAGUUCAAGGUCGACCGUAACGACUGGAAGAUAGCACAAUGCGGGGUAAUCCAACUCUCAGAGGUCCCUUGAUGUAAUCAUAACAAGGCGAUUAUAGAGAGACAACCCCUUGGUGAAACUGAAGUCUAUGGGUGAAGUAUUGGAGACUGUCACUACAAUUCAAGAGCAUAAUGAGAGAAGCAACAAGGUAACAUAAUCUACGUUUCUAGAUUUUAUACAAUUUUAAGGGAAUUUGAAAUCUUUGUGUAUCUGCAACCUUAAUUCUUCUUUUAAAGUUUUAAUCGUGAACCAUUAUCUGAAGAAAGAAUUUGAAUAUUAUGUAGUCUAUUGUGUUAAAUCAUCUCAUCAACAAAUAUGAGAAAUAUUUAAAGUUGUAUUUCCAACAUUGAUUAUGGUACGUGAUCAGCUUAUGCAUUUUUAUAGUUUGUUUUUUCAACCACAGGUUAGUCAUCCGUCAAUGCAAUUUAUGUUGUAUGAGACAAUGUCAACCAACCGCUUUGGAGGUCAAGACAGGGGACUACAGCAAAGAGUUGUUGUGUUGGUUUCUUAAAUCGCAGGAGCGUUGGACGCGUUUUUAAAAAUGAUUCGAUACGAAGGGCAUUACGGGUUUUACAAAGGGAUGAGCACAAAGAUAGUGCAAAGUGUUCUGUUCAAGGAUGAGCUUGCGAAGGGAGCUAAGUUGUUGCUCUCAAAUGCCAAACUCAAGUCCAAGCCUUCUUAAAUAAACGCUAUCCAACGACAACUUUUAGAUUAUAAGAUUGAAAUAAAAUAAAAUAGAUUAAUUUAUCAAACACUAUUGGGAGUGUCGUGCAUUUUCAUUCCUGUAGACUUUUUGUUUGAUCUGAUGACUAAAGUGAUUCUACAUAAGGUUUAUACGAAGUUCCAGUCCAGAGAUAUAAAAAAUUUAGAAUCACUUUCAUCACUAAAAUGAUUCUACACUUUGGAAAUCAUCAUGAAUCUAUCUUAUUAUUUUUGCAACCAUUUUUUUGACAACCCUUUACUAAAAUAUUUUUGACACAAAAUAUCCUUACUUCUAAACAAUUAACCAAAGAUCAUUAAGGCUAAUUUUGUAAUCUUGAAUGUCGGGUCGGUUUUAAAUCAAAAUUUAAAACCCGAUUUCAUUAAUCGGAUCUUUGAAAAACCAAAAACUAUAUUUCCUAUUUUAAUCACCGCAAACCUAUUAAAUUCCGAAUUGAUAUGGUAAUUAAACAUAUAUAGAAACUUUAUAAAUAAAUAAACAUAAUAUUGCAUAAAAAUCGGAUCAUAAUAUAACCAUAUAUUCUUGAUUUUAUUUAUUUGGAAACAUACGUAUUGAUUAUUCUACUUUUAAAAAGAUUAAUAUCAAAUCUGGAUUUCCUAUAUUUAUUAGUUAGAAAUCGAGAAACUCUAGGAAAUAUAAACUAAUUUACUGAUUCAAAUAAAACUCAAAACUUACACACAUAUACCAAAUCUAACCAUUCAAAUACCAAACCACAAAAAACACAGAAAUGUGUUAUACUAUACUCACUACUCACUUAGAAUGAUCGAUCACUUGAAGAAAUUAUUAUGAAAUAUUCAAAUUAAUUUCUUCACGUAUGAUGUUUCUUUCUCCUGCUUUUUUUUUAUUUUAUUUUUUAUUUUUUGUGCACCACAUUUUCUUUUUCAAAAAUUAAUGAAUUAAUAACUAUAGAAAAACAGAAAGAUUAUAUUUCCAUAUCUUGAAUUACAAACAAUUCCUUAUAUUAUGGUUUUUAAAGAUUUUCAAUCAAUAUCAAAUCAUAUUAAGUAAUAAAUAUUAAGGAUAUUACUUUUCGGGGUUUAGAAAAACCCUACGGUUGGAUCCGAAAUCUCUAUAAAUACAUAAAACAACACAUACACUAGAGUAGUUCUAUAAUCCUCACAUGUGUACUAAAGCUAUCAAAGCAAUAUCGAUAUUUUUUUUUCUUCAAGAACAUAAUCAAUUCUUGUCUAAUAUCAUGUCGUUUGAAUUUGAGUAUGUCAUGUAAUUUAUUCUGAUUCUAAUGGCUUUAUUUUGGGUUACUUUAGAUUUAUAUUUGAUAGUCUCACAAAAAAUUACAAAAUCUACACUAUUUUUUCAUGGCAUAUUCCCCAGCUAAAUACUAUAUCCUCUAUUUUAUUCCAUAAUCCUAGCUUGCUCACCAAGAUUUUAGAUGAUCACUCACGCAUACCCCUCAAAUUUCAUUAUACACUAUAAAUAUGUUUUAUUUUCAGUAGCUAAAAACACCAUAUCUGAAAAGCAACUCUAUUAUAUCACAAUGAAAGAGUAUACUAUCUUCGUUGCUUUCUUCUUCACAUGGGAACUCAAGCUCUGAUUUUCUUCCUCAGCCUCCUUUUUCGUCAAAGCUUAUGGCAUUUUCUUCUUCAACCAAAAUUAUGUACCAAACAGUUUCUAUUUAUCUGACGUCGGUUUGGUUCAAGUCUCCUGAACCGAAUGAGUUGGAUUUGAUUUGUUGUGAAGGAGAAAGCUCACUUUCACACUUAGUGUUAAUGUUACAAACAAUUAGAGAUUUUAAACAAAUAUGAUGUUAAUGUUACAAACAAUUAUAAAAGACGUGACUUAAGUUUGUAAUCAUAUUUGAUUAGAGAUGUAAAUGUUACAAAUAUCAAAAUUAAUCAUUUAGAGAUGUUAAUGUUACAAAUAUGAUGUUAACGUUACAAAUUUAUUAGAGAUAUUACUUAUAAUCAAUAGCAAUUAAAAUCUCUAAUUGUUUGUAACAACUCUAAUAAAUUUUGUUAACUAACACAUUACACAUUAACAUCAUAUUUGUUUUAAAAAUUCCAACUUUAAAUGUAAAGUUUUUUCAUUUUAUCAAAAUAUAAAGAAACAAAUUUUAAGAACUCCUAAAUUAUAUGACACAACGGGUAAGAAUGAUUUUUCAUCAUCAUAAGAAAUAUCACGGGGUUGUGAUUGAGAUGAACUCUAACUUCAAAUCUACUUCAAAUUUAUAAAAUUACAUUAAUUUUAAUAAUACAAAUAUUAUUUUUUUUAAAAAGAAUUAACUCACAUACACUAUAUUCAACUUGCAAAUCUAAAUAUGUUUACAAAUAUAAAUGUACUUUGUAUAUAUAAUCAUUUAGCAAAUCUGAGUUUAAUGGAAGCAAAGAAAUUAAUAAAAAUGUUAGGAAAAUAAAUUUUUCACUUUCAUCACUAAAAUGAUUCUACACUUUGGAAAUCACCAUGAAUUAGAUUUUAUUUUCUGAUAAAAUUGUGCUUCUAUACUAACAUUUCUAAAGCAGUUUUUGAAAUAAAUCACUAACUUUCAAACUAUUUACGGAGAAUACCACUGCAUUUAAUACAAUAUCUUUAAAAAUAAAUAGAAAAUAAUUGGAAAAAAUAAAAAUGGAAAUACAUAGCUAUUUAGAAGAUUUAAAAUUAUAGUUCAACUAUCAUAUUUGUUUGAUUUGCAUAUAAAACAUAAAAUUAAUCAAAUCUAAUUGUCUUUUUCAGCAUAUUUUUUUUUUUGAAUUUUUUAAAACGUAUCUAUAUAUCAUUCAGUUAAUAUAAAAAAUUAUAUGUUCAACAUCUCAAAUCCGUUAAAAAGUUAAGAGAAUCAUUUAGAGCCAUAUUAUACAUAAGAUCAAAAUGAGUUGAAAUGCGAGUAAGCAAAAAGUUUUACUUAAUAAGCAUCCAAACUUUAAAGUUUGUAUAACAUUUAGUUCAUUUUUAAGUGAACUGUUUGAUUUUACCGUAUAUAGUCAAUUUUAAACUUUUAAUUUAAAUUUAAUAAAAAAUUUAAACUAACACAAACAUUUUUUUUUGAGGAUGGGUUGUGUAAAACACAACGAGACUGGUUUGAAUCGAUAUUAAUUACUAAACAAUUAUCAUAUCAUUAGUCUGAUAUUUCAAUACCGGUUAAAUCUUUAUUUUCUAUUUUUAAUAACACUAAUAUAAUGCAUAUAGAAUCAAACUGAUUAACAUAAGACUAGGUUCGGACCCGCACUACAGUGUGGGGGAAAUAAUUACAAAUAUAUAACCUUUAACGGAUUUGAAUAUGUUACAUUUUAAUUUUAUUACAGUGCAGUCGAGUACGGUGAAUCAUAUAUAUGUAUAAUAAGUUUAAAUAAAAUAAUAUACGAAAAAGCGAGUAAAUAAUCAUAUAUUGAGUUUUCAUACAACUAAAAACACGGUGAAGUAUUAAUAGCACGAAAUAAUAAUUGUCGAUAAAUUAUUCAUUUUGACCUUUUUGUAGUAGAAGUAGGAUUAUACAUAAAAAUUACAUAUUUACAAUAUAUUUUUUGAAGGACCAACCCGUAACAGAAUUCAUUUCGUAAAAAACUUUAUUCAUUACUCGCUUUAUCAUUAUAAUUAUUAUUUUAACAAACUACCCGUGAAAUAUCUAAAAUUUACAUAGUUUGAUAUAUAAUAUAUUUUAUCAAUAAAAAUUAAGUCUCCAAAAUUACAUUUAUUUCUUCAAAAAUAUACUUUUUGAAAUUUUAAAUAUGUUCAUGUAACAAUGGUUUUAAUAUUGGCCAUACUUAUAAUGAUUUUAAACCAUUGUCCAAAAUAUUUAAAGGGAAAAAUGUUAUUUAAAUCCCGAACAUACCAAUUUUGGUCAUUUUAAUACUCGACUUCUAAUGUGGCCAUUAAAAUCAUAGACUUCUCGUUGACAUUAUUUUUAAAUCGCUGUCUCCUGUUAACUGAGCCAGAUUGAGCAUGUCGUCAAAUCAAAUUCUCUAAGAGGAGUUAACAGCCGUUUAGGAUUGUUAAUUGAUCUCUGUUAAGUCAAAAAAUGAGAAUCACAAGGACAAGUGACGUCGUGCUGCCUUAAACGAAAUGCCUAAAUCCCCAAACUGAGUGUAGUUGUGUAUUAUAUGUCCAUUUUGAAAAAUUUAAAUUGCAACGUAUGCAAAAAAAAGGUUAAAUUUAAUUAAAUAUUUAUAUUAUAUAGUAUAAUAUCAUAAAUAAAAAAGAGAAAUUCUUACUAAUAACCUUUUUAUAAUACCCUUUUGCAAAACUACCCUCUUUUUUUGCCAUUUUCAAUUUUGUCCUCUCUUAAAUUUUAAUGGUCAUUUUACCUCUUACGUGAAAGAAUAUUUUCCCCAAAAAAUUCCUGCCUAAAUUUUCCCGCCAAAAAAAUUUCCUGCAAAAAAAAUAUUUUACAAAAUUUUCCCGCCAAAUUUUUUUAAAGGUUUUACAAGGAUUUUUAAAGGGUCUUUUAAAGUUUGCAAGGGGGUUUAAAGGGAUUUACGAGUUUUUAAAUGACUUUUAAAAGAUUUGUAAUGGUUUUAAAGGGUUUUAGAAGCUUACAAAGGUUUCUAAAUGGUUUUUAAAUGAUUUCCAAUGGUUUUUAAAAGUUUUUAUUAGUUUAUAACAGUUUUAAAAGGAUUUACAAGGAUUUACAAGGAUUUUUAAAGGUUGUUUAAAAGAAUUUACUAGUGUUUUUAAAAAGAUUUACAAGUGUUUUUAAAGUCAUACAAGGUAACAUAACAUCAUCUACGUAGAAAGAAGGUAACAUAAUAUACGUUUAUAGAAUUUGUACAAUAUUAAGGGAAUUUGAAAUCUUAUUGUAUCUGCAACCUUAGCCAAAUAUUAAUUCUUCUUAAAAUUUUUUUUAUCAUGAAUUAUUAUCUGAAGAAAGCAUUUGAAUUUUAUAGUCCAGUGUGUUAAAUCAUUUCACCAACAUAAAUAUCUCUUGACCUUUUGUUUGAUUUGAUGACUAAACAUAGAGUUUAGAAUCACUUUAACUACAUUUUAUAGUCUUCUUUAUAGAUUAUUUUUCUGAUAAAACCUUCUCAAUACAUGUGAUAAGUUAACUAAUAUGUUAUUACCAGAUCAAGAGAGCACUUUUAAAAAUUUUGUCAUUUCUCUCCAAACAUUGUAAAACCACAUGCUGCUUCUUUGAUGCCCAUGCUACAGCUCCACCUCCUAACAAAAAUGCCCACUUGUACUCUUUCUAUCAUCAAUGUCUCCUGCAUAGUCACUGUCUGUAUAUACAAAAAUGCCCAAUUAUAGCUUGAGACUAUAGUUUACAACAUCGUUGCUUAUAACGAUAAAUAAAUAAUUUUAAGAGAGUCAACUAACUUUGACUUUGUUAUCUUCAUUGGUUUUGGUCUCUUCUUCCUGUGUGAUAUAUUUCCAAACUUCAUCAACAGUUCCCGUCGAUGUUGAGCCUUGCACUAGAUUUAUUCUUAACCAACUCAUCCAUUUUAGACAAGUUGAUAAUUAUUAAUUAUUACUUUUUUCAUUUUCUAUAAAUCUUUUUCAUAUAUUGUUUAUAGACAAAAACUUUAAUUUUAUUAAAUAAAUUAAAUUUAAGGAAAUGAUAAAUGAUUACAAUUAUAAAUAAAAACUUAUAAUUAAUGUAAUAUUGUUGUAAACCACAUGCAUUGUGUAGAAUUAAUUUGAAUAGAGGUUCUUAUGAAAUGAUGGUAUUCAUACAACUUAGGAAAUUUCUAUGCUAUAUUUCAUGGUAAUCAUUUAUCUACUGAAUUAAGAUUAACUUAAAUAUGUACAAUACUCUCUUCUUCUUUUUUUUUUUUUUAUAAAUCUACAAUAUUAAAAAAAUAUGCAAAAAAUCAUCCAAAAUAUGAUGAUUACAAAUAAAUAAAUAUCAGAAUUACAAAGGGCUGAUUUCUUUUUUUUUAAUUUGAGGUUUCCAGCUGUACUUCCAUAAAGUUUUUUUUUUAAUUGAAUGUAAAAUUUUAUUCAAUCAAAAACCAUGUGUACAAAUAAUGCUUCAGUUGGUUUAAAAAAUUAGACAAUAGUUGGAAAAUAAAACAGAAUUUAAAAAGCUAUAUGUGAAUUUUAGCGGGUGGAAUACAUGAGGCGGAGACCAUCGUUAUAAUGAGGAUCACCUAUGUCUCGGAUUGUGCUGAGACUGUUUCGUACAUUGUUGUCAAUGAACAUUCUUUUCUUUUAAUAAAUCUACAAUAUUUUAAAUUAUGGAAAUACUCAUCCAAAAUAUGAUGAUCACAAAUAGAUUAAAAUCAGAAGUUUCCAACUGUUGCCUAUUUAAUGUAAAUAUUAGAGAAGUUACUUUUGUGUAUACUUUGCUCAUAUUUAAUUUGUGUCAUGGAAAUAGCACAAUCACUACAGAAUCCACAUGACUUUGUUCUCAUUUACUUUAAAGUUUUGUUUCUAAAAAAAUCUUUGAACGAAGCUUCCUCUCUUGCUAGUUGCUAGUCCUGUGUGAGAACUAAAGACUCUUUUAUAUUAUGAGUCAAUGAGUCAACGUUCUUUUAUAAUGUAUACAUAGUCUCUUUUGCAACUGAUCUUCUUCCACAUAGCUCUCUUUAACGCUCUCUGAUAUUAUUCAUCUCUUCAAUCAUACUUGCUAAUGGAUUCUUCUUCUUUUUUCCUUACCACUGUUCUUGCUGCAACAAUAGGCUUCUUCACGAUUUUUAAAAAACUCAGACUCCAUCAAGAAGAGGACGAAGAAACUUCAUCUCCUCCAUCUUCUUUGUCUCCUUCAUCUUCUCCAUCUUCUCUAAAUCGCAUCUGGACACACCAUGUCUUUCCAAGUUUCCGUGGGGAAGAUGUCCGUAGAGACUUUCUUAGUCACAUUCAGAUGGAGUUUCAAAGAAUGGGAAUCACACCAUUCAUUGAUAAUGAGAUCAAGAGAGGAGAAUCCAUCGGUCCUGAACUCAUUCGGGCCAUUAGAGGAUCCAAGAUCGCAAUUAUCUUACUCUCGAGAAACUACGCUUCUUCGAGUUGGUGUCUUGACGAAUUGGUGGAAAUUAUGAAGUGCAAGGAAGAAUUGGGUCAAAUAGUGAUGGUUGUAUUUUAUAAAGUGGAUCCCUCUGAUGUGAAAAAACUAACCGGAGAAUUUGGGAAAAUCUUCAGAAAAACUUGUGCCGGUAAAACAAAGCAGGACACUGGGAGAUGGAGACAAGCUUUGGCUAAAGUAGCCACAAUCGCUGGUUACCAUUCAAGCAACUGGUUUGUUUUUUUCUAUUUUCAUUUAAAUCUGUUAAAUUAUCUAACAAACAUCUAAAUGUACAUAUUUAUAGCUAGUUUUUCUUAAAGCAUAAAAAUUAAAUUCAUAGUAUUGUAGUGUAUGUUCUCUACAUAAUUGCUUAAUCGAUGUAGUGAUCUCUUCUAUUGUUAGGGAUAAUGAAGCGGCUAUGAUCAAACAAAUCUCUACUGAUAUUUCCAACGAGUUGAAUAAUUCAGCAUUAUCAAGUGAUUUUGACGGGUUGGUUGGUAUGAGAGCUCAUUUGAAGAAGAUGGAACCAUUGUUAUGCCUAGAUUCAGAUGAAGUGAGGAUGAUCGGGAUUUGGGGUCCUUCUGGGAUCGGGAAAACCACCAUUGCUAGAGUUGCAUACAACAAAUUCUCCAAUAAUUUUCAGCUAAGUGUCUUUAUGGAAUCUAUAGAAGUAAAGUAUACAAGACCUUGUUCUGAUGACUAUAGUGCAAAGUUGCACUUACAACAAUUAUUUAUGUCUCAAAUAACCAACCAAAAUGAUAUGAAGAUUUCUCAUUUAGGAGUUGUUAAAGACAGACUAAAAGACAAGAAAGUUCUUGUUAUUCUUGAUGGUGUGGACCAGUCAAUACAACUAGAAGCCAUGGCGAAAGAAACUCGGUGGUUUGGUCCUGGGAGUCGGAUUAUCAUCACAACGCAAAAUCGAAAGAUUUUUAGGACACAUGGGAUCAACCAUAUUUACAAGGUGGAUUUUCCACCGGAUGACGAGGCUCUUCAAAUUUUUUGCACGUAUGCUUUUGGUCAAAAGUCCUCUAAAGAUGGUUUUAAAGAACUUGCUCGAGAAGUUACAAAACUUGCUGGUAAACUCCCUUUGGGUUUAAGGGUUAUGGGCUCUUAUUUUCGAGGAAUGUCUAAGCAGGAGUGGGCAAAGGAAUUACCAAGGUUAAGGACUAGCCUUGAUACCGAUAUUCAAAGCAUUCUGAAGUUCAGUUAUGAUGCCUUAGAUGACGAAGAAAAAUAUUUGUUUCUUCAUAUAGCUUGCUUUUUUAAUUAUCAAGUGAUUGAGAAAGUGGUUACUCAUCUUUCAUAUCUAUUAUUGGAUGCGAGACGAGGGCUUAACGUCUUAGCUGAGAAAUCUCUCAUAUCUAUAGAGUAUGGACGUGUAAGUAUGCAUAAUCUGCUAGUCCAACUAGGUAGAGAUAUAGUUCGUAAACAGUCUGUUCGUGAGCCUGGACAACGCCUAUAUUUAGUUGAUGGAAGAGAAAUUUGUGAAAUACUCACUGAUGAUGUAGGAGUAAGUUUUGACAUAUAUCCCAAUAAAUAGUGUUUAUUUGAUGAUGAAUCAUCUCUUAUUAUUUUUGUUUCUUUUUCAGACUAAUAGAAGAUUCAUAGGCAUAAAUUUCGAUUUCGGCGUGAAAAGUGUCAAGAAAAAAUUUAGUAUAAGUGAGAGAGCCUUUCAAGGAAUGACUAAUCUCCAGUUCUUAAAAUUGAAGGGAAUUCACAAUACAUUAGAUCUACUCCGUGGUCUAGAAUAUAUGUCUGGAAAUCUUCGAUUACUACUAUGGAUGGAGUUUCCAAUGACAUGUUUGCCUCCUAUUUUUAAGCUAGAGUUGCUAGUUGAAAUAGAGUUGAGUUAUAGCAAACUUGAGAAGUUGUGGGAAGGAAUUAAAGUAAGUACAAUAUUUAUUUAUAUUUCAGAAAUUUAAACUAAUUUCAAAUAAAUAUCUUUUCAUUGUUAUAAUUUUAUUUUGAUUAAUUAUUAAAGCUUAUGUUCUUGUCAUUUUUCUGUAUAGCUGCUUCCAAAUCUCAAGUGGAUGGAUUUGAGAUCGUCUAAAAACCUAAUGGAGCUUCCUGAUCUCUCAACAGCCAACAAUCUUCUGGAAUUGAAUCUCCAAAAUUGCUCCAGCCUAGUGAAUCUCCCCUCUACUAUUGGGUAUACUAAAAAUCUUCAGAAAUUGAAUCUUGGUGGAUGCUCAAGUCUGAUAAGUCUCCCCUCUUUCAUUGGAACUUCCACUAAUCUCCAAAUAUUAUAUAUCGGUGGAUGCUCAAGUCUAGUGGAGCUUCCUUCCUUUGAUAAUAAUUUCAUCAGUCUAAGUGGAUUGGAUCUUAGCAAUUUAUCAAGUCUGGUGGAGCUUCCUUCCUUUGAUGGUAAUUUCAUCAAUCUAAAAACAUUGAAUCUUAGCCGUUUAUUAAAUCUGGUGGAGCUCCCUUCCUUUGUUGGUAAUGCUACUAAUCUAGAGAAUUUGGACCUUAGCGAUUGCUCAAGUCUGGUAAAGCUUCCCUUUUCUAUUGGAAACCUUCAGAAGCUGCAGACUUUGAUCUUAGACGGGUGCUCGAAGCUAGAGUAUCUUCCGACUGACAUCAAUUUGGAAUCUCUGGAUAUACUUGAUCUCACGAAUUGCUUGUUGUUGAAAUUGUUUCCGGUGAUUUCCACGAACCUUAGCACUCUCCAUCUCACAGGAACUGCAAUUGAAGAAGUCCCUUCAUCAAUCAAAUCUUGGUCUCGUCUCACAGAUUUGCUGAUGACAUACAGUGUAAAACUCAAGGAAUGUCCUCAUGCUUUUGACGUCAUCACAGAGCUGCACGUGGAUGAUAAAGAAAUACAAGAGCUUCCUCCAUGGGUCAACGAAUUCUCUCGUCUGCAAAAACUUCGACUCUAUGGAUGCAAAAAGCUGGUGUCAAUCCCACAGAUUCCAGAUUCCCUCACUUCCAUAGUUGCAGAAGAUUGUGAGUCCUUGGAGAGACUAGAUUUCUCCUUUCAAAAUCCAAAAAUUUAUAGUCUCAAUUUUGAUAAGUGCUUCAAAUUGAAUCAAGAAGCCAGAGACCUCAUCAUCCAAAAACAGACUAUAACCUAUGCGGUCUUACCCGGCGGAGAAGUGCCUGCAUACUUCACUCACCGAACUGCUACCGGAGGUUCCUUGAAAAUUAAUUUAAACGAGAAGCCUCUUCCUAUAUUCAUGAGAUUUAAAGCUUGCAUUUUGCUGGUUAAUGAAGGUGACAAUGACGAGACAUGCUCUCACGUUUAUGUUACGUGUAAAAAUAGCAAAAUGGGACUUUCUUUAUUUGCCACCAGCUGGAUAGAACUAGAUGACAUUUUAACAGAGCAUUUGUACAUAUUCGAAGUGGAAAUGGAUGUAAUUUCCAGCGAGCUUAUCUUUGAGUUCAAGGUUCGCCAAGACGAUUGGGAGAUAGGACAGUGCAAUUGGAAGAUAGGACAAUGCGGGGUAAUCCAACUCUUGGAGGUCCCUUGAUGAAACUGAAGUCUACGGUAAAGUAUUGGAGACGGCCACUACAAUUCAAGAGCACACGGAGAGAAGGAAAAAGGUAAUUUAUCAAUCUGCGUUAUUAGAUUUUGUUCUAUAUUUUAAGGGAUUUGAAGACUCUGUCUCUGAGAAUUUUAAUCUCUUUUCAACUUUUAGGAUUCAAAUAUUAUUUUUCUGCUUUACAUAAGAUUCACUAGAGGGCACGCAAGGCUGAACAAGACCCAGCCAAUCCAAGGAGUUCAUGGCGAGCUGGAUUGAGAGGAUGAUGCAUAAGUCUGACGUUGGGGAGAGCUCUUUGAAGAGGUUUUGGACUGAACCAUAUAUGACGAUGCUAAUAAAUGAGAAAAGAUUCUUAGCAACACAAAAUGUUAGCCAAAAUCUAAUAAAAACCUCAAUACAAGGUAAACCCAUAUUCACUGAAAUAAACCAUGGUAAGAGACUGCUGUUUGCAGUAAAGGCUCGCACAAACGCGAGAAAAUUGCCAACCAAGGGCGUGUAAGCACCUGCGAGAGAACCGAAUGAGCAAAUCAUGAUCGAAGAAAACCAUAACAUAUGCCUAACCUGGCCACAAUGGAGAGGAACAGAGCUUGUGGUGAUGAAAUUCCAGCAAGACUCUCUAACCUCUAGUGCCUUAGUAGCUAUAUGUAGUUCACACGAUAGAUAGUCAAUGGGAAAGAAGAGUACACACAUAUUUGGUGACUUUGGCUGAGAAAGACUAACAACCAAAGCAUCUACCGCGACGGGCAGAAGGAGGAGAGGAGUGUCCGUUCCUUUUAGGCGGUGGGGCAAGGCGAGAUCUUGUGAAAGAGGAGAUGACGGUGGUUGGGACUGGAUAUGAGCUUUCUCGGACAAGAAGGAGACAUGGAAGGUGGAACAAUGUAGGCAUGUAGCUGCGAUUUAAACUCGUCAGAGGAGAGGCGGAUCUGAGAAGGUGGGUCCGGUGGUUCUGGCGGAGUCGGCGGAGGCGGAGGCUCUGGUAGAAGCACUUGAGGAAACCUCAGACCGAGGGAAAGAACCGAACACGUCGGGAAUGCAACUAUUUUUUGUCUCACUUAGUUUUUCUUUCACUUUGUUAAACCUGAACUAUUAUUAUCUGAAGAAAGCAUUUUAAUAUUAUAGUCUAGUGUGUUAAAUCAUCUCAUCAACAAAUGUGAGAAAUAUCUCUGGAAUUUUUGUUAGAUCUAAUUUACUAAAGUGAUUCUACAUAAAAUUUAGGAAUAAUUGGGAUUUUAGAACAUUUUUCAAACUUAAUUAGUAAAAUAGUACAAUUACUAUUUAUAAUUGGCAAAUUAGUCACCUUUCCCUAUUUUCCACUAUUUUGAAGACUUUAUAACCCUCUCAUCUCUCUCAUAUUUACACUAAAUGCCAUUAAACUUAUUUUUAUAUAUAUUUUUGUGUAUUUUCUUUUUCUCUCUUUUUAUAAUCUAAUAAAUAAAAUAUUAAUUAACAUAUUUUUCUGAUUUUCUAAUACAGUAAACUUAUAUAUACACAAUUUUUAUUUUUACACUCAUAUUUACUGUAUAUUAUAUAAUUUAUAUGAAUAAAAUAUAUAUUAUGUACAAAAAAAUAUAUGUACAUAUAUAAUUGUAUAUAUAUACUUGUACAUAUAUAUAAUUGUACAAAUAUAAACAUUGUACAGUUAAAAUAUUUGUACAAAGAUAUAAAUCGUACAGAAUAAUGUAUGUACAAAUACAAUUGUACGGAUAUAAAAUAUUGUACAUGAUUAUUUUUGUACAUAUACGUCUUUCCGUACAGAUAGACAAAUGUACGAAUCAUAAUUUGAAUGAAAUAUAUUUGAAAAUAUUAAACAAUAUGCAUAUCAAAUUGUAGAGAAAAAAGAAGAUGAUUUUUCUGUUUCUAAAGUUUUUUAAAAAACAAAUUCAUAUAAUUAAUAUUUUAGUUAUUAAAUUAGUGGGAGAAUGUAAGAAAUAAAAAAAAAAUAUAUAUAUAUAUAUAUAUAUAUAUAUAUGAGAUGGAGAGAGAAAGAGAAUAUGGAUGGCAUUUGUCUUUUGUUUACGAGAGAAAGAGAGAGAUAUGAUUAUAGGACAGUUUGGUAAUUGCAAAAAAUUAGAAAAGAGCUUCUAUUACAUACACAGUAAAAUACGGAGGUGGGUUUUACUAAUUCUAAAUAGUAAAGUGACUAUAUCCCCUAUUAAGUUUGGAAAAUAUACUAAUUUGCAAAGUCUCCCUAAAAUUUAUAGGAUCCAGUCCAAAGAUAUUAAUUUUUUAGAAUCACAACUAAAUAUUAGAAAUCACCCUGAUAAAAUCUUUGAUGCAGCGCAUCUUAGUCGUUCUUUUUAAGUUGGGCUUUGGUGUUAUGUUUAUUACUUGGGCUUUACGUUUUGAUUUCAUAAACUAUUUCUAAGUCGGUUUUACUUAGGGUUUUCUUAGCUUUGUAUUUAUAGCCACUUCUCUUGAUGAAAGAGGUCACGUUUUAUUGAAUAUAAUCAAAAGCUUUAAGCUUAUUGCUUUCUCUUGAUCUUCGGCUAUUCAUUGAAUCAACGAACUUCAAGUCUUGUCUUUGUUUGGCUAUUCUCUUGAAUCAACAAGCAAUUAGACAGCCCCUUAUUGAUCGGUCAUUCUUUUGAAUCAACGAUCUUUAGGUUCUAUCGGGUAACGCUGCGCCAAUCUUACAAUACAUUCUCAGUACGAGAGCUUUCAAAUUCAGGUUAUUAGUUAAGAGCACAUUUAAAUUUUUGUCAUUUGGCUCCAAACAUUGUAAACAAUACAGAGUAUAUUAGACUUGUUUAUAGUAUACUAAAACAUAAAUAAAAUAUGAGCCCAUGAAUAAAACCAAACCUUGAAAAAUCCACUUUUAUGUUAAUGUUUACAUCACAUAAAUUUACUCAAUAUUUUGGAUUGAAAUUUAAAAAUAUCAUUUAAUAUCUAUCUAAACAUAUUUUAACCAAAAUUAUUCUACAUAAUAUAAAGUAGGACCUAUGAUGUACCACAUAAUUUUUUUAAUGUUCUAUCUAUUAUUAUAUAUUUAAUAUAUAAAAUCCUAUAAUUAAAAUUAUAUUUUUAAUGUUUUAAAAGUUAUAAUAAAGAUUUUUAAAAGGGUGAAUUAAAAUUUUAUACUCAUUUACUAUACCAUAUACAAAAUACUAAUGAAUUACAUUUUGUUUAUUGUAUGUAGGGUUUAGGGUUUAGGGUUUAGGGAAAAUACUAAUUAAAUAUUAAAAAUAUUACAGACUUGGUUGUUGUUUAUUGUAUAUCCAAAUAAAUUUUAAUAUGUGAAUUUUGAUAUAUUUUAGGGUAAUUUGCAUUGAUAGUCACUUUCAUAAACAAUUCACAUAAUUAGUAACUUUUAAAACUUGAGGAAGAAGUAUAAGGAAAAUAAAGGGCACAAUUAGCCUCCAUCUUUUCUAACUAACCAGUUACACAUUUUCUUUCUCCACACUCUCUUUCUAAAAUCUGAAACAUACACACUCUCUCUCUCUCUCUCUCCACUCUCUAUUCCCAAAAUCUGAAUACUCUUUUUUUUUGGCCUACGAAACUUCCUUUUUUCUAUACAUCUAUCCACCUUUUCUUUUUGUUUAUGUAUCAGUUAUUUUUAAUACAAUGAUUCAAGCGAUAUCCACAUUGAUUUAAAAAUUAAAAUUAGAUAGUUCGCAAAUCGUUUUAAAAAGACACCUAUGUGGAUGUGCUCUACAUCUACUCUUCCACUGCGUAUAAACUCAAAAAAUAAUAACCCCAUAUUACUGUUUUCUUAUCAACAUUUUCUUUCUCGCAACUCAUUUUAAUUGGUAAUUUGGAUCUUAGCCAUUUAUCAAGUCUGGUAGAGCUCCCUUCCUUUGUUGGUAAUGCCAUGAAUCUUGAAAGGUUGGACCUUAGUAAUUGCUCAAGUCUCCUAAAGCUUCCCAAUUCUAUUGGAAACCUCCGUAAGUUGAAGAUUUUGAUAUUACAAGAAUGCUCGAAGCUAGAGUAUCUUCCGACAGACAUCAACUUGGAAUCUCUGGAUUGUCUUUAUCUCACGAAUUGCUUGCUGUUGAAUCUUUUUUCCUCAGAUCUCCAUGAACCGUAUAACUCUAGAUCUCAGAGGAACUGCAAUAGAAAAAGCCCCUUCAUCAAUCAAAUCUUGGUCUCGUUUCACAGAUUUGAUAAUGACAUACAGUGUAAAACUCAAGGAAUGUCCUCAUGCUUUUGACAUCAUCACAGAGCUGCACGUGGAUGAUAAAGAAAUACAAGAGCUUCCUCCAUGGGUCAACAGAUUCUCUCGUCUGCAAGAACUUCGGUUCAAUGGAUGCAAAAAGCUGGUGUCAAUCCCACAAAUUUCAGAUUCUCUCAUGUACAUAGUUGCAGAGGAUUGUGAGUCCUUUGAAGAGUUUCCCCCAUGGAUCAGUAAAUCCUCUCAUCUGAAUGAACUCGUGCUCAAGAGAUGCAGAAAGCUGGUAUCACUCCCACAUAUUCCAGAUUCCCUCACUUACAUAGUUGCAGAAGAUUGUGAGUCCUUGGAGAGACUAUAUUGCUCCUUUCAAAAUCCAUAUAUUUCUGGCCUCCAUUUUGCUAAGUGCUUCAAAUUGAAUCAAGAAGCCAGAGACCUCAUCAUCCGAACAUGGACUAGUGACUAUGCUUACGAAGGGAGCUAAGUUGUUGCUCUCAAAUGCCAAACUCUAGCAAACUCAAGUCCAAGCAUUCUUAAAUAAACGCUAUCCAACGACAACACACGUGUGAGCUUAUGAUUUUGAAGCUUCUCUUAUGUUGUUUGUCGAGGUGCAUUUUUAUUGUUUAUUUUUCAACCACAGGUCAGUAAAGUCACGACUUCAAACCAAACAGGUCAUGGCAGGGGACAAAAGACAACAAUACAAAGGCUAUCCCUCUUGCAAUAAUAAGAUCAUCAAAAACUCAUUUCUCAACUAAAGCAAAGAGUUGUUGUGUUGGUUUUGAAAUCGUAGGACCGUUAGAGGAGAUACUGAAAAUGAUUCGAUACGAAGUGCUUUACAGGUUUUACAAAGGGAUGGAGCACAAAGAUAAGUGCAAAGUGUUUAAGCGGCUGAGGUUCUGACAAUAUUGGUGGCCAAGAAAAGUGUUACCCUUCAUUCAUCUUUACAAGAGUAUUUAUACAUAAGAGUGGAAGCCCUAGAGAAUAUUCUAGACUUGAUAUACAAGAUACAAUAAGAUACAAUAAUAGGAAAUAUCUAAUUAUUAACAUAAUAAUCCCCAAUACUCCCCCUCAAGUUGGCGCAUGAAGAUCGCGAAUGCCCAACUUGUCAAUAAGAAAUGUGAAUUGUGGAGCACCAAGUGACUUAGUGAGGAAGUCGGCGAGCUGGUUGGAUGUGUGAAUCUUCUUAGUAGCAAUAAGACCCUCUUGAAUCGCAUCACGAACAAAGUGGCAGUCAGCUUCAAUAUGUUUGGUACGCUCAUGAAACACCGGAUUAGCUGCAAUAUGAAGGGCGGCCUGAUUAUCACAAAAGAGAGAGACUGGAGCAGUACGACGGAUACCAAAACAAGAAAGAAGCUCAUGUUCCCAUUUGAUUUCACAAGUAGUAUAUCGCAUUGCCCUAUAUUCAGCUUCAGCGGAAGAGAGAGAAACAGUCUUCUGCUUCUUAGUUUUCCAUGCAACAGGUGACCCGCCAAGAAGAAUAACAUAUCCCGUCAACGACCGGCGAGUGAGCUUACAAGCGGCAUGAUCAGCAUCACAAUAAGCGGAGAGGUGGAGAUCACCAUGAGCAGCAAGGAGAAUACCUUGACCGGGGCAACCUUUUAGAUAUUUCACCACUCUAAGCGCUGCCUCCCAAUGCUUAACCAGCGGCUUCUUAAGAAACUGGGCAAGAAUAUGUAUAACAUAGGAAAGAUCAGGACGUGUAACCAUGAGGUAGACUAGACGACCCACAAGACGACGAUACUUUUCGGGAUCAGCAUAAGGACCAUCUUCGGGAUGAAGUAACCGAUGAUUUUCCUCCAUAGGAGUAGCAACCGGUCGGCUGGCAAGUAGACCACACUCAUCAAUAAUAUCCAAAGUAUACUUCCUCUGUGACAAAUAAAUACCCUUCGGUGAGCGAGCAACUUCAAUACCAAGAAAGUAUUUUAAUGGACCCAAAUCUUUCAUCUUAAAACAUUCACUCAAAUAGCACUUAAAUUCAGAGAUAGCACGCGAGUCAUUCCCGCCAAUUAACAAAUCAUCAACAUACACAAGGACAUAUAACCGCAUAUCACCACGAGAUAAGUAGAAUAAAGAGUAAUCCGUGUAUGUCUGAGUAAAACCAUAUCCAAGCAAAGCUUGUGUGAGCUUUGCAAACCAACACCGCGGAGCUUGGCGCAAACCAUAUAAAGAUUUACGAAGACGUAAGACUUUAUUAGAACCAGAAGAAUGAAAACCCGGCGGAAGCGUCAUGUAAACCUCUUCAUCCAAAUCACCAUGAAGAAAUGCAUUAUGCACAUCCAUUUGAUGAACAUCCCAUUGCUUUACUGCUGCAACCUUAAGAAACAUACGAAUAGUUGUCAUCUUAGCCACAGGAGCAAAAGUCUCUUCAAAGUCUUUCCCAGCAAUUUGUCGAUCACCACGGAUAACCAAACGUGCCUUAUAUCGUUCAAUAGACCCAUCUGAAUGGUGUUUAAUGGUAAAUAUCCAGCGACACCCAAGAGCCUUCUUACCCGGAGGAAGAUCGGUGACAUACCAAGUAUCAUUCUCUUCAAGAGCCCCAAUUUCAAGACCCAUAGCCUCACUCCAAACUUUCAACUGAACAGCUUCAGCAUAUGUUUUAGGUGCAACGGCUGUUGUAAUAGCCGCAAGGAACGCCCUGUGGUUAUCCGAAAAACGAUCACAAGAGACAUAAUGUGAAAUUGGGUAAGCAACCGUACCUGAAUGAGAAGACGCUGAGGCGGAAGUGCAAGAUGAGGGGUCCGUGGUGCAUUGGGUCGUGUUAAGAACAUAAUCUUUCAAUCGUUGUGGUAAGACCUUAGGGCGUUUACCAACUCCCAACUCUUCAACCAAAACCUCUUGAGUUGGUGCAACGGCAUUGUCGAUAGGAGUGGUAAGAACCAGACCGAUCGAUCGGUCAGUCGGAUCGGUCGGUCGUAUAGCUUCUGUUUCAUCUGACGGAAGAGGAUCGAUCGAUCGUGAUUCCGGAUCGAUCGGUCGUGUGGCUUCUGUAUCGAGCUGCUCGAGAGGACCGAUCGAUCGUGAAGUCGGAUCGAUCGAUCGGCUUGUUUCUGUGUCGACAUGGUCAAGGUGAUCGACCGAUUGGUUCUCUGGAUCGAUCGGUCCGUUAAUUGUAGGUGUAGCAACACGAGAGGAACUCCCCCUUUUAACAGCAGGCUGAGCAGUGAUAAAUUCUUCUGCAACAGGAACAUCUUGUGGUGGAACUGCAAACUCAGAACCGGACAAUGUAACAUCCAUUUUGGCAAAUGGGAAUUCAUUUUCAUAGAAGACCACAUCUCGAGAAACAAAAUGUUCUUGUGUCUCCAAGUCAUAUACCUUCCAACCUUUCUGACCAUACGGAUAUCCCAUAAAAACACACUUUUGACUCCGUUCACCAAACUUAUCUUUAUCCCGAGAUUUCUUAUAAGCAUAACACAAGCAGCCAAAUACUUUCAAACGUUCAAAAUGAGGAAGAGAACCAUAUAAAAAUUCAUAUGGUGUCUUACCAUCGAGGAGAGGGGUCGGCGUUCUAUUAAUGAGAUGAGCNNNNNNNNNNNNNNNNNNNNNNNNNNNNNNNNNNNNNNNNNNNNNNNNNNNNNNNNNNNNNNNNNNNNNNNNNNNNNNNNNNNNNNNNNNNNNNNNNNNNCUCAACACGACCAUUUUGCUGCGGUGUAUAGACACAUGAAGUCUGAUGCAAAAUACCGGCUUGAUCAAAAAAUGAUUUUAAACACAUAAAUUCGGUGCCAUUAUCACUCCUCACCACCCGAACCUUUUUAUCAAACUGUCGUUCUACCAUUGCACAAAAUUUCUUAAGUGAGUCAGCUACUUCGCGUUUCUCUUUGAGGAGAAAGAUCCAAACAGCUCGCGAGUAAUCAUCGACAAUUGUAAGAAAAUAAGCAGCCCCAGAUGAAGAAACCGUGCGAUAAGCUCCCCAAACAUCACAAUGAAUCAAAGCAAAUAGCUCAGUAGCUUUAUUAGAACUUUCAUGAAAACCAACACGAGUUUGUUUAGCCCGAAAACAAGUGUCACAAACGAUCUCUGUUGCAACAGAUUUCCCAAUGUCAACAUGACUCGAUAAAUAAGAUAAAACUCUACUAGAUGGAUGACCUAAACGACAAUGCCAUAAGUCUCUCGCUCCCAUAGUUGUUGCAGCUUGAGCGUGAGCACCUAAGACCCCACGAAGCACAUAGACCCCUCCGCACUCUUCACCGCCAAUCAGCGUCUUCGAGGUACGGCCCUGAAAAACACAUGAAUCUUCAGUAAAAGUGAUCGAACCCUUGGUCGCCUUAAGCAACUUAGACACAGAGAUUAGGGAACAAUUCAAAUUAGGAGAAUAUAGGACUCCACGAAGCCAUAAAUCACCCCCUAAACAGAGAUCGCCUUGUUUGGUAGCAAUAGCAUAAUCCCCAUCCGGUAAACCAAUGGAACACGGGAAAAUAUCACCAAUAUUGGUUAAAAGAUCAAGCUUCCAUGUCAUAUGAUGAGAGGCUCCGGUGUCAAUAAUAAAUUCAACAUUAUCUUUCUUACCAGUUAGCUUUUCACCAGAGUCGUUCUUCUUAGUAUUAAGGAACUGCCUCAUUGCAUCCCAUUGUUCAUCCGUUAGUUGCGGUAAGGAGUUUUGGUCAAAUUCUUCUCGGUUUGCUCCGACGUGAGCGGCUUGUGCGACUUGUGCAACAUGAGCACCAGCUGCAGGUGCAUAUCCACGUCCACGCCCAGCAUUAUUACCAAUGGUACCACCUCCACGACCGCUUCUUCCACCACGAGCACCACCUCUUCCACGGCCUCUCUCACCCCACCAUUCCGGAAAUCCCUUUAAUUGGAAACAGUCUGCUUGUGCGUGGCCAUAUUUCCCACAGUGAGUACAGGUCACAUCUUUCUCACGGUAUGGCUCACGGGAAGAAUGACCACCACGUGUUCCAGCAUAAGCUAGAAACCCUACAGCUUCGGUACUGCUCGUUUCCCGGUUUCGUAUAACUGUUUGUUGUCUCUCUUCUCGGAUAAUGCGUUGGUAGACUUGAGAGAGCUUAGGAAGUGGUUCUAAACUUGUAAUUGUAGAUCGCACUGUGCCAAAACGAGAAUCAUCCAAUCCAUUGAGAAAUGUAUUGGUUCUCUCUUCAUCACGAUCUGCUUCAAGUUGAGCUGCCAGCUCACCACAGCUACACGUUCUAAUUGGCUUGUAUAUUGCCAAUUCAUCCCACAUUUUUUUAAGUUUCCCAAAGUACACCAUCACUGUAUCUCCUCCCUGUCGACAAUUAGCCAAGGAUGCCCGAAUCUCACUAAUCCUUGGUCCGUUUCCGGCAGAGAAUUGCAGCUGCAAAUCAUCCCAUAGAACCUUCGCUUCAUCAACCAUAGAAACAGAGGUCCUCAGCGUGGGUUCAAUUGUGUUCAUUAACCACGCCACCACCAUCGAAUUAACGACCUCCCAUUGCUCGAUCUCCUCUGCUGUGUGAGGCUUUUGCAAAGAGCCAUCAAUGAAUCCCAUCUUUCGUUUAGUCCGCAGGGCAUUCCGCACGUGCUUGGACCAGUCCUCAUAAUUGUCUNNNNNNNNNNNNNNNNNNNNNNNNNNNNNNNNNNNNNNNNNNNNNNNNNNNNNNNNNNNNNNNNNNNNNNNNNNNNNNNNNNNNNNNNNNNNNNNNNNNNGUGUUCAAACCCCCACGUGCACCGCCUUCCGCGAGUGUAACUUGUUUGCCAUCGUCGUUUGCCAUCGUCUCCUUCUUUUUUUCUUUUUUUUUUUGUUUUUCUUAAACCUGCUCUGAUACCAUGACAAUAUUGGUGGCCAAGAAAAGUGUUACCAUUCAUUCAUCUUUACAAGAGUAUUUAUACAUAAGAGUGGAAGCCCUAGAGAAUAUUCUAGACUUGAUAUACAAGAUACAAUAAGAUACAAUAAUAGGAAAUAUCUAAUUAUUAACAUAAUAAUCCCCAAUAGGUUCUGGGAAUGGUGGUCGGAGCUCCUCCGCCGGUGAUUCUUCUGUCGUGUGAGGAAACGGCGGAGACACGGUGACGGAGUUGGUACGAGUUUCGUUGGAUUCAUCGGAGGUUGGGGAGUUAUGUGGAUUUGGAAUUGAGGAUCAUGUUACGGAUUUUGGAACUUGCGAUCUUGGUGAUAGGCUUUUUGAAUAUUCCGAUGUUUGUUUAGAUUCCGGUGAUCUGUUUUCAUGGCGGCAGGAGUUAUUUGUCAAGAAGACUUUGUUUGUGUGGGGAUUAGUUUGAAUCCCAAGUUCUGUUUUUUCCUCAGAGAAUUGAUAUCGGGUCAAAGCAGAAGUAAAAGACUGGUUUUGACAAAGAGGUUUUCAAGCAAUUGGAAAAUACAGAAGUUGCAGUCUGAGUUAGAGGGUUUCAAAGAUAAGAAUAAAGAAGAAGAUUGAAGCUUCUCGACUCUUCCGCUGUUUACGCUUCACCAGACAAGCUUCAGGUUCGUACACUGUUGAGCUGGUUCGAUCUGUAGGAGACAAAGCAAAAGCAGGCCUGCGAUUCUCGUCGUCUUCCUCCGUAUCUGUGCCAAGCUUGAAGACCAGGCCAAUCGAAUGGGAUUAACUCGGGUUAAGUUCNNNNNNNNNNNNNNNNNNNNNNNNNNNNNNNNNNNNNNNNNNNNNNNNNNNNNNNNNNNNNNNNNNNNNNNNNNNNNNNNNNNNNNNNNNNNNNNNNNNNNNNNNNNNNNNNNNNNNNNNNNNNNNNNNNNNNNNNNNNNNNNNNNNNNNNNNNNNNNNNNNNNNNNNNNNNNNNNNNNNNNNNNNNNNNNNNNNNNNNNNNNNNNNNNNNNNNNNNNNNNNNNNNNNCAGUUUUUAUCUUUCAAGUUUGCAAAUUUCACACGAGAGUUUUAAGAAACGCAGAGAGUGAGAGAGAGUCCUUUACAAACACUAAAAUUAGCUACUUUCUUGUUUGUGAGGUUCAGAUCUCAACAGAUUGGUAUCAGAGCUCCAGGUUGGAGAGGUCUUUCAUCUCAAUUCUACAGCUAUGUCUUCAGCAAGGGUUGAGAUGGAGAAGUUUGACGGGAAAGGUGACUACAUGCUCUGGAAAGAAAAACUUUUGGCACAUCUAGAGAUGCUGGGUUUGCUGGAAGGGUUAGAUGAAGAGCAAGCUUCAGAGAGUGAAGAGUCAUCUGGAGAAAUAGGUGCAGAGGUGACUGCAGAAGGGGUUACACAAGCUGCAACACAACCUGCAAUAAAAGCUGCAACACAAGUUGGGCCUGUUGCAGACAAGUCCCUGAAGGAGAAACGGGGAAAGGCAAGAUCUACUAUCAUUCUGAGUGUAGGAGACAAUGUCCUCAGGAAGAUUAUCAAAGAGAAAUCCGCUGCAGGUAUGAUUAAAGUCUUAGACCACUUAUUCAUGGCUAAGUCAUUACCAAAUAGGAUAUAUCUUAAGCAGAGGCUCUAUAGCUACAAGAUGAGUGAUAGUAUGACAGUAGAUGAGAACAUAAAUGAUUUCUUGAGGUUGAUAGCUGAUCUAGAACAUGUUAAGGUGAUGGUUUCGGAUGAAGAUCAGGCUAUUAUUCUGCUUAUGGCUUUACCAAAGCAGUUUGACCAGCUCAAAGAUACUUUGAAGUAUGGAAAAACUUCUUUGUCUUUAGAUGAGAUUACUGGUGCUAUUAGAUCUAAGGAGCUUGAAUUAGGAGCGAAUGGAAAGCUAUCAAAGCAAAGCUCAGAUGCUUUAUUUGUUCAAGAAAGGGGUAGAUCUGAGAAGAGAGACAAGGGAGGUGAUAAAGGGAAGCAUAACAACAGAUCAAAGUCUAAGGGGAAGAAAACCUGCUGGAUAUGUGGUAAAGAUGGACACUACAAAAAGCAGUGUUAUGUGUGGAAAGAAAGAAACAAGCAGCAGAAAGAUGGUUCUUCAGAGAGAGGUGAAUCAUCAGCAGUGACAGGCCAAAUCACUGAUGCUGCAGCUCUCAUGGUCUCAGAAGCUCUCAUAUCAGUUGGUGAAGACUUCAAAGAGAAAUGGAUCAUGGAUACUGGUUGUUCUUUUCACAUGACUCCUAGGAGAGAGUGGUUCAUUGAGUUAAAUGAAUCACAUGGUGGAAAAGUGAGAAUGGCAAACGAUACAUACUCAGAGGUAAGAGGAGUUGGGAAUGUAAGGAUAAAGAAUGAAGACAACUCUACAGUUCUCCUAAAAAAUGUGAGGUAUGUACCAGGAAUGUCAAAGAACUUAAUCUCACUUGGUACACUAGAAGAUCAAGGAUGCUGGUUUCAGUCAAGAGAUGGAAUCAUGAAGAUCAACAAAGGCUGCACAACUUUAAUCAAGGGUCAGAAGACUGACACGCUUUAUGUGCUAAAAGGAUCGGUUUUAACUGGAGAAGUGAGCAUCUCAGAAGGUUUAAGAGAUGAAACAAGGUUGUGGCAUAGAAGGUUGGGGCACAUGAGUCAGAAGAAUAUGAAGAUAUUGCUGAAAAAGGGUUAUUUAGACAGCUCAAAGGUAACAGAUUUGGAAUUCUGUGAGGACUGUGUGUUUGGAAAAGCACAUCGAGUUAGUUUUGGAGUUGGGAAGCAUGUCACCAAGGAAAGGCUGGAAUACAUUCACUCUGACUUAUGGGGAUCACCAAAUGUCCCAUUAUCAUUAGGAAAGUGCCAGUACUUCAUCUCUUUCAUAGAUGACUACUCAAGGAAGACAUGGAUAUACUUUCUAAAAAGGAAAGAUGAAGCUUAUGGGAGUUUUCUGGAAUGGAAGAAGAUGGCUGAAAAUCAGUUAAACAAGAAGAUCAAGAUACUCAGAACAGAUAACGGUUUAGAGUUCUGCAACAAAGAGUUUGAUGAUUUCUGUAAGGGAGAAGGGAUUGUAAGGCAUAAAACAUGUGCUUACACACCCCAACAGAAUGGAGUCGCAGAAAGAAUGAAUAGAACCAUUCUAGAAAAAGUUCGAAGUGUUCUCAGUGAAUCAGGUCUACCAAAAGUUUUCUGGGCAGAAGCUGCAUCAACCGCAGUUUAUCAGAUAAACAGAUCACCUUCAUCCGCUAUCGAGUUUGAAGUGCCAGAAGAAAUUUGGACAGGAUCAAGACCAAGAUAUGAGGAGUUAAGAGUAUUCGGCUCAGUAGCUUACAUUCACAAUGAUCAAGGGAAGCUUAAUCCAAGGGCUAAGAAAGGGGUGUUUGUAGGCUAUCCUCCUGGUGUAAAAGGAUACAAAUUCUGGUUGGUUGAUGAAAAGAAGUGUGUUGUCACCAGGGACGCAAUUUUUCAAGAAGACAAGAUGUAUAAGCAUCUAAACCAGAGUCCAGAAUCAGAAACUGAACAGCAAAGAACUCAGGUACCACUUAUCUAUGAAAUUAAUCAUGGUGAUUUCAAUGACUUAGGUGGAGCUGAGGAAGGAACAGAGACUGAUCAAGCUGAGCAACUCCUCAAUGAGAAUGAAGAACUAGAAAAAGACCUGGAUAGUGAAGAAGUUCAAGUCAACAAUGAACUUGAAAAUUAUCAGUUGGCAAGAGAUAGAGUGCGAAGACCCACCAAGCCACCAGCAAAGUUCAGAGAUUCUAAUCUAGUGGAAGGAGAUGAAGAUGAUGAAAAACUGGUUGGGUUUGCACUGAUGAUGACAGAAGAUGGUGGAUAUCCAGAGCCAUGCUGCUAUGAUGAAGCUAUCAGAGAUAAAGAUUGGAUGUCCUAGAAGGAGGCAAUGAAUGAAGAAAUGCAUUCAUUACUCAAGAAUCAGACAUGGACACUAACCGAGAGACCAGAGAAAGGCAAGGUGAUUGGCUGCAAAUGGGUAUACAAACGAAAAUCCAGUGUACCAGGGACUGAUCAGCCGAGAUUUAAAGCCAGGCUCGUUGCUAAAGGUUUUCUUCAGAAGGAAGGGAUAGAUUACCAAGAAAUCUUCUCUCCGGUUGUGAAGCAUGUCUCCAUUCGGCUCAUAUUGUCAUAUGUGGUUCAACUCAACCUUGAAUUGGAACAAAUGGAUGUCAAGACGGCGUUCUUGCAUGGAAAUCUAGAUGAACACAUAUUGAUGGAGCAACCAGAAGGUUACAGAAUCAAGUCUGAAACAGAUGAGGUAUGUCUUCUAAGGAAAUCUCUAUAUGGGCUGAAACAAGCUCCAAGGCAAUGGAAUCAGAGAUUUGAUACUUUCAUGAAGAGCUCAGGAUAUCUUAGAAGCAGCUAUGAUCACUGUAUCUACUAUCAGAAGCUUGAGGAUAAUACAUACAUAUACUUGCUUCUAUAUGUAGAUGACAUGCUCAUUGCUGCUAAGAAUAAAGAGAAGAUUGCAGAUCUUAAGAGGUUGCUGAGUGCAGAGUUCGAGAUGAAAGAUUUAGGAGAAGCAAGAAAGAUUCUGGGGAUGGAAAUCAAGAGAGACAGAGUAAAUGGGACACUUAAAGUGUCACAAGAAGAGUAUUUGCAGAAAGUUCUUCAAACUUUCAGAAUGGAUCAGUCAAAAGCAGUAUCAACUCCUUUAGGGAUUCAGUUUAAGCUCAGAGCUGCAUCAGACAGGGAACUAGCUUCUCAAGAGGAAUACAUGAAGUCUAUUCCAUACUCGAACGCUGUGGGUAGUAUCAUGUAUUCCAUGAUAGGAACAAGGCCUGAUCUUGCUUAUCCUUUAUGUGUUGUGAGCAGAUACAUGAGCAAGCCUAUAAAAGAGCACUGGCAAGCAGUAAAGUGGGUCCUAAGAUACAUUAAAGGAACACAAGAUCUCAAGUUGGUCUACAAGAAGCAAGAAGAUUCAGAGAUCAAGGGAUUUUGUGACUCUGACUACGCAGCUGACCUAGACAAGAGAAGGUCAGUGACUGGAUACGUUUUUACUGCGGGNNNNNNNNNNNNNNNNNNNNNNNNNNNNNNNNNNNNNNNNNNNNNNNNNNNNNNNNNNNNNNNNNNNNNNNNNNNNNNNNNNNNNNNNNNNNNNNNNNNNAUGUUAUUAGUUGGAAAUCAAACCUACAGAAGGUAGUGGCUUUAUCUACCACUGAGGCAGAAUAUAUGGCUCUGACUGAGGCCAUAAAAGAAGGAGUCUGGCUGAAAGGUCUUGCAGAAGAGUUAGGAUUCAAGCAAGACUAUGUUGAAGUGUUGUGUGAUUCACAGAGUGCUAUCUCUCUGUCUAAGAACUCUGUGCAUCACGAGAGAACGAAGCACAUAGAUGUGCGACUGCAUUUUAUUAGGGACAAGAUUGCAGAAGGAGAAGUAAAGGUUGUGAAGGUGUCUACAUCGUGGAAUCCUGCUGACAUCUUUACAAAGACUGUCCCAGUGAGCAAGCUUCAAAAUGCAUUGGAGUUGCUCAUAAUAUCAAGUCACUAAAGAAAGUAGUGAAGAAUCCGGAGAAGGGAAAAUCCAAGUAUACUAAGAAGAAGAAUCAAUUUGGGGUGGUAUUCAAACCAAGGUGGAGUUUUGUGGGGAUUAGUUUGAAUCCCAGGUUCUGUUUUUUCCUCAGAGAAUUGAUAUCGGGUCAAAGCAGAAGUAAAAGACUGGUUUUGACAAAGAGGUUUUCAAGCAAUUGGAAAAUACAGAAGUUGCAGUCUGAGUUAGAGGGUUUCAAAGAUAAGAAUAAAGAAGAAGAUUGAAGCGUCUCGACUCUUCCGCUGUUUACGCUUCACCAGACAAGCUUCAGGUUCGUACACUGUUGAGCUGGUUCGAUCUGUAGGAGACAAAGCAAAAGCAGGCCUGCGAUUCUCGUCGUCUUCCUCCGUAUCUGUGCCAAGCUUGAAGACCAGGCCAAUCGAAUGGGAUUAACUCGGGUUAAGUUCUCUCUUACCCUAGUUCUGGUUUCAAUCUUGUCUGGUCUAUAUAAACCAGUUGUAGUUGUGGUGUAUGAGGUAGUGUGAGAGAAAGAACAAGUGAGAGAAGUGUAACAGUGAUUAAGAGCUCGGUUUGAGCUAAGUUUCUUAGUGGAUUUUCCGGAGACCUUCUCCGGCGAGACGUAGGAUUCCUCCCAAGGAUCCGAACUCGUUAAAUCUUGCGUGCACUUACUUUUUCAGUUUUUAUCUUUCAAGUUUGCAAAUUUCACACGAGAGUUUUAAGAAACGCAGAGAGUGAGAGAGAGUCCUUUACAAACACUAAAAUUAGCUACUUUCUUGUUUGUGAGGUUCAGAUCUCAACAGUUUGUGAACAAACUAUCUUAAAAUUGCCAUGUGGUUAUAAGUAUGAUGUAGAAUGUCUUGUUAGAUGGUUCCAAACAAACAAAAAAAUGUCCAUGUUGUCGUUAUGAGUUUCCAUAUGUAGUUACUUAAACUAACUAUGUAAAAUAUUCAUAUUUUGUUAUUAUGUUAUAUCAUAUAUUACCUUAUUGUAUACAAUUUAUUGAAAAAUUAUUAUUAUAUAUAUAUAUAUAUAAAUUAAAUUAAAUUCAGUAUAUUUUAAAAAUGAAUAUAACAUAUUUGUUAAAUUUAAAAUUAGAAAAAAACUUUUAUAUAAGAACAAAGUAAUGGAAUGUAAUCUUAACAAAAAAAAUUCCAAUAAAUAUUCAUCCUAACCCAAAACAUGAUCAACCAAAUUAUUUAAAACAAAAUAUCUAUACUAUUAAAAGGGAAGCAUUUUGUAUAAAGUGAUCAUAGUAUAUACAAUUAAAAGGAUAAUUAAAAAAAAACAAAUCUAUCUAUAUUUAUGGAAAUAAUAUUGAUUUGAUUACCAUAAAAAUAUUCAAUUAAAUUCGAAAUUAAACAUAUUUAAUCUAAAUUAUUUUUUUAAUAUUUUCAAAAACUAUAUAUCUAUCUAUACUAUUAAAAGGGAAGCAUUUUGUAUAAAGUGAUCAUAGUAUAUACAAUUAAAAGGAUAAUUAAAAAAAACAAAUCUAUCUAUAUUUAUUGAAAUAAUAUUGAUUUGAAAAAAUAAAAUAUUAUCCAAACUAUUUUUCAUAAAAAGCAUGAUGAGAAAUAAAAGUAACGAGAGGAGAUCAUAAAAUCAAGAAACUAAAUUCAAUUUCAAUUUUCAAAUAUCAAAUAACAUGUAUGAUACAUGAACAAAAAAUUUGAAUUGUUAAUUUUAGUUUUAACUAUUUUAUUUCAAAUAUCAGAACAUGAAAUAACAGGUACGGGAAAUUUGAAACAUAAAAAAAAUCAUCUAAACUAUUCAUGAUAGAAUAUGAGAUGAAAAUUUUGGGUAACGUGAAUUUAAGAAGAACAUAUGGAAACAUGCUAUUUACUAAAGUGGAUUAUAGGAAAUGUAUUUUUUGCGGGUCAAAAUAUUUUAAUAUGUAUUUAGUGUGGAGCAUGCAUNNNNNNNNNNNNNNNNNNNNNNNNNNNNNNNNNNNNNNNNNNNNNNNNNNNNNNNNNNNNNNNNNNNNNNNNNNNNNNNNNNNNNNNNNNNNNNNNNNNNNNNNNNNNNNNNNNNNNNNNNNNNNNNNNNNNNNNNNNNNNNNNCCCUACAUUUAUGUGUAAGUCUAAAUCGUUGACCUAUUUUCUUAUAUGUUUGACUAAAAUAUACAAUCUCAAAUGGGUAAAUAAUUAAAAUGCUUAUGGAAUGGAAAAACAUGACAUAUUAAGACGCACGAGACAAGAUUUAUGUCCCGAAAUUGACAAACUACAAUUGUUUUACUAUUUUUUAAGGUACAAGUACAAUUGUCUUUAAUAAAACUAAAUCGUAUCGGUUUUUUUGUUUAACCUAAUUUAAAAAAAAAAUCAAAUAUUGACUUGAUACUGGUUUAGAUUAUAAAUGUUAAUAAAAUUCCUAAAAGUUACGUUUAGAAACAUAAUCCCGUACGUACAUAAUAUAUUUGAAAAUUUUAUAACAAAUUUUGUUUUUGAAAUCAAUCCCGCACGUACGUGCGGGUCAUCAUCUAGUUUAUUAUAAGUAGUGAGCUUCCGCGGUAGCCAAAAUAGUGUCUCAAAGUAUAAAUGAUAAGUAUGAAAGAAAAUAUUAAUUUUCCUGACCUAACUCACUUGGGAAGCUAGAUUUUAUAGAAAAAGGUAAUUCAAUAACAAAAACUGUAACCAUAUAUUGCGCUGCCAGUAUUUCUUAUAAUGUAGAGAUUAUUACAAUAAACAAUGUGUACAUAGCUUAACUUUUGUUUAAUUGUAACUGAGCAAACUAUGCGAUAAGGGAGAAUUCAUAUAUAUACCACAGCUCUAUGCAACGACUUGGAGAUAAUAAAUAUAACAUCGUUUCUUGUAACAAAAACUAAAAUUUUAUAAUAUUGACACUGAGGUAACUUCACAUUCAGUUCACAUUCGGCAAAUGUUAUGCACUAACUUAAAUAUUGAUUAUAGUUUCUCUUCUUAGUUCUUACCCUGGAGACUUCACAAUAUAUUGAUCAUGUUAUCUUUGCUUAUCCUAAAUUAAUGGGAUUGCAUCUCCACUUAGUCUUAAACAUCAUCGAUUAGAAAACUUAGGGAAUCUUGAAAUUGGACAAAAACAGAGCUAUGAUCUCUUUGGUUAUUUCUUAUGUGUUUAGACAUAAAACAUCUCUUUUGCUUUGUGGAGGGACCAUUCUAUCACCAAACUUGUGUUUGGAUUAACGGAAAUCAAUGAUGACGAGGAGACGCUGUUUGAAUAAAUUAAAUUUAAGGAAGUGAUAAAUGAUUACAAUUAUAAUUAAAAACUUAUAAAUAAUGUAAUAUUGUUGUAAACCACAUGCAUUGUAUAGAAUAAUUUUGAAUAGAGGUCAUUAUGCAAAGAUGAUAUUUAUACAACUUAGUAAAUUACUAUGCUAUAUUUCAUCUUAAUCAUUAAUAUACUGAAUUAAGAUUAACUUAAAUAUAAAUCUACUAUACUCUUUUUUUUUUAUAAAUCGACAAUAUUUAAAAAUAUGGAAUAACUCAUCCAAAAUAUGAUGAUCACAAAUAAAUAAAAAUUAGAAUUAUAGAACUAAAAAAAGAGCUGAUUUCUCCUCUUUUUUUUUUUUUUUUUUUUUUUUUUUUUUUUUCCAGCUACUUUCAUGAAUUUGCCGUUGCCCAUCUAAUGUAAAUGUUAAAGAAGUUACUUGUGUAUACUUUUCUCAUAUUUAAUUUGUGUCAUGAGAAAUAGCACAACCACUACAUAACGAAGCUUCCUCUCUUUGCUUCAUUGAUUCAAAUGUAAAUGUUAGAGAAGUUACUUGACGAUGCUUUUGUAUACUUUUCUCAUAUUUGUGUCAUGCAUGGAAGUAGCACAACCACUAGAGAACCCACACGACUUGUUCUUUGGUCUCAUAUACUUUAAACUUUUUGUUACUAAAAAAAUAUUUGAACGAAGCUUCCUCUCUUGCUAGUUGCUAGCCUAGUCAAUGAUCAUUAAAAGUAAAUAUGAUCAAUGUCAGUGGAGAAACUUAUCAAAAUUAAAAAUAAAUAACAUAUGCUAUGUCAAUGUCUCAACGUUCUUUUGUAAUGUAGACAUAGUCUCUUUGCAACUUCUGAUCCUUCUCCUGUUCUCCACAAAAACUCUCUUUAACGUUCUGUGAUAUUAUUCAUCUCUCCAUUCAUACUUGCUAAUGGAUUCUUCUUCUUUUUUCCUUACCACUAUUGUUGCAGCAACAAUUGGCUUCUUCACGAUUUUAUUCACGAUUUUUAAAAUACUCAGACUCCAUCAAGAAGAGGACGAAGAAACUUCAUCUCCUCCAUCUUCUUUGUCUCCUUCAUCUCCUCCAUCUUCUCUGAAUCGCAU
rnacentral:lncRNA from 1 species